AUUGAGAUUUUAGCUGAAGUUUGUUAAGCGUCAACAUGUGGUGGUUUAGAUAUGGUAUGCUCGGAAGCCUUGAGUAAUGGUAUUUUAAAUGCCCUGAAAAUGAGUACAGGUGGAGUUUUCCUUAGAAACAUUUGCAUAAGUCAUUUAUUUAUGUGGAACCAUUGAAGUGGUUUUGGGAAUAUUUUGUUUUUUGGAAACUUUCAUCUGUUCAGGGCUUCUUUUGGGAUUUUUUUCUUCUAAAUUCUAGACAUUUUGUUCUAUCCAUAUUUGCAUAUUUAUAAUCAUGGUUAAGCUGUGAUGCUUAAUCCUUAAACCUUGGAUGUAAAACUUUAUUCCCUUUUGGAUCAUAAUGACUGGACGAAGAUGCUUCUGCUCCUGAAUUAUGUAGAAGACAUUUUAGUUUGUUGAAAAUAGAAUCUGUUCUUCCUGUCUUUUGUUUAUUUUUUAAUAGUUGGUUAUAUAUUUUCUCAUAUUCCUUUAGGGCAUCAUGUUCAUGCACAUGUGAGCAAGUUGAUAAAUUUAAACAUCUGCAUCUUUUUUUUUCCCUUAAAGAUAGUGUUUAUGUAAUCAGAUUUUCAUAUUUUUUUGAAGGUUUUGACUCUGCAUUUUUAGUGUAAAAAGGAGCAAUGCUUUUCAUCCCAGCGAAGAGAUGCAUGCAUGGAUCAUUAUUUUUUCUUACGCUACUCUUUGAACUUCAAUUCACUUGUGUUCUAGUUGUUUUUUUCCCCCCAUGUUUUUCUUCUUUUAAAGAGCUUUUGUUGCACCUGGCAAUAUUCAAGCGUUUACCAUUGAGACAGAGUAAAUUGUUGGGUUAAGUAUCAAGUUGUUAAAACCAAGUACUUUGUCCAAGCUGUGAAGGAAAUCUGUGUGGCAUUUGAUGAAUUACAUAAAGAGAAGUCCAUUGGUUUGAGAGAUGAAACUGAUAGAUCAACACCUGGCUGUGAGACUUAAUCUGUUGAUGGGGUUGAGGAUGACGGUGCAAGAUGCAAAAAUGCAUUUGAGAAAUCCAAAGAUGUUGAACAGCUAUGGAAAAAAAAAAAAAAGAAAUGAAAUGAAGUAUGGUUCUUAGGGCAUUUAAACUUAUGGAAAAGUUAGUGGGAGUGCCAACAAAAACAAGAUCCAAGGUAACUAUACAAUUGGCUGAUUUAAUGUCUUCUUCAUAUGUUGUGGCUCUCUAAUUAAAUAAUGUAAUAAUUUGUUAAUAGGGAAAAUAAUUAUUGAAAAUAAACAUCCUAAUCAUGUUAUUUACAAGGGAUGUGUAGCUGUGGAGAAUUUUAUUAUAACUGCAACAAUAGUUGGCUUCCUCAAUUUUGCCAAGAAUAUAUUGUCUGAAAAUAAGAAAUAGAUGUGUCCAUGAACUAAGAGGAGCCAAGCAUGGUUAAAACCUUGAAAUCUUUGGAUUGGUUUAAUAUUUUAAUAUUUUAAAAUAUAUUCUAAAUAAAAUUAAUUUGUUUUUAUUUUAUAUUAACACAAUCGACUGGAGUUGGAUUUUUUUGGUUUCAUAUGUGGUUGUGUUAUUAGAAAAUUUUUUUCUUUUUUGUUCUUUACAACCAUAUUGGCGACAAUAAUCUUGGUUUUCUUUAAUUGAGGGUUGCAUUUUGACCUUUCAUUACUCAAUUGUGCUUUAAGGUACAGUGAAGAUUUUUCUUUCGCAUGAAUGUGGUGAAGAUUUGGAUGAAGUUGAUUUUUGUUGCCCCAGAGAAAAUAAGUUUGUUGAUCUUUUAAAUGAGAAAAUUUUGUUUAGUUGACUGUUUAGUUAAUAUGGUUAAGGAAAAGUUGUGGAUUUGACUACUCAGAUUGUAUAGAGAGUACUUUGUUGAUUUUUUAUUUUCAACAAAGCUCUUUGUUUUCCGUUAGAACUCUAUUUUUGAUUAUUGUAUUCUCUCUGUUUAGAAGGAAGCUUGAAGCCUUGUGUUUUUUUUUUUUUUUUUUUUUUUUUUUAUAUUUGUAUACAAAUAUUAAAGUCUUUAUUCUUCAUCUUUGUCCAAGUUUGGUGUCAUUAUCUUUUCCAAUUUAUUAUUCGAAUUAGCUAUUUUUUUCGUUGUUAGUUUUGAGUUUAAUUUUGAGCUUUUGAUGAAUGAUUUCGGGCGUAGAUUUGUAGUGUAUCAGUAAGUAAAAAAGGCAACGAUUGCUGGUAGUUACCCCAAAUGAUUAUCUUUAAUAUGUUUUUGGAUUUUUAUUUUUCGAUUUGAAAUUUAAUUCAAAUUUAAUAAAAAUAUUUAAUAGUUGAAAUUAAAUUGAAUUGAAGAAAAUAAAUUGGUCCGAAUUGAAUAUUACAUUUUUAAAUUGAUUUUUAAUUUUUUAAUUUUUUUUCCUGUCAUACUAGUUAGCUUUUCUAUAUUCUUUUACGAAGAAUGAUGAUGAAAUCCUUGUUACUAUCAGGAAAAGAGUUCUGACAUUAGUAAAAUAUCCAGAAUUGACUCUCUAAUGUAUAAAAAUGGAUUACAUUUAAGAAAAGCAGAUGCAUCACCAUAAGUAGUAAUUAAUCAAAUUGCGAGAGAAAAUUAUCUUUUGGCAAGUUCUGUGAAAAGUUGUCUUUCUCUUAUUGUUGGUAAAUUUUACUAUUUUUCGAAUUGACAUUUGAAUGAAAUAGUCAUUAAUAUUACAUUCUCCCGAACAUGAUCGAAACGUUAUAGAAAAAGUUUAUAACGAUACGGGUAAUAUUUUUUUUAGUGUGUAAAAUCAAGUAGAGAAUAAUUUUUUUUUUUUUAAGAUUUAUGAGAUAUAAAAUUUAGUUUGUUAUUGUUGUUUAUUUUACUCAGCUUAAUCACAUAUUUUCAUGAGAUAAAAUAUAUUUAAUUUUAUCAUUUAUAUUAAUGGAAUAUAAAAUUUUUAAAUAAAAAUUAAAAAAAUCAUAAAUUAAAUUUUAUCUAUUUUUCAUAUAACAAAAUACAAAUAGAUGACUAAAAAAAUUCAAGCAUAUUAAACUAUAAUAAUUGUCUAAUUAUAUAAAUGGAAAGUAAAAAACAACUAUAUCUAAAGAUGCAAUUAAAAAGUAAAAUUAUUCAAUUUUUUUAAAAAAUAAUGGGAUAAGUUAUAUUUAAUUUUUUUAUUUAUAUUUUAGAUUUGAAGGAAAAGAUAUUUGAUUGGGUUAAAUUAAUAUUCAGGUGUUUAUCUUUUAUAUUCUUUUUAUAUUCUUUAAAAUAAAAAUAAUCUAUUUAUAUACUAUUGAAUUAUAUAAAAAAAUGUCAAUAAAUUUGUUGGUAGAGCAAUGAAAUCUUAAUUUCUAAUUCAAUCAUUGACACUUUCACAUACAAAAAAAGAAAAGUUUAAUUAUAUUCGGAUGAUACUAAAAAAUGAGUUUUUAGGCAUCAACUAGAACAUGCCACACAUAAUUAUUUAGAAGUAUGAAUAUUAUACACUUACCAAUAUCAAAUCAAUUCUCAUUUUAAAUCUUAAUACUAGUUAACUUAUUUAAAAAUAAUUAAUUAAAUAAAAUUUUAAAAAAUUAGGAAAACUUAAAUCGUGUUCUCACAUUUUUAUCUAAAAAAAUUGGAUAUGGCUAGCAUCUUAAAAUUUUAUGUUCAGGCAAAUCGUCAAUGUAAUUUUUUAUUUAUUAUUAAAAUAUUAAAAAGAUUUUAAUAUUAAUAAUUUAAUUUUUUUAAAAUAUAUUUUAAAUUAUAUUAACAAAUAUUAUUUAAUUAAAACAUAAUAAGCAACCAACCUUGAUAGAAACUUUAAAAAUUUUAUUCAAUAUUCGAUUAAGUGAAGACUAACAGCUAAUCUAAUGCACAGACAAAUCUAAUAACAAGAUAUCAUAGAAUCAUUUAUGCUAUUUUAUCGGACAAAGUUUUUACGGUGGCAAAUAAUAAAAACAAAGUAUUUCAUUGCAAUCGAAUAUAUUGCUCAAAAAAUUAAAAAAAAUAAAAGACCAUUCAUUUACUCCAAUGAUCAAGAUUUGUAGGACAAGAGAAAAACAAAUGCAUCAACAUCUAUCAGUUAUAAUUAAUUAAAUUGCAAAUUGAAGGAAACUUUGGCAAGUGAAGUCAAGGUCUUCUAUUUCUCUAUCUUUCUCAAUCUCAGUAGUUGUAAAUUCUACUAUAUAGUGACAAUUUUAUAUUUUUAGUAAUAAAAAUGCAUUUUGUUAGAUUAUAUUCUUCAAAAUGACACUUGAAAAUAUUAGUCAUUAACAUCAUACUCCCUUAUUUUUCUAUAACGUGGUGAAAACGUUAUAGGAAAAUUAUGCAAUAAGACAAUUAGCACUUUGCUUAACAUGUAAAACCAAACAUGAGACCUUCUUUUUCACAAAACUAAAAUUUUCUUCAUGCAACAUACUCAAUUUAGUUGUGUUAUUACAAAUUUUUAAAUACCUGAAUAUCUGAAUUUAAAUCAAAUCAAAUAAGAAAAAAAUCGAUCUUAAUCAAAUAUUAUAUUUUUUAAUUGAUUUUUGAAUUUUGAAUUUUUAUCUUAUUCUACAAGUUAGCUUCAUUAUAUUCUUUUAUGAGGGAUAAUGAUGAAAUCCUCAUGGCUAUGUUGAAAUAGUUCCUAUAUGGCUAUCAGGAGAAGAGUUUUGGCAUUGGCAAAAUAUCAAGAAUUGAAUCUCAAAGGUAUAAAGACGAACUAAAUUUGAGAAAAGCAAAUGCAUCAACAUCAGUAGUAAUUAAUUAAAUUAUAAAUUGAAGGAAAUUAACUUUGACAUGUCCUGUCAAGAUCGUUUUUCUCUCGUCGUUGAUAAGUUCCACUAUUUUUCGAAUUGACAUUUGAAUGAAUUAGUCAUUAACAUCACUCUUUCUCGAACGUAACUGAAAAGUUAUAGAAAAAAUUUGUAAUAAAACAAGUAAUAUUUUCUAGUGUGUAAAAGCGAGUAGAGAAGAACUUAUUUUCCACAAAACUAAAACCUUUGUUCACGCUACAAACUAGACAACAGAAACUCAUUGUCAAGCAAAUUUGAGUUAAUUUCACCAAUUACUUUCUAUCAGGGCCACCCAACAUCAUUAAAUGCAUUACCCAAAUUGCAAGUGAUGUUUUGACCCCAAACCCAAUUUCGGUGCGAAGAGGAGCUAGCUCAUUACCGAACUGGGUUUUUACUAAUUGGCUUCCAUUUUACUAUUUUAUUUUUUAAAAUUUUAUGCCAUUUAAUUUCUAAUUACCAACAUGAAUUAAAUUUAUUAUUUUUAAAACAUAAAAUAAUGCAUUCAAUAAAAAUAAAAAAUAACGAAAAAUUAAAUUAAAUAAGAGAAUUUUAUUUUAUUUUAAUUUUUUUUAAAUUCAAUAUUUUAUAUUUAUUGUUUUGGAUUUAUUAUUAUUCUUAUUCUUUUAAAAGUUUAUAUUUAGAAUUAGUAUUUUCUUAUUAUUGCCUUUAUAUGUUUUAUAAGUAUUAUUAAAAUUAAUUCCAUAUUAUUCAAUUUUAAAAUUAUUUUUCAUAAAUAACUUUUUUAAAAAUGUACCAUGCAACAUGAGGGCAUCAUUCUAGUGAUAUAUUAAAGUAUAAAUUUUUUUCCUUAAUUAAUAGCUCAUAUAAUUUUUUACAAUUAAAACUAUGUAAUUUAGCACUAUGUUAUUGAUAGACAAAUCUAAACAUUUGGUAUUCAUAGUUUAUAGUUUAAGAAUCUAUGUAUACAUAUACCUAUAUGUAUUUCAUUUAAUUAACGUGAAUAUGAAGGCAAAGUCAAUGUCAAGAUCCCCCCAAACAAUAAAAUAUUUGGUAUUAUAUAAUCUCGUAGACUUAAAAGUAGUUAUGGACCGGAACUCACAAUAAAAGUUUUUUUUCUUUCCACGGAAAAUAAAAUGUAGCAGAAAGCCACAUGGAAAGUGUGGAAAGAAUUUUUUAUCCCACACUCCAUGAUUUUAUGACUCACACUUUGGAUUAAAGUAUUAAUUACAAAAUAACAAAAUGAAAACCCAAUAGCAGUUGGAGCCGCCAAUUUGUCCGUUUUGAUUAUAUUUAUUACUCUCUCUGUCUCUUUUUUUUUAUUUUUUUAUAAUGUCCUAAAAUUAUAUAUUUUCUUUUUAAACAUCUAAAACAUUUACUUUUUUAUAUUUUAAAAUUAUUGUUAAGAUUUUUUUAUUUUUAAUAUUAAAAAUUAUGAAACUUUAAUUUUAUAAAAAAAAUUUAAAUUUUAAUAUUAAAUACAUUAAAGUCAAAAUUUUUUUAAACUCUGUAAAAGUCAAUAAAUAACAAAUAUUUUGAGACGGAGGGAGUAUUAAAAUAUCAAAAUUAUAUUGAAAGCAAAAUAAAUUUUCUUUAAAACAAAAAAUAAAUUUGCAUAUAAAUUCAAAUAAAUAAUAUUUAAAGGAAUAUAUAUUUUUUGAGAAAUAGUACAAACAAUUUUAAGCAAAUUCAAUUUAAAAUACACACUUAAAAUUUUUAUCAUUUCAAAACAUCAACCAAUUUAAAGUUAACAUUAUUAAUUAAGGAUUGAAAUAUUUAAAUUAAUAAAUUAUCAAAGGCAUAUAUAUAUAUAUACAUAUAUAUAUAUAUAUGUCGUUUACUACAUAUUUGCAGUUUUAAAGUUUAUAGUUUUUAAUAUAGUAUAGGUAAAUAUAGAUAUAGUAAAAUCUUAUAAAGCAAAUAACAUUAACCCAAUGAAAGUACCUAAUAUAUUCAACAUUUUCUCUUCCCUUAAAACUUCUUGAAAUGUAUCAAAAAAUGGAAUUAACAAAGUGGUCUUACAUUUUUCUUUUGGUAUUUAUCUAAGCCUAUAACGUUUGACUUACAAAAUCAAAGUAAUUUACUCACAUUUUAAGUAUUACUCCAACAUUUGGGUGUUUGUCUUUUAUAUUCUUUAAAACGAAAAUAAUUUAAUUAUCCACUGUUGAAUUAUAUAAAAUAUGUCAAUAAAUAUAUUGGUAGAGCAAUGAAAUCUUAAUUUCUAAUUUAAUCAUGGACACCUUCAAAUAAAAAAAAAAGUUUAAACUGAUGAUCCUAAAAAUUGAGUUUUUAGGCAUCAACUAGAAACAUGCCACACAUAAUUAUUUAGAAGCUUUUUAUGAAUAUUAUAAACUUACCAACAUCAAACCAAUUCUAAUUUUAAACCUUAAUGCUAGUUAACUUAUUUAAAAAUAAUUAAUGAAAUAAAAUUAAAAAGAAAUUAGGAAAACUUAAAUUGUUUUCUCACAUUUUCAUAGAAAAAAAAUCGAACAUGUUUAGCACCUUAAAACUUAUGUUCAAACAAAUCAUCAAUUUCAUUUGUUAUUUAUUAUUAAAAUAUUAAAAGAUUUUAAUAUUAAUAAUGUAAUAUUUUUAAAUAUAUUUUAAAAUAAAUUAACAAAUAUUAUUUAAUUAAAACAUAAUAAGCAAUCAACCUUGAUAGAAACUUUAAAAAUUUUAUUCAAUAUUCAAUUAAAUAGAGAUUAGUAGAUGAUCUGAUAUAUAGACAGGUCUAAUAACUAGGUAUCAUAGAAUCAUUUACGCUAUUUUAUAAGACAAUGCCCUUACGGUGACAAAUAAUAAAAACAAAUUAUUUCAUUACAAUCAAAUACAUUGCUCAAAAAAAAAAAAAGACCAUUCAUUUACUCCAAUGAUCAAGAUUUGUAGGACAAGAGAAAAGUAAAUGCAUCAGCAUCUAUCAAUUGUAAUUAAUUAAAUUGCAAAUUGAAGGAAACUUUGGCAAGCGAAGUCAAGGCCUUCUAUUUCUCUUUCUUUCUCAAUCUCAUUAGUUGUAAAUUCUACUAUAUAUUGACAAUUUUAUAUUUUUAGUGAUAAAAAUGCAUUUUGUUAGAAUAUAUUCUUCGAAAUGACACUUGGAAAAACUAGUCCUUAACAUCACACUUCCCUAUUUUUCUAUAACGUGAGAGAAAAAUUAUGCAAUGAGACAAUUAGUAUUUUGUUUAGCGUGUAAAACCAAGCAUAAGACCUUAUUUUCCACAAAACUAAAACUUUCUUCACGCUACAUACUCAAUGUAGUUGUGUUAUUAGAAAUUUUUAAAUAUCUGAAUAUCCAAAUUUAAACUAAAUCAAUAAGAAAAAAAUUGAUCCUAAUCCAAUAUUAUAUUUUUGAAUCAAUUUUUUAUUUUUUAAUUUUUAUCUCAUCCUACAAGUUGGCUUCUUUCUGUUCUUUUAUGAGGAAUGAUGAUGAAAUCCUCAUGGCUAUGCUGAAAUGGUUCCUAUAUGGCUAUCAGGAGAAAAGUUUUGGCAUUGGCAAAAUAUCAGGAAUUAAAUCUCAAAGGUAUAAAGACGGAUUACAUUUGAGAAAAGCAAAUGCAUCAACAUCAGUCGUAAUUAAUUAAAUUGUAAAUUGAAGGAAAUUAUCUUUGGCAAGGUCCUGUCAAGAUCGUCUUUCUCUCAUCGUUGAUAAAUUUCACUAUUUUUCGAAUUGACAUUUGAAUGAACUAAUGAUUAACAUCACUCUCUCUCGAACGUAGCCGAAACGUUAUAGAAAAAAUUUGCAAUAAAACAAGUAAUAUUUUCUUUAGCGUGCAAAAACAAGCAGAGAAGAACUUAUUUUCCACAAAACUAAAACCAUUGUUCACGCUACAAACUAGACAAUAGAAACUCAUUGUCAAGCAAAUUUGAGUUAAUUUCACCAAUUACUUUCUAUAAGGGCCACCCAACAUCAUUAAAUGCAUGACUUGAAUUGCAUGUUUUGACCCCAAACCCAAUUUCGGUGCGGAAAGGAGCUAGCUCAUCACCGAAUUGGGCUUUUACUAAUUGGCUUCCAUUUUACUAUUUUAUUUUUUAAAAUUUUAUGCUAUUUAAUUUCUAAUUACCAACAUGAAUUAAAUUUAUUAUUUUUAAAACAUAAAAUAAUGCAUUGAAUAAAAAUAAAAAAAUAACGAAAAUAAUAAAUUGAAUAAGUGAAAAUUUAUUUUAUUUCAAUUUUUUUAAAUUCAAUAUUUUAUAUUUAUUGUUUUGGAUUUAUUAUUAUUCUUAUUCUUUUAAAAAUUUAUAUUUUAGAAUUAGUAUUUUUUUAUUAUUGCUGUUAUUAUGUUUUAUAAGUAUUAUUAAAGUUAAUUACCAUAUUAUUCACUUUAAAAUUAUUUUUCAUAAAUAACUUUUUAAAAAAUGUCCCAUGCAACAUGAGGGCAUCAUUCUAGUGAUAUAUUAAAGUUUAAAUUCUUUUCCUUAAUUAAUAUCUCAAUUAAUUUUUUACAAUUAAAAUUUUAUAAUUUAUCACUAUGUUAUUGAUAGACAAAUCCAAACUUUUGGUAUUCAUAGUUUAAGAAUUUAUAUAUACAUAUAUAUUCCAUUUAAUUAACGUGGAUAUGAAGGUAAUGUCAAUGUCAAGAUUCCCUCAACCAAUGAAAUAUUUGAUGUUAUAUAGUCUCGUAGACUUAAAAUUAGACAUCGACUGGAACUCGCAAUAAAAGUUUCUUCUUUCUAUGAAGAAAUAGAAUGUAGCAAGAAGCUACAUGGAAAGGGGGAAAGAAUUUUUUAACCCAAACUCCACGAUCUUAUGUAAAGUCACACUUUGAGCUAAAGUAUUAAUUACAAAAUAACAAAAUGAAAACCCAAGCAGCAGUUGGAGCCCUAGCCAAUUUGUCCGUUUUGAUUAUAUUUAUUACUUCCUUUGUCUAUUGUUUUUUAUUCAUCUUUUCCUUUUGGAAUGUUCUAAAAUUAUGUUUUAUUUUAUUUUUUGAACAUCUAAAACACUUACUUUUUAUAUUUUAAAAUUAUUUUUUAUUUUUUAUUUUACUUUUUGAUAUUAAACAUCAUGAAACUUUAAUUUUAUAAAAUAAUUUAAAUUUUAAUAUUAAAUACAUUAAAAUCAAAACUUAUUUCUUAAACUCCAUAAAAGUCAAUAGAUAACAAACAUUUUGGGACGAAGGAAGUAUUAAAUAUCAAAUUAUAUUGAAAGCAAAAUAAAUUUUCUUUAAAACAAAAAAUAAAUUUGCACUUAAAUUCAAGUAAAUAAUCUUUAAAAGAAUAUAUAUUUUUUGAGAAAUUGUAAAAACAAUUUUAAGCAAAUUCGAUUUAAAAUACUACUUAAAAUUUUUAUCAUUUCAAAACAUCAACCAAUUUAAGGCUAACAUUAUUAAUUAAGGAAGAAAUAUUUAAGUUAAUGAACUAUCAAAGGCACACACACACACACACACACACAUAUAUAUAUCGUUUGCUAUAUAUUGGCACUUUUAAAGUUUAUAGUUUUUAAUAUAGUAUAGAUAAAUAUAGAAUAGUAAAAUCUUAUAAAGCAAAUAACAUUAACCCAAUGAAAGUACCUAAUAUAUUCAAGAUUUUCUCUCCCCUUCAAACUUCUAGAAAUGUAUAAAAAAUGGAAUUAACAAAGUGGUCUUACAUUUUUCUUUUGGUGUUUAUGCAAGCCUAUAGCAUUUGACUUACAAAAUCUAAGUAAUUUACUCUCAUUUUAGGUAUUACUCUUAAUAUUUUCUUUCUAAAAUUUAAAUUUGAGACUUUCAAGUUAAAUAUGUUGUCUUUGAGUCAGUAUCUUAUAUAUUAUGAAUAUGAUCAUAUAUAUUGGAUGCAAUGUUGUAAGGUGAAUAGGACAAUACCACCUCAUUAAUGAAUAAAUUUUUAAAAAUAUAUAUUAAUUUUUGUAUAUUUUAUUUUAUGUACUGAUAUUUAUUCAUUAAUAAAUUGACAUCAUCUUAUUCAGUUACAAUAUAUAGAAUCUAUAUACUAAUGCAUUAAAUAUAAACCCAAAAUGAAAUUACUUAUAGUAAAAUAAAAGAAUUUGAUGAAACCAACAAAAACAUAAAAGUAAAAUUGUAAACUUUUAUUAUGGUAGAACUUAUAAUAUCAUUAUUCAUUUCUGAACCAAUUUUUUUAAUACGUUAAAAGCUCGAAUUUAUAAAGAAAUAUGAAAAGAAAAAAAAAACUCUUAGUUGACAAAUCAAAAUAUUUUGUGUUCAUACCUUAAGAAUCCAAGUAUACAAAUAUAUAUAUAUAUAUAUAUAUAUAUUCCAACUGAUUAUAGUGGAUAUGAAGGCAAUGUCAAUUUCAAGGUUGACGCCAUUGUCAAUAUUUGAUGUUAUAGUCUUUUAGACUUAAAAAAAAAAAAAAGAAAAGUAGAUAUAUUGACCGGAACUUGCAAUAAGAUUUUCUUCUUUCCAUGAAGAAAUAGUAUGUACCAGGAAGCUACAUGGAACAUUAAGUGUGGAAAAAUUUUUUUUCUCUCAUUGAUUUUUCUUUUUAUCAAAUUAACUCAACUUUAACCAUUAAUUUUGAAAAUAUAAUGUAAUAAUAAAUUUUCAAAAAUAUAUAAUUUGAAAACUUUGGAAUUCAAAAUUUCAAGUCUUAGUUUUUAAAAAUAUAUAGCAUUAUAAUCUUCUGAAAAAUAAUAGUUAAAGUUGAGUUCAUUUAAUAAAAAAAGUCACUAAAAACAAAUUAAUUGAAAUGGAUAGAACAUUAAACACCGAAACAAAUUUGACAUUGUACUAUGGAUUAAUAUUUAAUUUUUUCCUUAAAAUUUAAUUCGUUGAAUUUUGUCACAAUACUUUUAAUUUAGGUAAUUUUUUAACAAAAAUGAAGAAAUUGAAAUAAUUCACGAAAUAAUUUAUUUAUGCAAACGACAAAUCUGCUCAAUGCACUGUCAAUUAAUGUUGAUUUUGAAUAUAUCAGUAUGAAAAUGACAAACUUUCAUUAAUUUCAUCCCUUAUAUUCAAAAGUCAUUUUUUAGAGAUGGCUAUUAUUGGGUAACUCCUUGAUUGGCUAUAUAUAUUAAGCUCCAUGCAAGGCUUAUUGUUAUAUAUUUAAUUUUAUCAUUUAUAGUAAUGGAAUAUAAAAUUUUUAAAUAAAAAUUAAAAAAAUCAUAAAUUAAAUUUUAUCUAUUUUUCAUAUAACAAAAUACAAAUAAAUGACUAAAAAAAAUUCAAGCGUAUUAAACUAUAAUAAUUUUCUAAUUAUAUAAAUGGAAAGUAACAAACAACUAUAUCGAAAGAUAAAAUUCAAAAAUAAAAUUAUUCAAUUUUUUUGAAAAAAUAAUAGGAUAAGAUAUAUUUAAUUUUUUUAUUUAUAUUUUAGAUUUGAAGGAAAAGAUAUUCGAUUGGGUUAAAUUAAUAUUCAAGUGUUUAUCUUUUAUAUUCUUUAAAACAAAAAUAAUCUAUUUCUAUACUAUUGAAUUAUAUAAAAUAUGUCCAUAAAUUUGUUGGCAGAGCAAUGAAAUCUUAAUUUCUAAUUCAAUCAUUGACACUUUCAAAUACAAAAAAAAAAAAAAAAGUUUAAUUAUAUUCAGAUGACACUAAAAAAUGAGAUUUCAGGCAUCAACUAGAACAUGCCACACAUAAUUAUUUAGAAGUAUGACUAUUAUAUACUUACCAACAUCAAAUCAAUUCUCAUUUUAAAUCUUAAUACUAGUUAACUUAUUUUAAAAUAAUUAAUUAAAUAAAAUUUUAAAAAAUUAGGAAAACUUAAAUCGUGUUCUCACAUUUUUAUCUAAAAAAAUUGGAUAUGGCUAGCAUCUUAAAAUUUUAUGUUUGGGCAAAUCGUCAAUGUAAUUUUUUAUUUAUUAUUAAAAUAUUAAAAAGAUUUUAAUAUUAAUAAUUUAAUAUUUUUAAAUAUAUUUUAAAUUAUAUUAACAAAUAUUAUUUAAUUAAAACAUAAUAAGCAAUCAACCUUGAUAGAAACUUUAAAAAUUUUAUUCAAUAUUUGAUUAAGUGGAGACUAACAAAUAGUAUGAUGCACAGACAAAUCUAAUAACAAGAUAUCAUAGAAUCAUUUAUGCUAUUUUAUUGGACAAUGUCUUUACGGUGGCAAAUAAUAAAAACAAAGUUUUUCAUUGCAAUCGAAUAUAUUGCUCAAAAAAAAAAAAAAGACCAUUCAUUUACUCCAAUGAUCAAGAUUUGUAGGACAAGAGAAAAGCAAAUGCAUCAACAUCUAUCAGUUAUAAUUAAUUAAAUUGCAAAUUGAAGGAAACUUUGGCAAGCGAAGUCAAGGUCUUCUAUUUCUCUAUCUUUCUCAAUCUCAUUAGUUGUAAAUUCUACUCUAUAGUGACAAUUUUAUAUUUUUAGUGAUAAAAAUGCAUUUUGUUAGAAUAUAUUCUUCAAAAUGACACUUGAAAAAAUUAGUCAUUAACAUCAUACUCUCCCUUAUUUUUCUAUAACGUGGUGGAAACGUUAUAGAAAAAUUAUGCAAUAAGACAAUUAGUAUUUUGCUUAGCGUGUAAAACCAAACAUAAGACCUUAUUUUCCACAAAACUAAAAUUUUCUUCACGCUAUAUAUUCAAUGUAGUUGUGUUAUUAGAAAUUUUUAAAUAUCCGAAUUUAAACCAAAUCAAAUAAGAAAAAAAUUGAUCCUAAUCAAAUAUUAUAUUUUUGAAUCAAUUUUUUAUUUUUUAAUUUUUAUCUUAUUCUAUAGGUUAGCUUCUUUAUAUUCUUUUAUGAGGAAUAAUGAUGAAAUCCCCAUGGCUAUGCUGAAAUGGUUCCUAUAUGGCUAUCAGGAGAAGAGUUUUGGCAUUGGCAAAAUAUCAAGAAUUGAAUCUCAAAGGUAUAAAGACGGACUACAUUUGAAAAAAGCAAAUGCAUCAACAUAAGUAGUAAUUAAUUAAAUUGUAAAUUGAAGAAAAUUAACUUUGGCAAGUCCUGUGAAGGUCGUUCUUCUCCCAUUGUUGGUAAAUUUCACUAUGCUUCGAAUUGAUAUUUGAAUGAAUUAGUCAUUAACAUCACUCUUUCUCUAGAACAUAGCUAAAACGUUAUAGAAAAAAUUUACAAUAAAACAAGUAAUAUUUUCUUUAGCGUGUAAAGCAAGCAGAGAAGAACUUAUUUUCCGCAAAACUAGAGCUUAUUUUUCACAAAACUAAACCUUUGUUCACGCUGCAAACUAGACAAUAGAAACUCAUUGUCCAGCAAAUUUGAGUUAAUUUUUUCAAUUACUUUCUAUCAGGGGCACCCAACAUCAUUAAAUGCAUGACCUAAAUUGCCGGUGAUUUUUUGACCCCAAACCAAUUUGAAUUGUAAUUAAUUAAAUUGUAAUUAAUUAAAUAGUAAAUUGAAGGAAACUUUGGCAAAUGCAUCUCUGUCUUAUUGAUCUCAUCAGUUGUAAAUUUUACUACAUAGUGAUAAUUUUAUAUUUUUAAUAACAAUUUUUACCUUCACUGAAAAUGUAAUUUACUAGAAUAUAUUCUUCGAAAUGACACUUGAAAGAACUAACCAUUAACAUCACACUAUCUUGAACGUGUUCGAAAUGUUAUAAAAAAAUUAUGCAAUGAGACAAUUAGUAUUUUACUUAACGUGUAGAACCAAACAAAAUACCUUAAUUUCCACAAAACCAAAACUUUCUUCACGCUACAAAGUCAAAGUAGAAACUCUCAAACAUCAUUAAGUGCAUGAAUUGAAGUGGCUGUGCUGUUUUGACCCAAACGCGUUUCCAAUGCAAAUAUAAUACUAACAUUGCACUUGACUAAAUUGCAAUUUAAAGGAAAUUAAUAUUGGCAAAUCCCGUCAAAGUUGUCUUUUUCUCGUCUUGAUAAAUUUCAUUAUUCUUCGAAUUAAUAUUUGAAUGAAUUGGUCAUUAAUAUCACACUCUUCCAAACGUAGCCAAAACGUUAUAAACAAAGUCUACAACAAAAAAAGAAAUAGUUUCCUUAGCGUGUAAAACAAAGCAGAAGAACUUAUUUUCCACAAAAUUAAAAACUUUGUUGACUCUACAAACUAGAAAGUAGAAACUCAUUGUCAAGCAAAUUGGAGUUAAUUUCACCAAUUACUUUCUAUUUGGACCACCCAACAUCAUUAAAUGCAUGACCUGAAUUGCCAACGACGUUUUUGACCCCAAACACAAUUUCGUUUUGACCCCAAAUGCGGUUAUUACUUGUGUUUGAAUUGGAUUUUUCAUGUAUAAAAAGCUAGAUGCAAGAAUGCAUUUGAGAAAUAUGAAGAUUUUGAACAACUUUGGAAAAAAUAAAUGGAAUGAAUCCUUUUUUAUCAGAUUAUUUAAUUAUAGUAUGAAAAAGUUAGUUGGUUGCCAAUAAAUUUAAGAUCCAAGGGCACUAUACAAUUGGCCAAUUCAAUGUCUUUAUAUGUUGUGCCUUUCAAAUUAAACAUAGUAAUAAUUUGUUAAUAAGGAAAAUAAUUAUUGAAUAUAAACAUCCUAAUCAUGCUGUUUGCAAGGGACAAGUAACUAUAGAGAUUUAUAUAUAUAAAUUACAAUUAUGUGUUAGUAAUGUGUUAUGAAGAGAAUUUAUACAUUAUAUUAACGCUUCAAUUGGUUUCCAUUUUACUAUUUUAUCUUUUAAAAUUUACGCUUGUUAAUUUCUAACUACCAACAUGAAUUAAAUUUAUUAUCUUUAAAAAAUAAAAUAAUGUAGCAUGAGGUUUUACCCAAUAAAAGUUUCCUUUUUCCAUGAAGAAAUAGGAUGCAGCAGAAACCCACAUAGAUAAUGGUGAAAAGAGUUUUUAACCCAAAGUUCACUAUUUCAUGCACAAAUCACACUUUUGGCUAAUUACAAAAUGACAAAAUGAAAACCCAAGCAUUAGCGAGAGCUCAAGCAAUUUUGUCCGUUUUUAUUAAAUUUAUUAUCAAAAUUAUAUUGAAUCCCAAAUAAAUUUUCUUUAAAACAAUAAUUAAAAUAUUUUGUAUUCAUAUUUUAAGAAUCUAAGUAUACAAAUAUAUAUUCCAAUUAAAUAAAGUGGAUACGAAGUCAAUGUCAAUUUCAAGGUUGACGCCAUUGUCAAUAUUUAAUGUUAUAGUCUUUUAGACUUAAAAAAAAUUGAAAAAGUGGACAUAUUGACCGGAACUUACAAUAAGAUUUUCUUCUUUCCACGAAGAAAUAGUAUGUACCGGGAAGCUACAUGGAACAUUAAGUGUGGAAAUAAUUUUUUCUUUCAUUGAUUUUUCUUUUUAUCAAAUUAACUCAACUUUAACCAUUAAUUUUGAAACUAUAAUGUAAUAAUAAAUUUUCAAAAAUAUAUAUUUUGAAAACUUUGGAAUUCAAAAUUUCAAGUCUUAGUUUUGAAUAAAAAAACGAUAUUGAAAUAUUUAACGAAAUAUUCUAUCAGCAUGAAAAUAAUCUAUUUAUAUACUGUUGAAUUAUAUAAAAUAUGUCAAUAAAUCUAUUGGUAGAGCAAUGAAAUCUUAAUUUCUAAUUUAAUCAUGAACACCUUCAAAUAAAAAAAUGUAAAUUAUAUUAGGAUGAUCCUAAAAAUUAAGUUUUUAGGCAUCAACUAGAAACAUGCCACACAUAAUUAUAUAGAAGCUUUUGAUGAAUAUUGUACACUCACCAACAUCAAACCAAUUCUCAUUUUAAAUCUUAAUACAAGUUAACUUAUUUAAAAAAAUUAAUGAAAUAAAAUUAAAAAGAAAUUAGGAAAACUUAAAUCGUUUUCACAUUUUCAUCUAAAAAAAUCGAACAUGGUUAGCAUCUUAAAGUCUUAUGUCCAAACCAAAUCAUCAAUUUCAUUUUUUAUUUAUUAUUAAAUUAUUAAAAGAUUUUAAUAUUAAUAAUUUAAUAUUUUUAAAUAUAUUUUAAAUUAAAUUAGCAAAUAUUAUUUAAUUAAAACAUAAUAAGCAAUCAACCUUGAUAGAAACUUUAAAAAUUUUAUUCUAUAUUCGAUUAAGUGGAGACUAACGGACAGUCAGAUGAAUAGACAAGUCCAAUAACAAGAUAUCAUAGAAUCAUCUGUAGUAUUUUAUAUAGACAAUGUCCAAUUUACAGUGGCAAAUAAUAAAAACAAAUUAUUUCAUUGCAAUAGAAUAUAUUGCUUAAAAAAAAAAAAAAACAAGACCAUUCAUUUACUCCAAUGAUCAAGAUUUGUCAGACAAGAGAAAAGCAAAUGUAUUAGCGUCUAUCAGUUGUAAUUAAUUAAAUUGCAAAUUGAAGGAAACUUUGUCAAGUGAAGUCAAGGUCUUCUAUUUCUCUAUCUUUCUCAAUCUCAUCAGUUGUAAAUUCUACUAUAUAGUGACAAUUUUAUAUUUUUAGUGAUAAAAAUGGAUUUUGUUAGAAUAUAUUUUUUGAAAUGACACUUACAAAAACUAGUCAUUAAUGUCACACUCCCUUAUUUUUCUAUAACGAAUUGGAAACGUUAUAGAAAAAUUAUGCAAUGAGACAAUUAGUAUUUUGCUUAGCGUUUAAAACCAAGCACAAGACCUUAUUUUCCACAAAACUAAAACUUUCUUCACGCUACAUACUAAAUGUAGUUGUGUUAUUACAAAUUUUUAAAUAUUUGAAUAACCAAAUUUAAACCAAAUCAAAUAAGAAACAAAUCAAUCCUAAUCAAAUAUUUAUUUUUGAAUUGAUUUUUUAUUUUUUAAUUUUUAUCUCAUCCUACAGAUUAGCUUCUUUAUAUUCCUUUAUGAGGAAUGAUAAUGAAAUCUUCAUGGCAAUGAUGAUGAAAUCUUCAUGGCAAUGCUGAAAUGGUUCCUAUAUGGCUAUCAGGAGAAGAGUUUUGGCAUUGGCAAAAUAUCAAGAAUUGAAUAUCAAAGGUAUAAAGACGGACUACAUUUGAAAAAAACAAAUGCAUCAACAUCAGUAGUAAUUAAUUAAAUUGUAAAUUGAAGGAAAUUAACUUUGGUAAGUCUUGUCAAGAUCGUCUUUCUCUCAUCGAUGAUAAAUUUCACUAUUUUUCAAAUUGAGAUUUGAAUAAAUUAGUCAUUAACAUCACUCUCUCUCGAUCGUAGCCGAAACGUUAUAGAAAAAAUUUGCAAUAAAACAAGUAAUAUUUUUUUAGCGUGUAAAUGCAAGCAGAGAAGAACUUAUUUUCCACAAAACCAGAACUUAUUUUCCACAAAACUAAAACCUUUGUUCAUGCUACAAACUAGAAAAUAGAAACUUAUUGUCAAGCAAAUUUGAGUUAAUUUUUCCAAUUACUUUCUAUCAGGGCCACACAACAUCAUUAAAUGCAUGACCUGAAUUGCCAGUGACGUUUUGACCCCAAACCCAAUUUCAGUGCGAAAAGGAGGUAGCUCAUCACCGAACUCGGUUUUUACUAAUUGGCUUCCAUUUUACGAUUUUAUUUUUUAAAAUUUUAUGCCAUUUAAUUUCUAAUUACCAACAUGAAUUAAAUUUAUUAUUUUUAAAAAAUAAAAUAAUGCAUAGAAUAAAAAUAAAAAAUAAAAAAAAUAAUAAAUUGAAUAAGUGAAAAUUUAUUUUAUUUUAAAUUUUUUAAAAUUCAAUCUUUUAUAUUUAUUGUUUUGGAUUUAUUAUUAUUCUUAUUCUUUUAAAAGUUUAUAUUUUAGAAUUAGUAUUUUGUUUUUUAUUGCCUUUAUUAUGUUUUAUAAGUAUUAUUAAAAUUAAUUACCAUAUUAUUCAAUUUAAAAUUAUUUUUCAUAAAUAACUUUUUUAAAAAAUGUACCAUGCAACAUAAGGGCAUCAUUCUAGUGAUAUACUAAAGUAUAAAUUUUUGUCCUUAAUUAAUAGCUCAUAUAAUUUUUUAGAAUUAAAAUUAUGUAGUUUAGCACUAUGUUAUUGAUAGACAAAUCUAAACAUUUGGUAUUCAUAGUUUAAGAAUCUAUGUAUACAUAUAUAUAUGUAUUUCAUUUAAUUAACGUGAAUAUGAAGGCAAUGUCAAUACCAAGAUCCCCUCAAAUAAUGAAAUAUUUGAUGUUAUGUAAUCUCAUAGAUUUAAAAAUCAUGAAACUUUAAUUUUAUAAAAAGAAUUUAAAUUUUAAUAUUGAAUACAUUAAAGUCAACUUUUUUCUUAAAUUCCAUAAAAGUCAAUAAAUGACAAAUAUUUUGGAAUGGAAGGAGUAUUAAAAUAUCAAAAUUAUAUUGAAAGCAAAAUAGAUUUUCUUUAAAAACAAAAAAUAAAUUUGGAUUUAAAUUCAAAUAAAUAAUCUUUAAAAAUAUAUAUUUUUUGAGAAAUAUUACAUAACAAUUUUAAGCAAAUUCAAUUUAAAAUACACAGUUAAAAUUUUUAUCAUUUCAAAACAUUGACCAAUUUAAAGUUAACAUUAUUAAUUAAGGAUGANNNNNNNNNNNNNNNNNNNNNNNNNNNNNNNNNNNNNNNNNNNNNNNNNNNNNNNNNNNNNNNNNNNNNNNNNNNNNNNNNNNNNNNNNNNNNNNNNNNNNNNNNNNNNNNNNNNNNNNNNNNNNNNNNNNNNNNNNNNNNNNNNNNNNNNNNNNNNNNNNNNNNNNNNNNNNNNNNNNNNNNNNNNNNNNNNNNNNNNNNNNNNNNNNNNNNNNNNNNNNNNNNNNNNNNNNNNNNNNNNNNNNNNNNNNNNNNNNNNNNNNNNNNNNNNNNNNNNNNNNNNNNNNNNNNNNNNNNNNNNNNNNNNNNNNNNNNNNNNNNNNNNNNNNNNNNNNNNNNNNNNNNNNNNNNNNNNNNNNNNNNNNNNNNNNNNNNNNNNNNNNNNNNNNNNNNNNNNNNNNNNNNNNNNNNNNNNNNNNNNNNNNNNNNNNNNNNNNNNNNNNNNNNNNNNNNNNNNNNNNNNNNNNNNNNNNNNNNNNNNNNNNNNNNNNNNNNNNNNNNNNNNNNNNNNNNNNNNNNNNNNNNNNNNNNNNNNNNNNNNNNNNNNNNNNNNNNNNNNNNNNNNNNNNNNNNNNNNNNNNNNNNNNNNNNNNNNNNNNNNNNNNNNNNNNNNNNNNNNNNNNNNNNNNNNNNNNNNNNNNNNNNNNNNNNNNNNNNNNNNNNNNNNNNNNNNNNNNNNNNNNNNNNNNNNNNNNNNNNNNNNNNNNNNNNNNNNNNNNNNNNNNNNNNNNNNNNNNNNNNNNNNNNNNNNNNNNNNNNNNNNNNNNNNNNNNNNNNNNNNNNNNNNNNNNNNNNNNNNNNNNNNNNNNNNNNNNNNNNNNNNNNNNNNNNNNNNNNNNNNNNNNNNNNNNNNNNNNNNNNNNNNNNNNNNNNNNNNNNNNNNNNNNNNNNNNNNNNNNNNNNNNNNNNNNNNNNNNNNNNNNNNNNNNNNNNNNNNNNNNNNNNNNNNNNNNNNNNNNNNNNNNNNNNNNNNNNNNNNNNNNNNNNNNNNNNNNNNNNNAACAAAACUUCAUUGAUAGUAUGAACAAAGUUUUAAUUUGUGGAAAAUAAAACUCUAUUGCUUGGUUUAAUACAAAGGUACAUAAUUGUUCUAUUGUAAAAUUUUAGAAAUAAUUAUAUAUGAAUUUAAUAAAAUAAAAUAUAUAUUUAUAUUUUCAUGUCGACAUGAAAUUGUGAUAUGUAAUUUUCAAUAAAACACAACACGGAAGUACAUGAAUUUCAAAUUGUUACACAAUAUAAAUACACAAAUGAUAAGUAGAGUCUAAUAACAAGGAGAUCAUAGAAGCAUUUACAAUAUUUAUACAGACAAUGUCUAAUUCAUGGUGGAAAGUUAUAAAAUGAUUAAAUUAUGAAUGAUCUUUAAAUUAUAAUGAAAUAUUCAAUAUAAUAUUUAAAUUUAAAAAUUAUAAUAUAAUAUCAAAUCUACAAAUUUUAACAUCCUAAUUAUGUAUUUGCAAGGGUUGAGUAAUUGUGGAGCUGCAAAAAUAAUUGGCUUUCUUAGUUCUCUAAAAAUAUAUUAUUUGAAAAUAAAAAAUAAGGUGUCUAUGGACUAAAAAGGAGCCGAGUUUUGGCUUGAAACCUAAAAAUCUUAGGUUUGGUCAGCUCUGCAUUUGUUUUUAUUUAUCAUUAAAAUAUCAAAAAUAUAUUUUACUAAUAUUUUAAUUCUUUUAAAUAUCUUCUAAAUAAAAUUUAAAAAUAAAUUAUUUUACAAUAUAAUAGCACAAUCAAUCUGAACUAGACUUUAAAAACUUUAGCAAGUCAAGAUCUUUGCGUAGACUCUGCUUGGUUUCCUUUCCUUUUUACUUGAAAGGAGUGUUGGUGCCUUUCACUGUGUUCUCUCAUCGAUGGUAAAUUCCAGGAAUUGAAACUUGAAUAAACUUAUUUAUUACUAAAAUCAUACUUUCUUAAAAGUGGCUGACAUGCUUUAGAAAAAUUUUGCAAUGAGAUAAAGUACAUGCCAUUGUGUGUAAAACGAAGCACAAGACUUUUUAUUUUCCACAAAUUAAAACGUUAUUCACACUAAAGUAAAACUAAUGGUGAAGAUAUAACUAUAAAUUAUAUGAAGUGUCAAGCAAGUUGAAGUUGAUUUCUCAAUAACUUUCUUUUGGGUUUGGCCAAUAACCAACAUUGCAGUUGCUUUUAAAAGUCCAAUAGUUUCUUUUUUUACUUUUGUAUUCUACUUUUUUUACACUCUUUUGAAUUCAUUUUUUCAUGUAUAAAAGCCAAAAGUGCAAUUUGAUAUUAAAGUAAGUAUUUUGAAAAAUUAAAAAUUAAAUAAAAAAGCAUCUUUAAGUAUUAUUAUUUAUCAUAUUAUUCAAUUUAAAAUUAUUUUUUAUAAAUAAUUUUAAAUAUAUAUAUAUAUAUAUAUAUAUCCCAUGCAAAGCGAAAGCUUCAUUCUAUUGAUAUAUGAAAGUAUAAAUUUUUUUUAUCCUUUAUUAAUAGCUUAUGUAAAAUUUUACUGUUAAAUUUAUGAAAUUUAAUAUCAUAUUAUUGAUUGUUUGUUACUAUUUUAUUAAUCAUUUACAGAGAAAUCAGAAAAGAAAAUGAAAAACUCGUAGACAAAUCACAACAUUUUAUGUUCAUACAUAUACUUUAAGAAUCCAAAUAUAUAUUUCAAUUAAAUAACGUGGAUAUGAAGACAAUGUGAAUUUAAAAGUUGACGCCAAUGCGACGAUCCUUUCAAACAAUGCAAUAUCUGAUGUUAUAAUUUCAUAGAUUUAAAAGUAGAUAUGAAAUGCCUUUAAAAAAAUAGAAACCAAAUGGAACUCGCAAUAAAAGUUUCUUCUUUCCAAAAAGAAAUAGAAUGUAACAGGAAGUCACAUGGAAAACGUUGAAAGAAUUUUUAACCCAAACUCCGCAAUUUCAUGUAAAGCCACACUAUGGGCUAAAGUAUUAAUUACAAAAUGAAAAAAAAAUCAAUAGUGUCAUUUACAAUCAUUAUGUAACUAAUCAUAAUUUAAAAUUAUGUGAGAUUUAUAAAAUAUUAUAUAAAGCACACACACAUAAGUGAUGAAUCCGUAUAUAAUUUUUUAAUAUAAUUAAAUAAUUAUAAUAUUGUAAUAAAAAAAUUAUAAGUGAAAUGUUCCCAAACUAAUUUACUUAUUUCAAUUAAAUUUGUUAUUAAAAUGUUAAUAAUAUUUUAUAUUAAUAUUUUAAAAUUAAAAUUUAAUUAAUAUAUAUUAUUUAUUAAUAUAAUAAAAUUCUUAAGUUGAACUCAAGUUUCAAAAAUCAUAUUUAGGACUGGAUCCAAGUCUUUUGACCAAUAACCUAAAAAGUAGUUGGGUUUAACAAGUACUCCAACCAUACAACUAAGAGAACGAUUGUGAAAUGAAUGAUUUUUUAUCAAGAUUGAUCAUCGAUACAAAAAAUAAUAAUAAUCAAAACAAUUAAAUAAUAGAAAAUUAGUAUAUUUAUAGAAAUUUUAAAUUAAAUCCAACAUAUAUACAAUGAGAUUUGAUCAUAAAAUCUAAUGCUUCCAAUCCCUCUUUCUUAUUAUUGAGACAAAACCUUAUAUAUAUAUAUAUAUAUCUAUAUAUAGCAUGAACAAAGUUUUAAUUUGUGGAAAAUAAAAGUCUAUUGCUUGAUUUUUCACGUAAAGGCGCGCACUUGUCUCAUUGCAAAAUUUUUUCUAAAUUAUGUCAGCCACUUUCAAGAGAGAGUGAUUUUAGUGACUAAUUUAUUCAAGUUUCAAUUCCAAGAACAGUAGAAUUCACCACCGAUAGGAGAAAAAGAAAGAGACUAACACUCCUUUUGGUAAGAAGGAAAGGAAGAGGGAAUUUUCUUUUCCUUUCCCUUUUCUUUCUUUCCUACAAAACAGAGUGUAAACGAGGACCUUGACUUGCCAACGUUUCCUUGACUUGAUUUCCUUACUGCACUGUCAAUAUAUAUUGUUUUUGAAUAAAAAAUAAUAAACCAAAUUAUAAUAUUUAACAAAAUAUUCUGUAGACAAAUUUUAAUCAAUUUAUAUUCAAGAGCCAUUUUAUAGGGAUGACUGUUAUUGCUUUACUCCUUGAUUGUCUAUAUAUAUUAAGUUCGAUGCAAGGCUUAUUAUUAUAUAUUUAGAGGUAGCAGUUGAGAGAGAACUGAAAAUAUAGAGAUAUAAUAGAGAAGGAGAUGAUGGAACCCAAAUGGUUGUGGUUGAGUGUGUUGUUGUUGUUGUUAGAAGGAUGCAGAUGGUAUAGUACUGAUGCGUGUUGGGAGGAUGAGAGGAUUGCUCUCUUGCAACUCAAACCUUUCUUCAACCAUUAUAAAGAUCUGAACCGCUGGGUGGAGGACAAGGGUUCAGAUUGCUGCCAAUGGGAAAGGGUCGAAUGCAACAUCUCCUCCUCCUCCUCCUUCGGGCGAGUCAUAGGACUCUUUCUUUAUGAUACAAGACGGUCCUACAAUGAAAGAUGGUAUCUGAAUGCCUCUUUGUUUCUUCCUUUCAAGGAAUUGAAGCUUCUUCAUUUGGACGGGAAUAGCAUCGCUGGUUUUGUUGAAAAUGAAGGUCCCUUUUGUCCUUUCAUUGCUAAUUCGCAAUAUGAAAAUUCAUUCAUAACUUUUCAUUUUUAUAAUUUCAUAUUUAAUUCUAUUAUUGUUUAAUUGAUGAAAAGCCACUAAGUCUUUAUUAUAUAUUUAAAAGAACUCUCUUGCAGGUUUUGCAAAGCUAAAUUUGGAGAUCUUUGACUUAAGUUUCAAUUACCUCAAUGAUACAGUUUUAUUAUCUUUGAGUCAGCUUUUAUCUCUCAAGGAUUUAUAUCUAGCAGGAAACUUGUUCACUGGAUCCAGUCAUGCAAACGGUGGAAUUAAAUUAAUCUAAUAAUGAUUAUGAAUGAUAAACAGUAAUUAAAAUAUUAAUCUGUCUUCAUUAUAGGUUUUCAAUGGCUUUCAAGACUUAGUAAGUUGGAAACUCUUAAUUUAAGGUACAACUCUUUGAAAAAUAACAUAUUGUUUCAUAUGAAUGGUCUUUAUCUUUAAGGACUUUAAAUUUGAGUGCAAAUCACUUGGAAGGAACCAUUCAUAUUCAUGGUAAACUUGCUUUACCUUUCUUUUACAUUCAAAUCAAUUGUUGUUUCAGGAAAAGGUGUUGCAUAACAUUUGCUUUUAUACAUAAUAUUAAUUGCUCUUUGGUAUGGAAUACGAUUGAAUAAUUUGAUAAAUUUGGAGAACUUAGAUUUAAGCUACAAUAAAAUUGAAAGCUCCUAACCAUCAAAGCAAGGUAAAAAUAUAUAUUUCAAUUCACUCAACUAAGUUCUUAAUUAUGUGAUCAAUGUAUAAAAUUUCCCAUUAACAGUAGCAUAUAAUAGAAAUAUUCUUCUACAGGAAAGGAGAUACAACUAAGGAUGACCAAUUUGGAGGUUCUUGAUUUAAGUAAUAAUCUCUUCAAGAACGACACUUUUGCAAUCCUUUCUGGCCUUCCAAGUCUAAAGUCCCUGUAUAUGGGGAACAACCAAUUGCAAGGCUCAAUAGAUAUUAAAGGUAAAGCUAUUACAACUCCCUUCUUUUUUUUUUAAUUCUAUUUUAGAACCCUUUUGCUCAUCAAAUAGGUAAAAUCUCAUAUCACAUUUGGGGAUUUUUCCUCUUCAUUUAAAGCUUUAGAUUUGUUUUGCCUUUUAUUUCAUUGUAAAGUCAUUAAAAAUAUUCAGUAAAAGAUUAUUUGAGUAACCAGGCUAACAUAAUGAUUAUUUGAAUUGAACUUGGACAUAGAAUUGAAUAAUUUAAAGAAUUUGAAGGAGUUGUAUUUGCACUCCAACAAAAUUGAAAGCCUUCAAUCCUCACAAGGUAUGCAUUUAUAUUUGUUCAAUUAGUUAAGUUGUUAUAUAUAAUUAAAUAUUAUGUAAAUCUUUUUUUAGUGAUGAAAUUAUGUAAACCUUAUGUAGAUAGUGGGAGACAGCUGAACUUAACCCAUUUAGAAGAAUUUGAUUUGAGUGAUAAUCUCAUUAAGGACAGCAUAUUUGCAUCACUUAGCGGGCUUUCAAAUUUGAAGUAUUUGCAUAUAAGCUCCAAUCAGUUAAAUGGAUCAAUAGAUAUGAAAGGUAAAAUUACUUUUUUUGCAAAAAUUUUGAAUUUGUUAACAAAAAUCUUAAUUCAUGUUUCAAGAUAAUAUAACAAAUAAGUUUAUCUGUCUCUUUUCUUUAAUUAUGAAAUUAUGUAAAUUAUUUAUAGAUAUUGGGAGACAGUUAAAAUUGAACAAUUUCUAAAAGCUUGAUUUAAGUCAUAAUCUAAUUAAUUAUUACUUUUCAACCAAAAUUUUAACUCUGUUAUAAAUACUUUUAAAAAAAAAAACACAUUUCGUGUUUUGAGAUGAUUUAAUGAAAUUUAUAUAUUACUUUUUUUUCCAGACUUAGGUGCUUUUACCAACAUAGAGGAACUGGAUAUGAGCUAUAAUGAUUUGAAUGAAUUUGUGGCUUGUAAAGGUAUGGAUUUAAAUAAAUUUUUUUAUUUUUAUUUGUGAGGUUUAUAAUGGUGUAGAUGUUUUAAUGAUCAACAAAUUUAGCAUAUUAAAAUUUAAUGCUUAAUUUUUUAAAGAAAGAAAUUAAUUAUUUAUUAUAUACUUUUUACUACAAUAUUACAAUUCUCUAAUUAUAAUAAAGAAUUACAUAAGAAUCCACCAUUUAUAAGUGUGACCUCCACAUAAAAUUUUGUUAGACCUCACACAAUUUUGAAUUGUGAUUACUUAAUUGUAUUACAAUAAUUGUAGGUGAAAUGCUCUCAUUAAACCUAAUUUUUUAAAGGAAGAAAUACAUUAUAAUUUGAUUACUAAUUAGAAAUGAUAUAUAUUUGCAUUAGGUAAUUGCAUUUUUUAAGAAGUGUUGCAGUUGCAUACCAAAUAUUUCCAUUUUUAUUUGUAUUAGCUUGUUGUGUUUUAGAGUUGGACUUGUUUGCUUUUUGCCAUUCUGUUUUAGACUACUGCUCAUUCUUAUUCCCUUUAAAAAAAUUUUGCCUUUUCAUGUUACAGUUUUGUUUGAUUUUCAUCUUCUUGAUUGUUUUGUAUAUUAAAUUUAUAUUAAAAAUUGUUACCGUUUCAAUAUUCUUCUCUAUUAAAAAUUCAUCUCGCAUAAAUCUUGGAUAUAUAAUCUUAUCUACAAAAAUAAAAAUUUACACUUGUUUAUUUUUUCCAUUUACAGAAUAUAAGAGUUUGAAAAAGUUAAAAGUUCUUUAUCUAAUUGGGGUUUUCACCAAUGGAAGCAUUCCAUUACUACUAAAAUUAGUAGAGGCAUUCCCAUCGGUUAAGAGCUUCGUUCUACUAGGGAAUUACUUAAACAAGACUAUGACUACUCAAGAUCAAGGUAAGUCAUUAAUUUAUUCCAAAAGGACUAAAAAUUAGUAGAUGUUUGUUGAUUAACAUCUAAUAAUGCCUCCUAUGCUAUGAUUACUCAAAAUUGCAUGUGUGGAGCAAUGUGGAGGAAAUAUUUCUAGACGGUUCUUAUCUCAACAACAACAUUUUGCAAAGCAUUGGAGUAUUCACUUCUCUUAAAACUUUGUCUUUAUCUAGCUGUGGACUUAUGGGUUCCUUGCCUAAUCAAGGUAAAUUAAAGACUCCAUAAUUUCUCCAAUAUAACUUACGGAAUACAUCUCUUUCUAAUAAUCCUUUAUUCUAUUUCUUUUAUCUAAUAUCUCCUAUAUAAUUUGACAUGGAAAUUAAAAUUUAAUUAGAAUUUCUUCCAUGAAUUUACAAAAUUUUCAGGUUGGUGUGAUUUAAAGAACCUUGAAAAGUUGGACAUCAAAGAGAAUGCAUUUGAGGGGAUACUUCCUUAUUGUUUGGGUAACUUGACAUCUCUUCUUGAGUUAGAUAUCUCCGACAAUCAAUUUACUGGAAAUUUGACUCAUUUAGCAAAUCUUUCAUCACUUAGAUCUGUCACCCUUUCAAGAAAUCGUUGUCAAAUUUCAAUGCCAUUCCUAUCACUUGCAAACCUUCCAAAUCUCAAGUUUCUCUUGGCUGAUGAAAACAAUAUAGUAAUGGAACCUAAUUCCUUUCAUACUUCAAUUCCAAAGUUUCAACUAAAUGUUUUUAGCUUGUCAAAGUGUACAACAGAUAAAGGACUUAGCCUACAACCUCCUAAGUUCCUUUAUUACCAAUAUGACUUGGGAUAUGUUGAUCUUUCCUAUAACUAUUUCAGUGAAACAGUCCCGUUAUGGUUGUUAGAAAAUAACACAAAAUUAGAAAAUCUCUUCUUGUUGGGCAAUUCUUUCAUCGGUCCUCUCUUGUUACCACAACUUCCUAAUCCUAAAGUGUCUGUAAUUGACAUAUCUAAUAACAAAUUACAAGGCCAAAUUCCGACAAAUAUAUGUUCAACUUUUCCAAAUUUGGAAUGGUUAUUGUUAUCUAAGAAUGCCUUUGAAGGUAAUAUCCCUCCUUGUUUAAGUGGCAUGGACACUUUAUCAUUUUUAGACCUAUCGGACAAUCAUUUGUCUGGAAGAUUACCAGAAGAGUUGAUCAUGGGAAGUUCAUUAGAUAUUCUUAGGCUAUCAAAUAACAACCUAAGUGGAAAGAUUGUUCCUAUGAUGUUCAACACAAGCAAGUUGUCAAAUUUGUAUUUGGAUGGCAAUAAUUUUACCGGAGAGAUUCCUGAUAUUGAUGUCUCUGCUUCUGAUUUGUCAUAUUCAUCACUAGAGGAUAUUGAUCUCAGUAAUAACAGUUUUAAUGGAAAGCUCCCAAGAUGGAUAGGGAAUGUACCGCAUUUGAAGAGAUUGGCUUUGUCCAACAAUCAUUUCGAAGGUUCUAUUCCAAUGGAAUUGUGCAACUUGUAUAAGCUUGAAUUUUUGGAGCUUUCUCAAAACAAUUUAUCUGGCUCUAUUCCUUCUUGUUUCAAUCCACCAUAUUUGAGACAUGUCCACGUGAAGAGAAACAGACUAAGUGGUCCAUUGACACUUGUUUUUAGUAGCUCUGCAUUAGUGACAUUAGAUCUUAGAGGGAACAAUUUGACCAGUAAUAUUCCAAAAAGGAUUGGCACAUUUUCUGCUUUAAGCGUCCUUCUUUUGAAAGAUAAUCAUUUAAACGGUGAAAUUCCAGUUCAAUUAUGCAAGUUGUAUUCAUUGAGCAUCAUAGAUCUUUCUGGAAAUAUGUUUUCUGGUCCUAUACCUUCUUGUUUGGGCAAUUUAACUCUGGCAAUGCAAGAGAAGAAGUCUCGCAUGGAUGAUUAUUUUUAUAUAGCAAAUCGAAUACAGCAUCUACUAGUACCAAUAGACAUUUGGUUUGAUUUAUCACAUGUUUUUCCUAGUAGCAGCAUGAAAGAAUGGAUAGAGUUUACAACAAAGAGUGUGUCCUACUCAUACGGUGGUGACAUUCUUAAGCACAUGUCUGGGAUUGAUUUAUCUUGUAACAGGUUAACUGGGCAAAUCCCAGUGGAACUGGGAAACCUGAGUGAAAUCCGUUCGUUAAACUUAUCACACAAUAACUUAGUCGGAGUUAUACCUUCAUCAUUUUCACAACUUAAGCAAAUUGAGAGUUUGGACCUUUCUUACAACAACUUGAGUGGGAGAAUCCCUAUACAGUUGGUUGAGUUGAACUUUCUAGAGGUUUUCAGUGUGGCACACAACAACUUGUCAGGUAGUACUUCAGAACCAAAAGCUCAGUUUGGGACCUUUGAUGAAAGCAGUUACGAGGGAAACCCUCUUCUUUGUGGGCCUCCACUGCAAAAUAACUGCUCUAAAACUGACUCACCAACAACAGUACCAACUACGGCAGAUGAUGAAGGAGAAGGUAGUUUCAUGGACACAUAUGUUUUUUGUGUGAGCUUUCUGGUUUCAUAUGUGAUUGUUUUAUUGGUAAUUUUUGUUGUUCUAUACAUAAAUCCAUAUUGGCGACAAGCAUGGUUUUCUUUCAUUGAGAGUUGCCAUCACAACUUUGUCGCUACUCAGUUGUAGGCAAUUUUCUUGAGUUAUACAUCUUCAAAAGAUGUGUUUAGGUGUCAUAGGAGAUCUUAUGAUUUGCCCUUAGUUUGAUUGUAGUGAAGAUUUGGAUAAAGUUUAUUUUUGUUGUCAAAAGAAAUUUGGUGAUUUGAUCUUUUAAAUGAGGGAUUUCUUUUAGCUGAUUAUUCUGUUAAGAUGGUUGUAGAAAGAGUUGUGGAUUUGGUUACUCAGAUUGCUUAGAAAGAGUACUUUGAUGAUUUUGCACUUUCAACAGAGCUUUUUGUCUCCGUUGGAACUCUGUUUUUGGUAUUUGUUUUGUUUGGAAGGAAGCACUGUCUUUUAGAAAUUAGUAUUAGUUUACAAAAUGAGCCAAUUCAGCAUUGAUCGAUGAAAAUGAUCGCAAAAUGCAUUUAUUUUUUUAUAGGGUUACAAAAUAUUCCAAAAUAAAAAAUAAUAAUAAUAAGUUGAUAUAUCUCAUACGCAAGAAAAUCCCAUCAAAUAAAUAAAUUAAAUGCAUAAUCUUUCAAAGCAAUAAUAAAUAUAGGGUGUUAGCUAUUGGGACAAGGACUUAGUAUAGUUUGUUAAUUAAUUAUUUUAUGAUUGUAAUUUGAUUAUGAUGUAAUAAUUAAUUAUAUGAUAUAAUACUUGAUUAUUACUAUAAAAAUUUUUAAAAAAUAAUUAAAAUUUCUGAAUUCAUGCUUUGCAUGGUUAAUUUUUAUUUAUAGUACUACUUUUUUUUAUAACUUAAAAUUUGUUAAAUGUAAAACUUUUACUAUUAAAUUUAGUGAAAAUACAUUUAUUUAUUUAUUAACAAAGAAUAUAAUUUAAAAUUAUUUUAUUUUAUUCUUUUAAAAUAAUCAAAAAUAUUUUCAAAAUUUUAAUUGGAUUUAUUUUUAGAUAAUUUUAAAAAUAUAUUCUUUCACAUUGAUUUGAUAAUUUUGAUGUGUUUUUUUCACAAAAGUCUUAUUUUAAUUUUUAAUGAAAAUAAUUCAGUAGUAAAAGAGGAAGAUUAAAAUGUUUUAUGUGAUUUCAUUUAAAAAAAUUUUAAUUGGAUAUUUGAAUUAUAAUUUUUUUAAUUAAUAUGAUAUGCUAUUUAUUAAUCACAUGUCAUUAUUUAAAACUUAUAAGAUUAAAAGUAAAUAUCAAAUUAAUUAAUAAAUUUAUAAUUUAAAUUAUUAAAAAAUUUUAAAAUUCAAAUAUUUAGUUUUUAAUAUUUAACUUAAAAAUCUAUUCAUAUAUUGAAAAUAAACCCCUAAAAAAUGAUCAAACUACCCCUCUCUUGGUUUGAUAAGAAUUUGAUAUAUAACCAAAUUGAUUAUUUUGCCUUCAUACCAUAAUUAAAAAAUAUCUUUUCCUUUUAUAAUUAUUUACUAUAAUACUCCAUAUCAUAAUUAUAGAAAUAUUCUUCUCUUAAAUUAAUUAUUAUACUCUCAUAUCAUAAUAAAGAAAAUACACAUUCUCUUAUAAUUAUUUAUUAUAAUAUCCUCGUACCAUAAUUAUAAAAAUAUUCUUUUUAUUAUUAAAUUAAAAAAAUACCAAUUCUCUUAUUAUUGACUCAUAUUAUUAUAAUACCUUUCUGACAUAAUUAUAAAAAUACAUUUCUCAUAAUUGAUCAAAAUUACUAUAAUACUCUUCCACCAUAAUUAUAAAAAUGUUUUUAUGAAUGCUUAAUAGAAAGUUGACAUGUGAUACUUUGUUUCAAAAUUAAUAACAUAUAUUAAAACAAUCUUUUUGAUAAUUAGUAUAACAACCCUUUGUUUAUUUGAUAUGAUAUCGAUAUGUAUCUAAAUUUACUAUAAUACAUUUAUAUCAUAAUUACAAAAAUACUUAUAUUUUUAUAAUUAAUUAAAAUUAUUAUAAUACUCUCUUUCAAUAAUUACAAAAAUACCUCUCAUAGUAUAAUUGACUAAAAUUACUAAAGUAUGGUUCUUAAUAAAAUUACAAAAAUACCCCUACCACAAAUGGCAAAAAAUUACUAUAAUGCCUUUCAAAUGGAAAUGCUUUUAUGAGUACUUCAUAAGAAGUUAACAUGUGGUAUUUUGUUUAAAAAUUACUAUAACACAUCUAUUAAAUUAUAUAUUAAUUUUUAACAUAACAUAAAAUUAAUCACAUAUUAAAGUAUUAAAAUAUCAUUACAAUUGGUUUACAAAAAUUUGACAUGUGAUAUUUUAUUUAAAAAUUACUAUAAUAUCAUUAUUAAAUUACAUAUGAAAUUUUAACAUCAUAUAAAAUUAACUACAUACUAAAUUACUAAAAUACCUUGGCCGUUGCUUAAUAAAAAUUUGACAUGUGAAAUUUUGUUUAAAUCACUAUAAUAACCCUAUUAAAUUCUUAUUAAAUGUUAAAUAACAUAUUAAAAUAAUUCCCGUAGAAAUUGUUAUAACACCGCUUUGUUUAUUUGAUGUGAUUUUGAUAUGUAUGUAAAUUUAUUAUAAUGGUUUUACAUUAUAAUUAAAAAAAAUACAUUUUUUCUUAUAAUUAGUCAAAAUUAUGACAAUGCCCUUCUACCAUAAUUACAGAAAUACCAAAAUUACUAUUAUGUCAUGCUAUUAUAAUUACAAAAAUACUCCUUAUUAUAUUUAAAUCAAAAUUACUAUAAUACCCCUCAUCCACGCCUACUUCACUGGAUCCUUUUUCCCAUUUAAAGCAUCAAUCUAUUUUGGUGUCAUUAAUUAUUCUCCUAUCGUCAUGGUUUACCUUUGGUUUUUCUGGAGGAUCCAAUUCCAAAGUGGUACCAUGAUGCUAGGAUAAGAGGCUUAUUGCAAUUAGACUAUCCAAUUAUAAUAUGGCUCUCUGAAUCCCCCGUCCUUCCCUCCCUGCAUUUAGAAGUGAUAAAAUCCGUGUGGCACUUCCCAGAAUUGAACUCUUCUGGUGAAGUAUUACUUGGCCGUGCUAACUGAAGUCUUUCAACAUUGCUCUCCUAAUGUGGUGACUAAGCUAAAUAGGGAACUCAAUUAUUUUGUUUGCUUAGAAUGGCAAGGUUAUUUUCUAAAACCUUCUAAACUUGAGGUGAUAGAGGCAAAGCAGCUUAGAAGAAUGAUGUAGAAUAAAAAAUGAGAGAAGAGUGAGCUUACCACUAUGAAUGCAAAAAUUCACCUGUGGCUGUGUUUAUUCUAAACCUUUUAGCCUUUGUUAUGUGUGCUUGAUCGUCAAUGAUGAAUUAUUACCUUCUUCCUUUAUCCUUUUUCAGGGUCUGUUUUUAUUUUUUUUUUAUUUGGUAUCAAUGUAAAUGAUUGUUGAUAAGCUGGCUGGCAUUUAUCUUGAUCCCUCUACCGUUUAGCUUAGGGUAAUUGUACUUUGUAAUAAUAAGAAUAAUUUUUUAAUUAUUGACCGUAGUUGAAAGUAGGCGGUAUGAACUUUACCAACACGGUAUGCUAUCCUUGUAGUCUAUGAAUUUUAAAUUGGGUUGAAGUUCAACUCAUGUCUUAUGUUCUUUUUUCUGUUAGUUAAAAGAAAAGGGAAAAAGGAAAAGCCAGUUAUGUUAUUGAUAUUCUUGUUAUGUUGUCCAGUUCGUAAAAGAGAAUUCAGUUGAGAAUAAUAUGGUCAUUACAUGUAUGUUACAGGUUUUGGCAAUCAUUUAACCUGAAAUGCCUGUAUAUAUGGUGUUGCAACGUGGAUAUCCACCAACAUCGACAGGUCCUAAGCCGAACAAACUACUGCAAAAGAAUAAUGUAAUGAUAACAACUUAAAGUUGUGAUCUGUGUUUUCAGUUGCGAGGCUUGCGUGAUGGUGUCUCAGCUCUCUCAGCUAAGUUUUGCAGACCCUUAGUCAAUUGCUGGGUCGAUUGGAAUGGAAUUGGGGAAGAGGGGAGUUUGCAAAAUCCAACAGUGGCACUUUCCAAGAGAUGGUUUUGAGAACCAAACUCAGGUAAGUGAUGAAUAUUGAGUUGAACAUUCCAAAAGAUUUGGGUUUCAGUGGUAUUCUAGCCUUUCCUCUUCUCAAUACAAUCGAUUUGAUCCAUUUUUUACAAAAAUAACAACACCUUACGAAAAGAGGCUAUUUUUUACAAAUAUAACAUUCUCUUACAAAUAGAGUUGUGCAUGAAUAAGUUGGAUCAAAUAAAAUAAAAUUCUAUUGAUAUUUUUAAGUAGAAUUGAUAAUUCAUGUUAUUAUAUUAUGUAAAAUAUUAUAUUCAUAUCGUAUUUUAUAUGAAUAUAACAUAUUACAGUUUUACGAAAACAUAAAAUUUAAUUUUUUAAUUUUAUUAAAUUUAUUUAUAAUUUUUUAAAAAAAUUUAAUUAUAUUAUUUUUACAUCUUUUUGUUGUAUCGUAUUUUAAAAUGACAAAUUUACUUUUAAGUUUAGGAUCCAUCUGACCCAUCUAUUUAUAUCCAAAUCAAUCAUUUUUACUGUUUAAAAAUAUUAAAAAUUAUUUUUAAAUUAAUAAUUUUAAUAUGUUCUAAAAGAUUUGAAUUUUAAAUUUAAAUAAAAAAUAUUUAUUACCGUAAAAAUAAUCCAUUGUUGCCCAAAAAAAAAAAUCCAGAUCAAAUCAAGUAAAACCUGACCCUUAAAAUCCAACUCCAAUGAAAUUCGAUUAGACAUUAAACUAUCUUUUUUAUACCAAAAGGUUUAUCUUGCAAAGUUUAGUUCGGGUUUUAGAACUUCAUUGUCAUGUAACAUUUAUACACAACAAUCUAAUUUCCCUAUCUUAUCAACUUAUAUUCUCACCAAGAAACAUAUAUUAAAACAUAUUUAGAAAGAGAACCGUGCGAACCUGAAUUUUUUCUGUAACAUCAAACAAUCUGCUCCUUAGAAAUCAACUCUAGGCUUGAUUUUUUAACAACCAAAACUGCGAUUCUUUUUUUAAGGCUUUAUGAAAGGUGCUUGGUCAAAAAUUUGCACCCGGGUUGUGUGUGAAGAAUUAUUAAGUUGUCCAUUUACACUGUAAUUAACUAAUUAAGUUUACCUUAGUAAAUCAAAAUUCAUGAAUUCAUAAAUUCUGAAGAUUGGACAGUCCUCAUAAGCUCCUUCAAAUUUGCGAGCACACGUCGGCGGUCCUAAGCUCUUGAUGCCGAUGAAAUUCAAAAGUUGCUCUAUAUCCUGCAAGCACAGGGGAAGACUUUUGUGAAUUCAUUUCAAAAUGAAUAUUUGAAAAUAUAUAUAUAUAAUUAAAAUGUCAUGCAUCUCAACAAACAUUUUUUUUGUACAAAAAAAAAAAAAACCUGUAGCCUUAAAAAUAGAGAAAGAACUUGUAGGUACUAAAAUUUGAAUCUUAUAUCGGUUAAAUGUCGCUUAUGAUUGCAUAAACAAUUGAUUUAACUCAAGAAACAUUUUGCAAAAAGGAACAUUGACUAACUCUUAAAAACAUUAUUACAACAAAUUAAGACAAGGAUGAAUGCUAGCUUGACCCAUUGAGAUUUGUCACGCACCCAUACAUUCAUAUGAAUAUGAAGUUGGUCACAAAUAUACAUUUCUAACCCAUUUGCAGUAUGUUGGCCUUCUAUGCUCAGAUAACAAAAUUUAACAUUAAUAUUUCAAGAUUCCUUAACAGAUAAUUAUAAGGUUAGUAUGUGUUAGUCUCAUUUGAGAAGUAUCCACUCUUUCUCUACUUUUGUUCUUCCUUACAAACCCCUCUUAACCUAAAAUGAUAUUUGGCCUUAACCAUAUUCAGUAAAAUAUAAAUAGACCAUGGAGACAAGCAACUUAAUCUGGUCUACCAAUGAUUGACUGAACUCCCUUCUAUAUAAGUGUUCAGGUUUAAUGCUUGCUAUAUUUGAAUUGAUUAACAACAUCAUAAAAACUUCAAUAGUUAGUUACCAUAAAAUGGCAAUUUCUUUCAUUAAAAUGUUACAAAUAUCAGAACAGCUAGAAGAUAUACAAUGGUAAAACAAGUAAACAAGCAGAAUGUUACAUAGUGGUUUACACUUGAUACACUAAUGUAACAAUUACAAGUGGAUUGGGAAACUAUUUCCGAUUAAGGAGUUGGGAAUAGAAUUAUUUUAUAUGACAAAACAAAGAUUAAAAUUUUAAAGAGAAGGGGACAUAAGAGGAGAAAGAGAAGGGACCAAAAUUGGAAACUCAAAUAAUUUGCAUGUUUCCCAAUUAGCCUUUUGAUAAUUUAGGAGAGAGGAGAUUUUGAGUGCUAUUGGAUGUAAGGUCUGACCAUCAUCACGGUUUUUCCUAUUUAGUGAAUAAUCCUAUAUCAGACAUUUAAGAAUAAGGACUGAGCAAAUUAAAAUUCAUUGAUGUGCAAGACUUAGAUUAUUAGAACAAACAGAAACUUAGUAAAAGAUAAACCACAUAGAAAGUUAGAAGCAGUGUAAACUUAUUACAAUAAUGUAAGUGGAUUAUAAGUGAGCAUUUCUCCUUAAGGAAUUUGCAACUAAGGCAUUAUAAACAAAAGAGAAGAAAGAAUAAACUUCUGGAAAGAAUUUCAAAGUAGGGAAACAAGGGAAGAGGAAGAGAAAGGGCCAGAAACUGGAAAAAACAAAAGUUUGGUCACUACCUUUCCCAUUUAGAUGUUUAGCUGAGUUAUGGGAAUGGAUUUGAGUGCCAGACCUCUUUUAGACGUAAGGUGUGGCUAUUAUCACAUUUUUCAAAUCUGUUGAUAAUCCUUCAUCCAUCUCAUAGUUAAAAAUAAGGAUUUAAUGUUACACUCUGAUAUGGCUGUGACAUUAUAGAUUGUCUUAAGAGCCUAUUCCCUGAAACUGGAUGAAAUUAAAUACAAAUCUACGGACUUUCACCAUGAUGAUGAAUCUUGAUUAGCCACGGCCAACAACAUAAUAUGACUUGUAAAUGAUAUAUAUUUGCCUUAGAUAAUUGCUUUCUUUAAGAAGUGUUGCAACGGCAUAUCAAAUAUUUCCCUUUUUGUUUGUAUUACCUUGUUGUGUCUUAGAGUUGGACUUGUUUGCCUUUUGUCAUUCUGUUUUAGAUUACUACGUAUUCUUAUUACCGUUUAAAAAAUUUUGCCUUUUCAUGUUACCGUUUUGUUUGAUUUUCAUCUUUUUGAUUGUUUCGUAUAUUAAAAUUUAUAUUAAAAAUAUUUAACGAUUCAAUAUUCUUCUCUAUUAAAAAUUCAUCUUGCAUAAAUCUUGAAUAUAUAAUCUUUCUACAAAAUUGAAAGCCUUCAUUCCUUACAAGCUAUGCAUUUAUAUUUGCUCAAUUAGUUAAGUUGUUAUAUAUAAUUAAAUAUUAUGUAAAUCUUUUUUUAGUGAUGAAAUUAUGCAAACCUUAUGCAGAUAGUGGGAGACAGCUGAACUUGACCCAUUUAGAAGAAUUUGAUUUGAGAAAUAAUCUCCUUAAUGACAGCAUAUUUGCAUCGCUUAGCGGGCUUUCAAAUUUGAAGUAUUUGCUUAUAAGCUUCAAUCAGUUAAAUGGAUCAAUAGAUAUGAAAAGUAAAAUUACUUUUUUUCCAAAAAUUUUGAUUUUGUUAACAAAAAUCUUAGUUCAUGUUUCAAGAUGAUAUAACAAAUAAGUUCAUCUAUUUCCUUUCUUUAAUGAUGAAAUUAUGUAAAUUAUUUAUAGAUAUUGGGAGACAGUUAAAAUUGACCAAUUUCUAAAGGCUUGAUUUAAGUCAUGAUCUAAUUAAUUAUUACUUUUCAACCAAAAUUUUAACUCUGUUAUAAAUACUUAAAAAAAUAUCUCACCUAAAAAAAAUCCUCUCUGGCUUCGGCCAGAGUUUGACGUUGGACCGCCGCGUCGGUCGCAGCCUGGGUCACCGUCGGUGGUAGCCGUUGGUGGUCGUCGAUUGCGAAAAAUAUCAAAAUACUCCCAAACGUUCACCUCAACGCCCUCUUUCUAGAUCCGAUGUCUGUUUUACCAGAAACAGCCCCGAUCGACAUAAAUCGAGGCUUGAAGUUUUCUACCUUUUUUUUUUUUAAAGAGACUAAUGUGAUUUUUUCUUUUUGCUUUUGCACGUAGGGCAGCGCUGGGUUCCUCCCUGCGGGGAGGAUUAUGUUUGUCCUUUUUUUGUUUCUUUUUUUUUUUGUUUGGGUAUUUGGGUAUAGUUGGUGUGGGUUCUAUUUAGGGUUGUUGAAGGGAGAGGUUUCAUCUGAGCUUGGGGAUUUCUAGUAUUCGAGUGGAAUGAAUGGGCUUUUGAUAUUCGAAAGAGAGAGAGAUCCCAAGGAGAAAAAGCUAGAGGUUUUUAAGGAGCUUCAAAAGGGGAACAUUUGGUGGCUAUAAAGUGGCUGUAGGUGGGUUGGGGUAGGUUGUAGAAGUGGGCUAUAGGGUGGCUAGUUGGUGGUUGCGGCACCGUUCACCAGCCACCCUACUUUUUGUUUUUUUGUUUUUCCCAUUUUCUCUUUUUUUUUAAUUAAUAUUUUUAAAAAAAUAUAUAUUAGUAUUAUUAUUAUUAUUAUUAAUUAUAAAAGAUCCGGACAAAAUCUGGUGUCUACACAUCUAAAAAUAUCGAACAUAAUUAACACCUUAAAAUUUUAUGUUUGGUCAAAUCUUCCAUUUCAUUUUUUAUUUAUUAUUAAAAUAUUAAAAAGAUUUUUAUAUUAAUAAUUUACUAUUUUUAAAUAUAUCUUAAAUUAAAUUAACAAUAUUGUUUAACGAGAACAAAAUAAGCAAUUAACCUUAAUAAAAACUUUUAAAUAUUUUGUUCAAUACUUGAUUGAGUUGAAACUAGCAAAUGGUCCGACACAUAGACGAGUCUAAUAACAAGCUAUCAUAGAAACAUUUACAUUAUUUUAUAUAGCCAAUGUUCAAUUUAUGGUGACAAAUUAUAAAGAUGAUUAAUAUUAUGAAUGGUCUUUAAAUUACAAAAAAAUAUUUAAUAUGUUACUUGAAUUUGGAACAUUUCUAAUAUAGCACCUAAAAUAUAAUAAAUUUUAAAAAUAAUAACAUCCUAAUCGUGUUAUUUGCAAGGAGUAAUUGUGGAGCUGCAAAAAUAAUUGGCUUUCUUAAUUCCCUAAAAAUAUAUUAUUUGAAAAAAAAAAAGUGUCCAUGAACUAAGAGGAGCCGACCGUGGUUGACAUAUAGAAAUCUUAGGUUUGGUGGGCUCUGCAUUUCAUUUUUAUUUAUAAUUAAAAUAUUAAAAAUAUAUUUAUACUAAUCUUUUAAUGUUUUUAAAUAUAUUCUAAAAUAAAAUUAAAAAAUAAAUUAUUUUAUAAUAUAAUAACACAAUCAAUCUGAACUAGACUUAAAAGACUUUGACAAGUCAAGGUCCUUGCGUAGACUCUGUUUGGUUUCCUUUCCUUUUUACCAAAAAGGAGUGUUAAUGUCUUUCGUUGUCUUCUCUCAUCGAAGGUAAAUUUCGGGAAUUGAAACUUGAAUAAACUAAUUUAUUACUAGGAUCACACUAAGAUCACACUUUCUUGAAAGUGGCCGACAUACUUAUAGAAAAAUUUUGCAAUGAGAUAAAGUAAGUGCCUUUGCGUGUAAAACGAAGCACAAGACUUUUUAUUUUCCACAAAUUAAAACGUUAUUCACGCUAAACUAAAACUAAUAGUGAAGAUAUGACUAUAAAUAAUGUGAAGUGUCAAGCAAGUUGGAGUUAAUUUCUCAAUAACUUUCUAUGGGGGCUGGCCAACAACCAAUGUUGCAGUUGCUUUUAAGUGACCAAUAUUUACUUUUUGUACUUAGUUUUUUCUAUUUCCAUUUUCCUUUUUUUCACUUUUUAGGACUUUUUUUUUUUGUAUAAAAGCCAAAAGUGCAAUUGGAUAUUAAAGUAAGUAUUUUUUGAAAACUAAAAAUUAAAAAAAAUAUUUUUUAAAGUAUUAUUAUUUAUCAUAUUAUUCAAUUUAAUAUUAUUUUUUAUAAUAUAUUUUUUAAGAAAAUCUCAUGCAAAGCGAGGGCUUUAUUCUAGUGAUAUAUGAAAGAAUUUUUUUAUCCUUUAUUAAUAGUGUAGACACCCUAUUUUGUCCAGGAUUCUUUGUCAAUUGAGACUAAUCCAAGCUCAGUUGCAGGAAUUUUUAUUCAUUUUUAUUUUAUAUUUUUUUAUUUCAUAUUUAUCAUUUUUUUAUUAUCUGAUUAUUUUUUUAAAAAAAAAGGAAAGAUUGAGAUUAAGUUGGAUGAUGAUCAAAAAGUAUGAUUGGUGGCUAAUCUUUAGCAUUGGAGGACUAAGUGGAAUAGAACUGAAAUUCUAUAAAAAAACAGCAUAGUUUUUAUAAAACGAAAAAAGAGGGAGGAGAAAUCGGAAUAGGAGAGAAGAAGAAUCCGAAUAGGAGACGGAAAAAAAAGGGGAGAAAAAAAAGAGAGAGGAGUAAUCUGAAUAAGAGGAGGAGUCCGAAUAGGAGAGAAGAAAGAGGGGGGAAAGCCCCCAUCUCCACCAGCCCUCAAGGCCUCUCUUUGGUGGGCGAUCUCCCCUUCCAUGAAGUGUUUAGAGACCAAGACAUCGCAUUUGUCAAUGGUGACGUGCCUUUGACUGCCCUCUGAGCAAACGGCAGAUGUGACAUAGCUUGGAACCUCGGGUUGAGCUGCUGAAAUGGAGAAGCUAGCUAGACAGCCCGUGUGUGACCAUGUAAAGGCGAAAUCAUUGAAGCAGGAUCUUAAGAGGGAAAAGGAAUUCUGGAGAUGUCAGUCUCGGGUUCAGCGGCUUCAAGCUGGUGAUAAAAAGACAAGUUCUUUCCCAUGCUUCGUGUGUUCAGAGGCGAAGGCAUAAUCAAGUCAGGGAUUGGUUUUUAUGACAGUGGUAUGUGGAAAGAGGAUCAUGAGGGUAUUCGGGGUGUGAUACAUGACUUUUCCACCAUUUUCACUUCCUGCAGUCCGUAAAAUAUUACAGAAGCAGUGAGUGGUAUAUCUCAGGUAUUACACCCACAAUGAAUGAUGAUCCCGUCCGGGAUCAUGGUCUAUCGCAAAAUCAAAAUCCUGAGGGCAUCCCGUUAGAUCGAGGUGCUGGAGGCACCCUCUCGAGCCAAAACGAAGUUACCCAACGAAGGAGAUCACGAAUGCUUGCUGGUCAAACAUUAGCGGCUAACCCCUAGGGUCCAAAGGAGACUUGCAAUUUACUUUGUCCUUUGAAUAUCUUGUUGACGAGGAUACUGAAUAAAUUCUGCAUCUGAUUUAUUGCUGGAACGCAACCGUGAACAGUGUUUGGUUCAUCUUUUGGUUCCUUCUCUUGCAUUGCUGAUCACUCUUGUGCAGAAAAUUACAGGAAGCUAAGGAGCAGCAACAGGAAGAAAGAUCCAGAGAUCAGAAACUGACAAAAAAAAUUCCCCUGAUCCCGCUACCAAUUUUGCUUGAGCGCAUGAGCAGGUCUGUUGAGCAACAAAAGUUGGCACAGGCGCAAGCUGAGCCCAAUCGCAGCUGUCUCGGUCUCGAACUCAGGAGCCGUGGCGAUAGUCCAUGAAGGAAGGCUUUGCUUCGAAAGAGGAGGUGGAAGAUCACCUGUAGAACCUGCUUUGGAGAACACGUUGGAAAAGGCGCUCCACUUUGUUACGUCGAGCAACGUGUAUGGCUAAGAUGGUGGAAUGUGCAACUGAUCCUCCUUUGGCUGCUUUUCAGAAGCUGUGUCCAAGGACUUGCAAGCUGUUGAAUAAUCAGAAUUUUAUGGCUAAGGCUUCCCUUUUGGCGGUAGUGGCGAGUUUGUCACAGGAGGGAGCAAUUGCACCUCAGAGCUUGGAAUCCUUGCGGCAAAGCAUCCAUGAACGCCUUGGGAGCACAGAUUGGAUGAUGCGAAAGGCAGCAACUGAUAUCACAGAUGCAAUUACAGACUACUCAGCUGCAGCAACAAUUGGGUUUGCAACAGCAGCCCAAUCAAUUACACCAAAAUAUGCAGCCAAGGAUUCACACAUCAAGCUUGGAGUUUUCAACAACAAAGCUUCGUGUUAUUCGAGCAGUUGCUGUCCUUGGAGGUUUUCUUCAAAAUUUUCUCUUCACGUGUUCGGGUGGUAUAACAAUUUCGCUAUAUGUUUUUUGCAGUUAUGUGGAGGACUGUGCUGUGGGUUUGCUGUUUGCUUUACUUCAAUUCUAGGUGGCAGUUCUGGUGUCCUUCAAGGAGUACUAUCCACGACUAAAUCGUUGACUAAGGAGCUCUAUCAGUUGACAUCCAUAGCAUUUUUGCUUGCUUGCUGUUUGGUGAUGAGCUGGGUUCAUUUGUUGCUGGAAUGAUGAUAUCAACCUCUGAUUUGAAUCAGCAUACACUUGAACAAGUUGAGCAAAUUCGCAAUUGCUUUGUUGCUCUCUUCCUGGCCAGUAUUGGGGAUGUUGAUUCAUGUGCAUUUCCUUUGGAAUCACAUUGAUAUAUUGCUAGCAGCUGUAAUAUUAGUGAUUGUUAUUAAAACAAUGGUAGUUGCUGCAGUUGUUAAGGGAUUUAGAUACAGCAACAAAACUUCACUUCUUGUUGGGAUGCCUUGGCCCAUUUGGGGAUGCAGCUUUGUUUUCUGGUUUGCAUCGCUACUAUAACAUGAGGUUCCUUUGGAUGUCCUCCUGUAAACUAACUCAUCAAGGUUGUCAGGAGACUGUCCAUGUUACGCCUCGCCUAGUGGUUGAAGUGACUAGGUUUGCUGUUGAGAAGGAGAUGGUUGACUUUGUUGAAACAUUAUACAUGUAUCGGUGUCUUAAAGGGUCAAGAAUCGAUGCACUUAAUUCAAUCACCAUCUCGUAAGCAAAGGUGGUGCAAGAAGAUGUUCAUUUGUUCUCGUGUUGGAUACCAAGUAAGUUUAAAAUGUUUCACAGGAAAUUUUGAUCUGUCAAGCAUCUUUUAAAUAACUCUUGAAGAUAAAACGAUUAAAAAAAAAAUAUUUUUGAGGAAAAGUUGAAAGUAUCAAUUUUCCUUAAAAAUAAAUUUCCAAAAAAUUUUUGGGGAAAAGUUGAAAGUAUCAAUUUUCCCUACACAAGAACAAUCAUCCUUUCCUUCCUUUCUAUUUUGAUUUUUAUUUUGAUUUUUCUUUAAUUAAUCCGACGACGGAGCCUCUGCAAGUGAAACAGUAGUUCUUUCUUGCAUACUCCUGAGGUGAGGGAAUUUUCUCAAUUUUCUGCUAAAAGUAUUAGAGUCAAUUGAGAAUAAUUUCCAACAACUAAUUACUUGGUAAAAUUUUAAGGCUUUUUGGAUAACAUAAAUUUAAGCUGGUACCAUCUUUUAAUGGGCGUUGUGAGGGUGCUAUAACCUUCCUCACACGUAAUCGAACUCCCGAACCUUGUUCUGGUUAGCAGACCUGAACCUAUUCUUUUAGGGACCCUUAAACUUAGGUGUUCCCUGAAAGGACAGAUUCCAUAGGUGGCCAAUCGCACCUAGAUAAAAAAGAUUGGUGGCGACUCUCUAAAACCAAUGUCUAGCGAUAGAUCCCCGGAUCUAGACGUUAUGACAGCUUGGCGACUCCACUGGGGACUUUGAGAGUCAGGCCAGCAAAUAAUUUGUGUUAUCCAAAAAGCCUAAUAAAAUUGAACCCUUCUGUAUAUAUGUGUUAUUAUUCAUUCAUGUUUAUUUACUUUGUUAAUUAUGUCAUUCAUGUGCAUGUGCAUAACAUGAGCUCUACACCCGAGCUCCGUCCCUCUAGGAGGGAGUAAAGUACCUAUUGCUUUCGUGAGGUCUAAUGCCUCCGCAGUGGCUAGCGAAAUACUCUUACUCAAAUUGAACCUUUUUCGCUUGUAGCCUGUAAUGGGUGAGGAUUAGGGUAUCUUACUAGUCUGUGAUGGACAAAGAUGUAAGGAACAAUUUGAGGACCUUUAGACUCUGACCUUAAAACCGCAUGUAGUGAACCUUAAGAGUGCCUACACCUAAGAUAGAGCCCUUUCUACCCAAUGAUAGAUAUACCUUGAAAUUAGGACAUAAAAAUGGUGUUUGUCUAAUCAUUUUGACUGUUUAACUUUGUGUAUUAUUUUUAUCAUAUGUAACAUUAUGCAUCAGCAUCACUUACAUUUCAUCCACGGAACUAACUAUGUUGUUUUUCUGAUUGUAUGCAUCUGUAUUCUUUUCAUGAUCAUGUUUCAACACAAUCAUUUGCAUUCAUUUCAUACUAGAUUUCAUUCAAAAAAUGUACAUUUCAUUUGUGUAUCAAAGCAUCAUACAUAAGGCACAGCAUAAUAUUUCUAAUCAUAAGUAUGGUACUCAAGGUCCGAGGAUAGCUCCAUCUAGCGAAAACUCUGCUCAUCCAUACAACACAAGAUCCAGAGCAAGGCAAAUGGAAGAAGAAAGUUCUCAUAGAUUUGAAAAGCUAGAAAAAGCAUAAGAAAAGAUUGAAAGUGAGCUAAGCAAGAUUCUGGAAGCUUUUAAUAACAUAAAUAAAGGAAAAAGAGUUGAAGAAAGUAUAAGCCACCAAGUUCCCCCAUUACAAGAAGUGGCUGACCCUCUGUACCCUCCAGGUUUUGGUCCACCUCAAACUCAUUCUGCUCAAAAGGUCCCGCCACAACACUUCGCAUAUCCAACAUAUCCGAGAAUGCCAUCAGCUUUCAACCCAGGGCAGUAUAACAGCAAUAUAAAUCCUGUCUUCACUGAAAAGAUAGCAGAACCAAUUCCUGAUCUAGAAGAGAAGGAGAAGGAAAAGAUAAGGGUGGAAGCUGAGGAAAGCUCCAAAAUUAGCAUGAUAAAGCAAAGGCUAAGGGCUGUGGAAGGAUUUAGCUUUUAUGGGUCAGUUGAUGCUGCUGGGCUCUGCCUAGUUCCUGAUGUGGUUAUCCCCUAUAAGUUUAAAGUACCAAAAUUUGAAAAAUACGACGGUACAAAGUGCCCCAAAACCCACAUCACCAUGUAUUGCAGGAAGAUGGCAGCUCAUGCUCAUGAUGAGAAACUCUUGAUGCAUGUUUUUCAGGACAGUCUUACUGGCUCUGCAGCCAGAUGGUAUGUUCAGCUGGAUAGGACUCGCAUUCGCUCUUGGAGCGAUAUGGCACAUGACUUUAUCAAUCAAUAUCGACAUAUCAUCGAUUUGGCCCCUGAUCGUUUGUCUUUGCAGAAUCUGGAGAAAAAGUCAAACGAGUCUUUUAAAGAGUAUGCCCAGAGAUGGAGAGAUAUAGCUUCACAGGUAUAACCUCCUCUGACAGAGAAAGAAACUACAGUGUUAUUUGUCAGCACUUUGAAGCCUCCCUAUUAUGAAAAGAUGAUAGGGAAUGCAACGAAGAAUUUUGCCGACAUGGUGAUCUCUGGAGAAAUUAUUGAAAAUGCCAUAAAAAAUGGUAAGUUGAAAGGAGGAGAAACCAAGAAGACAUCAGAAAAGAAAGAAGCUGAAGCUCAAGCUGUGAGCUUUGAUAGACAACAAUUCAGGGGUUAUCAACCCUAUCCAUCCCAAGGUUACUCUUCAUACUAUCCUACUGUGAAUAAUGCCUCAUCCUACCCAUACCAGUUAGCUCCACAACCAUCUUAUUCAUCCACUUACUGCCUUAACAUUCAAGCUCCUGUAAGAACUCAAGUUCGCCCUACUAACCUAGCAAGUGGCUCACGAGAACAACGGACUACUCGAGAAAAACCUGUAUUUGAUCCAAUCCCUAUGACUUAUACAGAGUUAUAUCGAGAACUCUAUAAUAGCCACUUGAUUGCCCCCAGCCAUAUGAAACCGCUUAAACCACCCUAUCCAAAGUGGUAUGAUUCUACAGCCCGCUGUGAUUACCAUUAUGGAAUUACUGGCCAUUCUACUAAAAAUUGUACUGUUUUAAAGUAUAAGGUGCAACGAUUGAUCAAUGAUGGAAUGGUAAGUUUUGAUCAAGGAAAAGCAACAACAUCUAAUGUUAGCGCUCUGAGUGAAAGUCAAGAACAGAAAGGGUUCGAAGAGUCACAAUGAAUUGGGGGGCAAGAUGUCAAUAGAGAUUCUUCACCUGAUCGCAUAAGGGGACAAUUUUAAAAAAUGGAGAUAAGGCUGGUUGAAGGUUUCUUCUGUCAUUUUAGGAUUUCUUUUCAAAUAAUGUUAGAUUUCUUUUUGUAAUAUGACUUCACUUGUUAUCAUUUUAAUAAAGGCAAGUCAAUGCAUUUCAUUACAUUUUUCUCUUUCACUUGACCAUUACUCCAUGCUCCGUUACCUUUCAUAACUUUAUACUCCCAUUCCUAAAUUUCAGAUGAUGAAUAUUUAGACAAUGAUGACAGUAAUUCUGGGAUUUAAUUUUGAGAACUCAUCCACAUUAAUAUGGAAAGAUGAUUUGAGCAAAAAGUAAGCUGUUACUGGAGGUGAAAUAGAUAUGUCUUGAAGAUGUACAAUCUUUUAUACAAGUUCAUGAGCUUUGUUCAAUAGAUGAUGUUCAAGAAAGGUAUUCACAAUUGAGAUGAAAAAUGGCCAUUUUUCUUUUACCAUUUGAAAAACCAUUUAUUGUUACCCCUUUGAGCCUAUCAUUUUUUUUCUGAAGAACCCCAACCAAGGAUCACCCUCUACAUUGGAGGGUAAUUUUUGAAAAAAAAAAAAAAAGAAAAAAGAAAAAAGAAAAGACACCACAAAAGGUCUCAAAGAUGGAAAGAGGAAGAAAAGCAAAAGAAAAAUAAAUGCCACACAUGACUUGGGGCAAAGUAAUGAGAAUCCUUUGUGUGAUGAAAGAAAAAAGUAGUGAAAUGAUGUGGGGGCAAAAUGCCAAGCUGCAUCAAAUGAUCCUUUGGUUUUGAACCUUUUUAAUACAUGUUUUGAGCCUAUUAUAUCCAUUUUUUUUUAUGACCCUUCAUCUUGGCCUACAUUACAACCUUGAAAAGUCCAUUUGGAUCAAGUGUGAAUACUCAACUUGAAUGGUCAUAUGUUGAACAAAGACGUGCUCAUGAUGUAGCAAUGGAAUCAUGCUACAUUGCUCUAGAGUUUGAUGUAUGAAAGAUAUCAACAAUGAAUAAAAAAAUGAAAAAAAAAAGAAAGAUGAUGAAAAAAGAAAAAAAAAGAAAGAAAGAAGAAAGAAAAUGAAAAAAGAUUGAGAUUGAAAACCUGAAAGGUUGAUAGAAAAAGAUCCAAGUCAAAUGGCUCACAUGAAUGGAAGAUCCCUCAAAGACUGGGGUAAAGUUCGCCAGGCUCAAGAUGACUUCAACAGUAAAUGGAAUGAGUUUUUGAAAAAGAAUCCUAAAUUAAUGUUGAGAAUUGUCUGAAUAUUCAUCAUUUGGACAUACCAUCCAUCUCAAUGACAUCCAAUUCAUUUCCUUUCCCAUUUGUUUUAUACCAAAAUAGAUCUCCAUUGAUAAUUCACCUUGUUUUUUCUUAUUGUUUCACCCCUAGAAUGAAUUGAGAAAAUGCUUGAUUGCAUUGUAUUUGUCAGGAUUUGAAAUGAUAAUGAAUGAAUGAAUAUACGCUUAAAAGAGUCUUGCAUUCAUUUGAAAAGAAAUCUAAGAUGAUGGUGGUAACAAAAUGAAGAAAUGAUGAUUUGGAAGGAUAUAUGAUGUGACCGAAUGAAGAAUAUAAUGGGGCAAAUCUUGAAAAGUGAUGAGUACAAGGAUGAAUUGGUCGAUAUGACUUGCAAGAUAUGAUUGAAUGAUGAGAACAAUCAGUGGACAAAGUCUGUUUUGGAUUGGUUAAUGCUGAGACACCUGUGAGCAAUGACUCAGUGAUGGUGGAUGAAACUUGUUUUGAAAUUGGUUAGUGCUGAGAAAUUCAUUGAAUGAUGGUCAAGUGAUGAUCGAUUGAUGAAGCUUAUUCCAAAGUAUUGAAAAAUAGAACAAGGAAGAAUCUGAAUGGAAGAGACAAUUAAGAACUACACUGGUUCGAUCCUAGAAAAGCAGUGUAAUUGGAUCCUUGAAGAAUCAAAGGGCUUGACACCCAAGAAAGAAAAGAGCUUGAGAAACUUGAGUACCAUACAUUGAACAGGAAUUGAUUGACCAACAUUUGCAUAGCAUGCAUUGAAAUUCAUAUGCAUUUGCAUAGCAUACACUACUUUCAGGAAAGUAUAGUGUACAAAUUCAAGAAGCAGGGGUGUUCCAACAUCCCACAUGGAAAAGAUAGAUAUGAAAAGACUUUGCAAGUUUGAGAAGAAACUUGUCAGGUAAGUUCCUAAUCCUUGAAAUAGGACGUCUCUUGGUAUCAGGGUUGAUUUAUAAGACCUUUGGGCAUAAUCUCCUGAAAUCCCUUCAAACACAACUUUCAACUCCUUUGGACAUGAUUGUCAAAGAGCAAUUUACUUUCAAAGUUCGUUGCCUCUGUUUAGAGGAGCAAUUUACAUUUCAAAAGUCGUGGUACCUCUGUUGAGAGGAGCAAUUUACUUUCCAAAGUCGUGGUGCCUCUGUUUAGAGGAGCAAUUUACUUUCCAAAAGUCGUGGUGCCUCUGUUUAGAGGAGCAAUUUACAUACAUUUCAAAAGUCGUGGUACCUCUGUUGAGAGGAGCAAUUUACUUUCCAAAGUCGUGGUGCCUCUGUUUAGAGGAGCAAUUUACUUUCCAAAAGUCGUGGUGCCUCUGUUUAGAGGAGCAAUUUAAUUUCCCAAAGUCGUGGUGCCUCUGUUUAGAGAAGCAAUUUACUUUUCAAAGUUCGUCGCCUCUGUUUAGAGGAGCAAUUUACUUUCCAAAAGUUGUGGUGCCUCUGUUUAGAGGAGCAAUUUAAUUUCUCAAAGUCGUUGUGCCUCUGUUUAGAGGAGCAAUUUAAUUUCCCAAAGUCGUGGUGCCUCUGUUUAGAGGAGCAAUUUUACUUUCCAAAGUUCGUUGCCUCUGUUUAGAGGAGCAAUUUAUUUUGUUCAAAGUCGUUGAGCCUCUGUUUAGAGGAGCUUGGGUAAAAAAAAACAAAAACAUAAACAAAAAAAAAAAACACAAAAAAAAAACAAAAAUAACAAAAAAAGUUGCCUAUAUUUAGAGGAGCUUUGUUUAUGUUUUUCAAAAUCAUUGAACCUCUGUUUAGAGGAGCUUUGAUCAAGAUUUUUUUAUUAAAGAAAAAAAAGAAAAAGAAAAAAAUGAAAAAAAAAAAUCUAGUUGAGUCUUAAAUGGGUGUCUACGUCUUUGCACAAUUUCUGUUUCACAAAAAAUGUGCAAAGAGGGGCAGCUGUAGACACCCUAUUUUGUCCAGGAUUCUUUGUCAAUUGAGACAAAUCCAAGCUCAGUUGCAGGAAUUUUUAUUCAUUUUUAUUUUAUAUUUUUUUAUUUCAUAUUUAUCAUUUUUUUAUUAUCUGAUUAUUUUUUUUGAAAAAAAAGGAAAGAUUGAGAUUAAGUUGGAUGAUGAUCAAAAAGCAUGAUUGGUGGCUAAUCUUUAGCAUUGGAGGACUAAGUGGAAUAGAACUGAAAUUCUAUAAAAAAACAGCAUAGUUUUUAUAAAACGAAAAAAGAGGGAGGAGAAAUCGGAAUAGGAGAGAAGAAGAAUCCGAAUAGGAGACGGCAAAAAAAGGGGAGAAAAAAAAGAGAGAGGAGUAAUCUGAAUAAGAGGAGGAGUCCGAAUAGGAGAGAAGAAAGAGGGGGGAAAGCCCCCAUCUCCACCAGCCCUCAAGGCCUCUCUUUGGUGGGCGAUCUCCCCUUCCAUGAAGUGUUUAGAGACCAAGACAUCGCAUUUGUCAAUGGUGACGUGCCUUUGACUGCCCUCUGAGCAAACGGCAGAUGUGACAUAGCUUGGAACCUCGGGUUGAGCUGCUGAAAUGGAGAAGCUAGCUAGACAGCCCGUGUGUGACCAUGUAAAGGCGAAAUCAUUGAAGCAGGAUCUUAAGAGGGAAAAGGAAUUCUGGAGAUGUCAGUCUCGGGUUCAGCGGCUUCAAGCUGGUGAUAAAAAGACAAGUUCUUUCCCAUGCUUCGUGUGUUCAGAGGCGAAGGCAUAAUCAAGUCAGGGAUUGGUUUUUAUGACAGUGGUAUGUGGAAAGAGGAUCAUGAGGGUAUUCGGGGUGUGAUACAUGACUUUUCCACCAUUUUCACUUCCUGCAGUCCGUAAAAUAUUACAGAAGCAGUGAGUGGUAUAUCUCAGGUAUUACACCCACAAUGAAUGAUGAUCCCGUCCGGGAUCAUGGUCUAUCGCAAAAUCAAAAUCCUGGGGGCAUCCCGUUAGAUCGAGGUGCUGGAGGCACCCUCUCGAGCCAAAACGAAGUUACCCAACGAAGGAGAUCACGAAUGCUUGCUGGUCAAACAUUAGCGGCUAACCCCUAGGGUCCAAAGGAGACUUGCAAUUUACUUUGUCCUUUGAAUAUCUUGUUGACGAGGAUACUGAAUAAAUUCUGCAUCUGAUUUAUUGCUGGAACGCAACCGUGAACAGUGUUUGGUUCAUCUUUUGGUUCCUUCUCUUGCAUUGCUGAUCACUCUUGUGCAGAAAAUUACAGGAAGCUAAGGAGCAGCAACAGGAAGAAAGAUCCAGAGAUCAGAAACUGACAAAAAAAAUUCCCCUGAUCCCGCUACCAAUUUUGCUUGAGCGCAUGAACAGGUCUGUUGAGCAACAAAAGUUGGCACAGGCGCAAGCUGAGCCCAAUCGCAGCUGUCUCGGUCUCGAACUCAGGAGCCGUGGCGAUAGUCCAUGAAGGAAGGCUUUGCUUCGAAAGAGGAGGUGGAAGAUCACCUGUAGAACCUGCUUUGGAGAACACGUUGGAAAAGGCGCUCCACUUUGUUACGUCGAGCAACGUGUAUGGCUAAGAUGGUGGAAUGUGCAACUGAUCCUCCUUUGGCUGCUUUUCAGAAGCUGUGUCCAAGGACUUGCAAGCUGUUGAAUAAUCAGAAUUUUAUGGCUAAGGCUUCCCUUUUGGCGGUAGUGGCGAGUUUGUCACAGGAGGGAGCAAUUGCACCUCAGAGCUUGGAAUCCUUGCGGCAAAGCAUCCAUGAACGCCUUGGGAGCACAGAUUGGAUGAUGCGAAAGGCAGCAACUGAUAUCACAGAUGCAAUUACAGACUACUCAGCUGCAGCAACAAUUGGGUUUGCAACAGCAGCCCAAUCAAUUACACCAAAAUAUGCAGCCAAGGAUUCACACAUCAAGCUUGGAGUUUUCAACAACAAAGCUUCGUGUUAUUCGAGGAGUUGCUGUCCUUGGAGGUUUUCUUCAAAAUUUUCUCUUCACGUGUUCGGGUGGUAUAACAAUUUCGCUAUAUGUUUUUUGCAGUUAUGUGGAGGACUGUGCUGUGGGUUUGCUGUUUGCUUUACUUCAAUUCUAGGUGGCAGUUCUGGUGUCCUUCAAGGAGUACUAUCCACGACUAAAUCGUUGACUAAGGAGCUCUAUCAGUUGACAUCCAUAGCAUUUUUGCUUGCUUGCUGUUUGGUGAUGAGCUGGGUUCAUUUGUUGCUGGAAUGAUGAUAUCAACCUCUGAUUUGAAUCAGCAUACACUUGAACAAGUUGAGCAAAUUCGCAAUUGCUUUGUUGCUCUCUUCCUGGCCAGUAUUGGGGAUGUUGAUUCAUGUGCAUUUCCUUUGGAAUCACGUUGAUAUAUUGCUAGCAGCUGUAAUAUUAGUGAUUGUUAUUAAAACAAUGGUAGUUGCUGCAGUUGUUAAGGGAUUUAGAUACAGCAACAAAACUUCACUUCUUGUUGGGAUGCCUUGGCCCAUUUGGGGAUGCAGCUUUGUUUUCUGGUUUGCAUCGCUACUAUAACAUGAGGUUCCUUUGGAUGUCCUCCUGUAAACUAACUCAUCAAGGUUGUCAGGAGACUGUCCAUGUUACGCCUCGCCUAGUGGUUGAAGUGACUAGGUUUGCUGUUGAGAAGGAGAUGGUUGACUUUGUUGAAACAUUAUACAUGUAUCGGUGUCUUAAAGGGUCAAGAAUCGAUGCACUUAAUUCAAUCACCAUCUCGUAAGCAAAGGUGGUGCAAGAAGAUGUUCAUUUGUUCUCGUGUUGGAUACCAAGUAAGUUUAAAAUGUUUCACAGGAAAUUUUGAUCUGUCAAGCAUCUUUUAAAUAACUCUUGAAGAUAAAACGAUUAAAAAAAAUAUAUUUUUGAGGAAAAGUUGAAAGUAUCAAUUUUCCUUAAAAAUAAAUUUCCAAAAAAUUUUUGGGGAAAAGUUGAAAGUAUCAAUUUUCCCUACACAAGAACAAUCAUCCUUUCCUUCCUUUCUAUUUUGAUUUUUAUUUUGAUUUUUCUUUAAUUAAUCCGACGACGGAGCCUCUGCAAGUGAAACAGUAAUUCUUUCUUGCAUACUCCUGAGGUGAGGGAAUUUUCUCAAUUUUCUGCUAAAAGUAUUAGAGUCAAUUGAGAAUAAUUUCCAACAACUAAUUACUUGGUAAAAUUUUAAGGCUUUUUGGAUAACAUAAAUUUAAGCUGGUACCAUCUUUUGAUGGGCGUUGUGAGGGUGCUAUAACCUUCCUCACACGUAACCGAACUCCCGAACCUUGUUCUGGUUAGCAGACCUGAACCUAUUCUUUUAGGGACCCUUAAACUUAGAUGUUUCCUGAAAGGACAGAUUCCAUAGGUGAUCAAUCGCACCUAGAUAAAAAAGAUUGGUGGCGACUCUCUAAAACCAAUGUCUAGCGAUAGAUCCCCGGAUCUAGACGUUAUGACAAAUAGCUUAUGUAAAUUUUACAAUCACAGUUAUGGCUUCUGGUAUUAUGUUAUUAAUCGUUUGUUACUAUCUUAUUCAUCAUUUACAAAGAAAUAAAGAAGAAAAUGAAAAACUUAUAGGCAAAUCACAAUAUUUUAUAUUCAUAUAUACUUUAAGAAUCCAAGUAUAUAUUCCAAUUAAAUAACGUGGAUAUCACGGCAAUGUGAAUUUCAAUGUUGACAGCAAUGUCAAGAUCCUCUCAAUCAAUAUAAUAUUUGAUGUUAUAGUCUCAUAGACUUAAAAAUAGAUAUGAAAUGCUUUUCAAAAAAAAAAAAAAAGAAAAUGGAACUUGCAAUAAAAAUUCUUCUUUCCACGAAGAAAUAGAAUGUAAGAAGAAACCACAAGGAAAGGGUGGAAAGAAUUUUUUAACCCAAACUCCACGAUUUCAUGUAAAAGUCACACUACGAGCUAAAGUAUUAAUUACAAAAUAAAAUAAAAAAGUAUAUCAUUUACAAUUGUUAUAGUAACUAGUUAUAAUUAAAAUUUAUAUGAAAUUUAUAAAAAUUUUAUAUGAAAUUCACAUUUAUAAGUGAUAGAUCCAUACAUAAUUCUUUAAGUAAUUGAAUAAUUAUAGAAUUAUAAUAAAAAGAAUUGUAGGUGAAAUACUCCAAAGUUGAUUUACCUGUUAUUAAAUUUGUUAUUAAAAUGUUAAAAAUAUUUUUAUAUUAAUAUUUUAAAAUUAAAAUUUAUUAUUUGUUAAAUAAAAUUCUCAACGUUGAACUCAAGCAUAGAGGUGUUUAUAGGCUGAUCUAGGUUGGGUCAAUUUUUUAUAUUAAUAGUUUAUAUGCUUGCUUAGGUUUGGUUUGGUCUGAUAUUUUGAGUCUCAAAAAUUUUUUUAAGGUCAACCAAAUUUGAAAAAGUAAAUACCAAGCCCCUCCAUUAAACCUAAUUUAUAUAACAAAAAUUAGAAAAUCCUUUUUUUAAAUAUAUAAAAAAAAUUUCAUAUAUUUAUAUAUAUUUAUAUAAUUAUAAUAUUUCAAUUAUAUAUAUUUUAUUUGAGUCGGAUCGGAUUCGGAUUUUAAUUUUUCCAUACCCAACCCGAAAUUUAAACAAGCUUAUAAAAAUGUGCCCAUGCCCAUUUAAUAUACUUUUAUUUUUUGUCUAAACUUUUUCAAAAUUUGACGAGCUUUUAGGCUUAGCUUGACUUUAGAACAAAUCUACUUAGGUAGAAAAAACAUAUUUAGGAUUGGAUCAAUGUCUUUGACCAAUAGCCUAGAUAAUAAUUGGGUCUAUAAACACCUAAUAAUUAACAACUACUUCAACUAUAACAACUAAGAGAAUGAUAGUGAAAUGAAUGAUUUUUAAUCAAGAUUGAUCAUUGGUAAAAAAAUAGUAUAUUUAAAGAAAAAUCAAUAAACAAAUCAAUAUAAACCAACAUAGAAUUAAAUUAAAUCCAACAUACAUGAGAUUCGAUUAUAAAAUCUAUUGCUUCCAAUCCCUUUUUCUUAUUAUUCAGACAAAACUUUAUUGAUAGUAUGAACAAAGUUUUAAUUUGUGGAAAAUAAAACUCUAUUGCUUGGUUUACAUGCAGAGGCACAUAUUUGUUUUAUUGUAAAAUUUUAGUAAUAAUUAUACAUAAGUUUAAUAAAAACAAAAAUAUAUAUUUUAUAUUUUUAUGUUGAUAUAAAUUAUGAUAUAUAAUUUUCAUAUAAAAUACAAUACAAAUACAUAAAUUUUGAUAUUUAAAUGAUACGAAUACACAAAUGGUUAAGUAUAGUCUAAUAACAAGAUAUCAUAGAAGCAUUUACAAUGUUUUAUAUAGACAACAUCUAAUUUAUGGUAGAAAAUUAUAAAAAUGAUUAAUAUUAUGAAUGAUUUUUAAAUUAUAAUAAAGUAUUUAAUAUGAUAUUUAAAUUUUAAACAUACCUAAAACAAUAUAAUAUCUAUAAAUUUUAAAAAUAAAGUAACAUCCUAAUCAUGGUAUUUGCAAGGGAUGAUUAACCGUGGAGCUACAAAAAUUAUUGGCUUUCUUAAUUCUCUAAAAACAUAUUAUUUGAAAAAAAAAAAAAAAAAAGGUGUCUAUGGACUAAAAGGAGCCGAGUUUGGUUGAAACCUAAAAUUCUUAGGUUUGGUGGGUUUUGCAAUUCAUUUUUAUUUAUCAUUAAAAAGAUUUUAUAUUAACAAUUUACUAUUUUUAAAUAUAUUUUAAAUUAAAUUAACAAAUAUGUUUAACGAGAACAAAAUAAGCAAUAAACCUUGUUAAAAGCUUUAAAAAUUUUGCUUAAGACUUGAUUGAAUUGAGACUAGCAUAUGGUCUGACACAUAGACAAGUCUAAUAUCAAGCUAUUAUAAAAAUAUUUACAUUAUUUUAUAUAGCCGACAUUCUGGUUUAUGGUGGUACAUUAUAAAAAUAAUUAAUAUUAUGAAUGAUUUAUAAAUUAUAAUAAAAUAUUUAAUAUGAUGCUUAAAUUUUAAAUAUUUCUAAUAUAACACUUAAAAUAUAAUAAAUUUUAAAAAUAGUAACAUCCUAAUCGUGUUAUUUGCAAGAAGUGAGUAAUUCAUGGAGUUGCAAAAAUAAUUGGUAUUCUUAAUUCUCUAAAAAUAUAUAAUUUGAGGAAAAAAAAAAAAAGGUGUCCAUGAACUAAGAGGAGCGAGCACGGUUGAAACUCAAGAAAUCUUAGGUUUGGUGGGCUCUGCAUUUUAUUUUAAUUUAUCAUUAAAAUAUGAAAAUAUAUUUAUACUAAUCUUUUAAUAUUUUAAAUAUAUUAUAAAAUAAAAUUAAAAAAUAAUUUUUUAUAAUAUAAUAACACAAUUAAUUUGAAGUAAACAUAAAAAACUUGGCAAGUCAAGGUUCUUGCGUAGACUCUGUUUGGUUCCUUUUUCUUUUUGCCUAAAGAGUAUUAGUGUCUUUUGUUGUCUACUCUCAUCGAUGGUAAAUUUCAGGAAUUAAAACUUGAAUAAAUUAGUUUAUUAUUAAAAUCACAUUUUCUUGCAAGUUGCCGACGUACUUUACAAAAAUUUUGCAAUGAGAUAAGGUGCGUGCCUUUGCGUGUAAAACGAAGCACAAGACUUUCAACAAAUUAAAACGUUAUUCACGCUUAAGUAAAACUAACGGGGAAGAAAUGACUGAAGUGUCAAGCAAGUUGGAGUUAAUUUCUCAACAACUUUCUUUUAGGUUUGGCCAACAACCGACAUUGCAUUUGCUUUUAAAAGACCAAUAGUUAUUUUUUUUAUUCAGUUUUUUCUAUUUGUAUUUUUUUUUCACUUUUUGGAAUUUUUUUUUAUGUAGAAAAGCCAAAAGUGCAAUAUGAUAUUAAAGUAUUUUGAAAAACUAAAAAUUAAAGAAAAAAAAAGUUUUUUAAGUAUUAUUAUUUACCAUAUUAUUCAAUUUAAAAUUAUUUUUUAUAAAUGAUUUUUUUUUUUAAAAAAAAUCCCAUUCAAAGCGAAAGCUUCAUUCUAUUGAUAUAUGAAAGCAUAAAUUUCUUUUAUCCUUUAUUAAUAGCUUUUGUAAAUUUUUAGUAUUAAAAUUAUGAAAUUUAAUAUCAUAUUAUUGAUCGUUUACUGCUAUUUUGUUAAUCAUUUACAAAGAAAUCAGAAAAGAAAAUGAAAAACUCGUAGACAAAUCACAACAUUUUAUAUUCAUAUAUACUUUAAGAAUCCAAGUCUAUAUUCCAAUUAAAUAACGUGGAUAUGAAGACAAUGUGAAUUUUAAGGUUGACGCCAAUGUGAAGAUCCUUUCAAACAAUGCUAUAUUAGAUGUUAUAGACUUAUAGAUUUAAAAGUAAAUAUGAAAUGCCUUUAAAAAAAAUAGAAAUCAAAUGGAACAUGCAAUAAAAGUUUCUUCCAGGAAGAAAUAAAAUGCAACAGGAAGUCACAUGGAAAACGUGGAAACAAUUUUUAACCCAUACUCCACGAUUUCACGUAAGUCACAUUAUGGCCUAAAGUAUUUAUUACAAAAUGAAAAAAAAAAAAAAAAUCAAUUGUAUCAUUUACAAUUAUUAUAGUAGCUAAUCACAAUUUAAAAUUAUGUGAGAUUUAUUAAAAUUUUAUAUAAAAAUCACACUUAUAAGUGGUGGACCCAUAUAUAAUUUUUUUAAUGUAAUUAAAUAAUUAUAAUAUUGUAAUAAAAAAAUUAUAGGUGAAAUGUUCCCAAACUCAUUUACUUAUUUCAAUUAAAUUUGUUAUUAAAAUGUUAAAAAUAUUUUAUAUUAAUAUUAUAAAAUUAAAUUUUAAUUAAAAUAUAUUAUUUAUUAAUAUAAUAAAAUUCUCAACGUUGAACUCAAGUCUUAAAAAAAUCAUAUUUAGGACUGGAUCUAAAUCGUUUGACCAAUAGCCUAGAAAGUGGUUGGGUUUAACAAGUACUCCAACUAUAACAACUAAGAGAACGAUUGUGAAAUGAAUGAUUUUUUUAUCAAGAUUGAUCAUUGGUACAAAAAAAACUAAUAACCAAAACAACUGAAUAAUAGAAAAAUAGUAUAUUUAUAGAAAAUUUAAAUUAAAUCCAACAUAUAUACAAUGAGAUUUGAUCAUAAAACCUAAUGCUUCCAAUCCCUCUUUCUUAUUAUUGAGACAAUUUUGCUCUAAAUAUGAUUUUUAAUUUGAGGAAAAUAAAAGUCAUUGUCUUAUUGCAAAAUUUUUUUCUAAAUUAUGUCGGCCACUUUCGACAGAGUGAUUUCAGUGACUAUUUUAUACCAAAUUUCAAUUCCAAAAAUAGUAGAAUUUACCACAGAUGAGCGAAGACAAGAAAGAGACUAACACUCCUUUUGGUAAGAAGGAAAGGACGAGGGAAAAAAGUGCUAAUAUUUUUUUACUUUCCUUUUCUUUCUUUCUACAACACGGAGUCUAAACGAUCGAAGACCACCUUGAUUGUCUAUAUAUAUUAAGCUUGAUGCAAGGCUUAUCGUUAUAUAUUUAGAACUAGCAGUUUAGAGAGAAUUGAAAAUAAAAAGAUCAUAUAUAAAGAAAAAGAGAUGAUGGAACCCAAAUGGUUGUUGUGAGUGUGUUGUUGUUGUUGUUAGAAGGAUGCAGAUGGUAUAGUACUGAUGCCUGUUGGAGGAAGAGAGGAUUGCUCUCUUGCAACUCAAACCUUUCUUCAAUCCUCAGAACGAUCUGAACAGCUGGGUUGAUGAGAUCAAGGGUUCAGAUUGCUGUCAAUGGGAUAGGGUCGAGUGCAACACCUCCUCCUCCUCUUCCAAGCGAGUCAUAGGACUCUUUCUUAAUUAUAUAAGAUGGUCCAAAAACGAAAGAUGGUAUCUUAAUGCCUCUUUGUUUCUUCCUUUCAAGGAACUGAAGCAUCUUUAUUUGCCAGGGAAUAACAUCGCUGGUUUUGUUGAAAGUGAAGGUCGCUUUUGCCUUUUCAUCUUCAAUUAUUUCAUUGUUAAUUUGCAAUAUGAAAAUUCAUUCAUCAGUUCUUCAUUUUUACAAUUUCAUAUUUAAUUCUAUUUUUGUUUUAUUGAUGAAAAGCCACUAAGUCCUUAUUAUAUAUUUAAAAGAACUCUCUUGCAGGUUUUGCAAAGCUAAAUUUGGAGAUCCUUUAUUAAGUUACAAUUACCUCAAUGAUACAAUUUUAUUAUCUUUGAGUCAGCUUUCAUCUCUCAAGGAUUUAUAUCUAGCAGGAAACUUGUUCACAGGAUCAACUUAUGCAAACGUUAGAGUUAAAACCAAUCUAAUUAUGAUUAUGAAUUAUAUACAUUAAUUAAAAUACUAAUCUUUUUUCGAUACAGGUUUUCAAUGGCUUUCAAGACUUAGUAAUUUGAAAACUCUUGAUUUAGGGGACAAUUCUUUGAAAAAUAACAUAUUGUUUCAUAUGAAUGGUCUUUCAUCUUUAAGGAUUUUAAGUUUGAGUACAAAUCACUUGGAAGGAACCACUCAUAUUCAUGAUAAACUUGCUUUAUCUUUCUUUUACGUUCAAAUCAAUUGUUGUUUUAGAAAAAGGUGUUGCAUAUCAUUUGCUUUAAUAUGAACUAUUAAUUAUUCAUUGGCAUUGAAUAGGAUUGAAUAAUUUGACAAAUUUGAAGAACUUGGAUUUAAGCAGAAAUAGAAUUGAAAGCUUUCAACCAUCAAAGCAAGGUAUAAAUAUAUAUUUCAAUUCACUUAAUUAAGUUCUUAUUUAUGUGAUCAAUGCAUAAAAUUUCCGAUUAACAAUGGCAUAUAAUAGAAAUAUUCUUCUACAGGAAAGGAGAUGCAACUAAGGAUGACCAAUUUGGAGGUUCUUGAUUUAAGUAGUAAUCUCUUCAAGAACGACACUUUUGCCUUCCUUUCUGGCCUUCCAAGUCUAAAGUCUCUGAAUAUGGGGGACAACCAAUUGCAAGGCUCAAUAGAUAUUGAAGGUAAAGCUAUUACAGCUUUUUUUUUUUUUUAAUUCUGUUUUUGAACCUUUUUGCUCAUCAAAUAGGAACUUGCUUUAUCUUUCUUUUACGUUCAAAUCAAUUGUUGUUUUAGAAAAAGGUGUUGCAUAUCAUUUGCUUUAAUAUGAACUAUUAAUUAUUCAUUGGCAUUGAAUAGGAUUGAAUAAUUUGACAAAUUUGAAGAACUUGGAUUUAAGCAGAAAUAGAAUUGAAAGCUUUCAACCAUCAAAGCAAGGUAUAAAUAUAUAUUUCAAUUCACUUAAUUAAGUUCUUAUUUACGUGAUCAAUGCAUAAAAUUUCCGAUUAACAAUGGCAUAUAAUAGAAAUAUUCUUCUACAGGAAAGGAGAUGCAACUAAGGAUGACCAAUUUGGAGGUUCUUGAUUUAAGUAGUAAUCUCUUCAAGAACGACACUUUUGCAUUCCUUUCUGGCCUUCCAAGUCUAGAGUCCCUGAAUAUGGGGGAGAACCAAUUGCAAGGCUCAAUAGAUAUUGAAGGUAAAGCUAUUACAGCUUCUUCUUUUUUUUAAUUCUGUUUUAGAACCUUUUUGCUCAUAAAAUAGGUAAAAUCUCAUAUCACAUUUGGGGAUUUUUCCUCUUCACUUAAAGCUUUAGAUUUGUUUUGCCGUUUACUUCAUUAUAGAGUCAUUAAAAAUAUUGAGUAAAAGAUUAUUUGAGUAACCGGGCUAACAUAAUGAUUAUUUGAAUUAAACUUGGACAUAGAAUUGAAUAAUUUGAUGAAUCUGAAGAGGUUGUAUUUAUACUCCAACAAAAUUGAAAGCCUUCAUUCCUUACAAGGUAUGCAUUUAUAUUUGCUCAAUUAGUUAAGUUGUUAUAUAUAAUUAAAUAUUAUGUAAAUCUUUUUUUAGUGAUGAAAUUAUGUAAACCUUAUGUAGAUAGUGGGAGACAGCUGAACUUGACCCAUUUAGAAGAAUUUGAUUUGAGUGAUAAUCUCAUUAAUGACAACAUAUUUGCAUCACUUAGCGGGCUUUCAAAUUUGAAGUAUUUGGAUAUAAGCUCCAAUCAGUUAAAUGGAUCAAUAGAUAUGAGAGGUAACAUUACUUUUUUGGCAAAAAUUUUGAAUUUGUUAACAAAAAUCUUAAUUCAUGUUUCAAGAUGAUAUAACAAAUAAGUUCAUCUGUUUUUUUCUUUAAUGAUGAAAUUAUGUAAAUUUUUUAUAGAUAUUGGGAAACAGUUAAAAUUGACCAAUUUCUAAAUGCUUGAUUUAAGUCAUAAUCUAAUUAAUUAUUACUUUUCAACCAAAAUUUCAACUCUAUUACAAAUACUUAAAAAAAACAAAUUUCAUGUUUUCAGGUCAUUUAAUGACGUUUUUUUUUUUUUCCAGACUUGGGUGCUUUUAUCAACUUAGAGGAACUGGAUAUGAGCUCUAAUGAUCUGAAUGAAUUUGUGGCUUGUAAAGGUAUGGAUUUAAAUAAAUUUUCUAUUUUUAUUUGAGAGGUUUAUAAUGAUGUGGAUGUUUUAAUGAUCAACAAAUUUAGCAUAUUAAAAUUUAAUGCUCAAUUUUUUAAAAGAAGAAAUUAAUUAUUAUUAUAUGCUUUUUACUACAAUACUACAAUUCUCUAAUUAUAAUAAAGAAUUAUGUAAGAAUCCACCAUUUAUAAGUGUGAUCUUCACAUAAAAUUUUGUUAGACCUCAUGCAAUUUUGAAUUGUGAUUGCUUAAUCGUGUUACAAUGAUUAUAGGUGAAAUGCUCUUAUUAAAAUUAAUGCCCAAUUUUUUAAAGGAAGAAAUUCAUUGUAAUUUGAUUACUAAUUAGAAAAUGAUAUAUAUUUGCCUUAGAUAAUUGCUUUCUUUAAGAAGUGUUGCAACGGCAUAUCAAAUAUUUUCCUUUUUGUUUGUAUUACCUUGUUGUGUCUUAGAGUUGGACUUGUUUGCCUUUUGUCAUUCUAUUUAAGAUUACUACGUAUUCUUAUUACCGUUUAAAAAAUUUUGCCUUUUCAUGUUACUGUUUUGUUUGAUUUUCAUCUUUUUGAUUGUUUCGUAUAUUAAAAUUUAUAUUAAAAAUAUUUAACUAUUCAAUAUUCUUCUCUAUUAAAAAUUCAUUUUGCAUUAAUCUUGAAUAUAUAAUCUUAUCUACAAAAAUGAAAAUUUUCACUCAUUUAUUUUUUUCAUUUACAGAGUAUAAGAGUUUGAAAAAGUUAAAAGUUCUUCGUCUAAAUAGGGUUUUUACCAAUGGAAGCAUUCCAUUACUACUAAAAUUAGUAGAGGCAUUCCCGUCGGUUAAGACCUUCGAUCUACAAUGUAAUUACUUAAACAAGACUAUGGCUACUCAAGAUCAAGGUAAGUCAUUAAUUUAUUCCAGAAGGACUAAAAAUUAGUAGAUGUUUGUUGAUUAACAUCUAAUAAUACCUCCUAUGCUAUGAUUACUUAGAAUUGCAUGUGUGGAGCAAUGUGGAGGAAAUACUUCUAGACAAUUCUUAUCUCAACAACAACAUUUUGCAAAGCAUUGGAGUAUUCACUUCUCUUAAAACUUUGUCUUUACGUAACUGUGGACUUAUGGGUUCCUUACCUAAUCAAGGUAAAUUAAAGACUUUAUAAUUUCUCCAAUAUAACUCAUGGAAUACAUCUAUUUCCAAUAAUCCUUUAUUCCAUUUCUUUCAUCUAAUAUCUUUUAUAUAUAUUCUGUUUUGGAAAUCAAAAUUUAAUUAAAAUUUCUUCCAUGAAUUUAUAAAAUUUUCAGGUUGGUGCGAUCUAAGGAACCUUAAGAGUUUGGAUAUCAGAAGGAAUGCACUUGAGGGGAUACUUCCUUAUUGUUUGGGUAACUUGACAUCUCUUCUUGAGUUAGAUAUCUCCAACAAUCAAUUUACUGGAAAUUUGACUCCUUUAGCAAAUCUUUCAUCACUUAGAUUUGUCUCCCUUUUAAGAAAUCGUUUGCAAAUUUCAAUGCCAUUCUCGUCACUUGCAAACCUUCCAAAUCUCAAGGUUCUUUUGGCUGAUGAAAACAAGAUAGUAAUGGAACCUAAUUCCUUUCAUACUUCAAUUCCAAAGUUCCAACUAAACAUCAUCAGUUUGUCAGAGUGUAUAAUAGACAAAGGACUUAGUCUACAACCUCCUAAGUUCCUUUAUUACCAAUAUGACUUGAGAUAUGUUGAUCUUUCCCAUAACAAUUUCAGUGGAACAGUCCCGUUAUGGUUGCUAGAAAACAACACAAAAUUAGAAAAUCUCUUCUUGUUGGGUAAUUCUUUCACUGGUCCUCUCUUGUUACCACAUCAUUUUCAUCCUAAUGUGUCUUUAAUUGACAUAUCUGAAAACAAAUUACAAGGUCAAAUUUCGACAAAUAUAUGUUCAACUUUUCCAAAUUUGGAAUUGUUAUUCUUAUCUAAGAAUGCCUUUGAAGGUAAUAUCCCUCCUUGUUUAAGUGGCAUGAACACUUUAUCAAUUUUAGACCUAUCGGACAAUCAUUUGUUUGGAAGAGUACCAGAAGAGUUGAUCAUGAGAAGCUCAUUAGAUGUUCUUAGGCUAUCAAAUAACAACCUAAGUGGAAAGAUUUUUCCUUUGAUGUUCAACAAAAGAAAGUUGUCAAGUUUGUAUUUGGAUGGCAAUAAUUUUGGUGGAGAGAUUCCUGAUAUUGAUGUCUCUACUACUGAUUUUUCACAUUCAUCACUAGAGGAUAUUGAUCUCAGUAAUAAUAGUUUUAAUGGAAAGCUCCCAAGAUGGAUAGGGAAUAUAUCGCAUUUGAAGAGAUUGGCUUUGUCAAACAAUCAUUUUGAAGGUUCUAUUCCAAUGGAAUUUUGCAACUUGUUUAAGCUUGAAUUUUUGGAGCUUUCUCAAAACAAUUUAUCUGGCUCUAUUCCUUCUUGUUUCAAUUCACCAUUUUUGAGACAUGUCCACGUGAAGAGAAACAGACUAAGUGGUCCAUUGACACUUGCUUUUAAUAGCACUUCAUUAGUGACAUUAGAUCUUAGAGGGAAUAAUUUGACCGGUAAUAUUCCAAAAUGGAUUGGCACAUUUUCUUCUUUAAGCGUCCUUCUUUUGAAAGAUAAUCAUCUAGAUGGUGGAAUUCCAGUUCAAUUAUGCAAGUUGUAUUCAUUGAGCAUCAUAGAUCUUUCUGGAAAUAUGUUUUCUGGUCCUAUACCUUCUUGUUUGGGUAAUUUAACUCUGGCAAUGAAAAAGGAGAAGUCUUCUAUGGAUGUUUUGCAUAGAGUAGUUUCAAUGUAUGAUCUACCAAUAAACAUUCCAUUUUAUUUUUCACAUGAUUAUCUUAGUAGCUACAUGGAAGAAGGGAUAGAGUUUACAACAAAGAGUGUGUCCUAUUCAUAUAGUGGUGACAUUCUUGAGUACAUGUCUGGGAUUGAUUUAUCUUGUAACAGGUUAACUGGGCAAAUCCCACUCGAAAUGGGAAAUUUAAGUGAAAUCCAUUCGUUAAACUUAUCCUACAAUAACUUGGUCGGAGUUAUACCUUUAUCAUUUUCACAACUUAAGCAAAUUGAGAGUUUGGACCUUUCUUACAACAACUUGAGUGGUAGAAUCCCAAUACAGUUGGUUGAGUUAAACUUUCUAGAGGUUUUCAGUGUGGCACACAACAACUUGUCAGGUAGUAUUCCAGAGCCAAAAGCUCAGUUUGGGACCUUUGAUGAAAGCAGCUACGAGGGAAACCCUCUUCUUUGUGGGCCUCCAUUGCAAAAUAACUGCUUUAAAACUGAGUCACCACCAACAGUACCUACUACAACAGACAAUGAAGGAGAAGGUAGUUUCAUGGACACAUAUGUUUUUUGUGUGAGCUUUCUGGUUUCAUAUGUAAUUGUUUUAUUGGGAAUUUUUGUUGUUCUAUACAUAAAUCCAUAUUGGCGACAAGCAUGGUUUUCUUUCAUUGAGAGUUGCAUCACUACCAGUCGCUACUCAAUUGUGGGCAAUUUUCUUGAGUUAUGCAUCUUCAGAAGAUGUGCCUAGGUAUUAUGGGAGCUCUUAUGAUUUGCCUUUUGUUUGAAUGUGGUGAAGAUUUGGAUAAAGUUGAUUUUGUUGUCAGAAGAAGUUUGGUGAUUUGAUCUUUUAAAUAGGGGAUUUCUUUUAGCUGACUGUUCUGUUAAAAUAGUUGUAGGAAGAGUUGUGGAUUUUGCACUUUGAACAGAGCUUUAUGUCUCUGUCGAAACUCUGUUUUUGGUAUUUGUUUUGUUUCGAAGGAAGCCUAUAGCUUUGUGUCUUAUUGAUUUUAUUUUCUACACAAAUAUUCAAUUCUCUAUUCUCCAUCAUCUACAAGUUAUUAUUAAUAUCUUUUCCAAGUUAUUAUUCAAAUUGGCAAAUUUUUCCUCAUUAGUUUUGACUUAGUUUUGAGCUUCUAGUAAAUGAUAUCUGGCAUAAAUUGUAGCGAAGGCAAAGAUUGCUGGCUAUGGCCUACCAAGAACAUUUCUAAAGUUGUAUUGGUUGGCUUCAUUUGUUUUAACCAGAUUUUAUAUCGAUCGUAAAAAGCUUUUUCAAUUUAUUUUCUUUGAUGCUUAAAAAAUUAGAUUUUAAACAAAAACAAUACUAAUUGUAUUAGUAAGAAUUUGAAUUUUAAAUGCAAUACAUCACAAUAAGUCAAUAAUUAAGAAUAUAUAAAAUUUUUUAAAAGAAAUUCUAUCAUAUUAAAGUAAUAUGAAAUAGUCAAGAAUGUGUUUUGUUUUUUAUUAUUUAUCAAUUUCUCAUUUCUAGCUCUUUUAAAGAGGUUUAUUUUUAUUUAAAAUUACUUAAUAUUUGUUGUCUUUCGGAAAUUAGUAUUAGUUUAUAAAAUGGGCCAAAUAAGCAUUUAUUGUUGAAAAUAUCAUUUUGAUCGCAAAAUGCAAUUAUUUUCUUUUAUAGGGUUACAAAUUAUUCCAAAAUAAAAAAAAAAAUUAGGUUUAUAUAUCUCAUACACAUGCAAACCCCAUCAACUAAAUAAAUUAAAUGUUGAAUCUUCCAAAGCAACAAUGAGAUCAUGACUUAGUAGUUAUGUUAUAAAGGGUGUUAGCCAAUGAGAUCAUGACUUAGUAGUUACAUUGUAAUUUAUUAGUUCAUUAUUCAAUAAUUAUAAUUUGAUUAUGAUAUAAUAAUUGAUUAUUCUGUUAAUUAUAUGAAUGUAAUACUUGAUUAUGAUUAUAACAAUUAAAAAAAACUAAAAUUUUUGAAUCUAUUCUUUGCGUGGUUAAUUUUUAUUUUAAAAAAAAGCUUAAAUAAUAUAUACCAUAUAAAUAGUGAUUUCAAAAGUUCAAAGAGUUUCUCUUUAAAAAAAACAACCCUCAUACUACUUUAUUCAAAAAUAAAAAAUAAAAAAUAAAUUUAAAAAACAUAAAAAAAUAAUAAAAAUAAAACAGCAAAGGUAUCAAAGGAAAAAAAAUUAAAAAAAAAAAAAGAAUAACCUCAUAUCUAACUGUAGCAUUUCCAUGAAAGAAAAUGAAAUAAUGGAGUAAAAUCCUCAUCCUUUUUCACCGCAAAGAACUUAUGUGUAAAUUUGAUCACAUAUAAACCAAUAAAUAAUCAUAAAAUAAGUACACCUGGUCUACAAAUAAUUAAUAAUUGGUAUACAAAGAUUACAAAAAAUUAAACACAUUUUAUUAUUUCUAAUAAAAUUGAAUUAUAUUAAUUUUUUAAAAUAUUUAUUUUUAAAUCAUUGAUUAAUGGAGAAUGAGAAAAGAUUAAAAUUAAUCUAUACCUUACUACUAAGGAUCCAGAACAUCAACUUAACAUUUGUAAAUUGAAUUACUUAAUUUCAUUUAAUGACACUUAUCCUAAAAAAUCAUAUAGCGUUUGCAUCCAUGAGGUAUUGGUUGGUUUUGUAAGGGGCAUAGAUAUGAAUAUAUAUAUAUAUAUAUAUUCAUAGAACUUUUUGGUUUUUUUUCUACAUUGAUCCAACUAAAUUUAAAUAAAAAUAAAUAAAAAAUAAAAACUAUAUAUAUUCAUAGAAAUUUUUGGUUUUUUUUCUACAUUGAUUCCACAAAAUUUAAAUAAAAAUAAAAAUAAUACAAAUAAAAUUUAAUCUAUUUUAUAAAACAAAAUACAAGUGAAAUGACUAAAAAAAUCAAAUCUAUUAUACUAUAAUAGUUGUCCAAUUAUGUACAAGGAUACACUCAAACAAUUAUAUAUCGAGAUUAGCAGUUAUAAAAUAAUGUUAUUCAAUAUUUUUCUAAUAAUGGGAUAAGAUAUAUUUAAAUUUAUCAUUUAUAUUUUAGAUCUGGGGAAAGGAGAUUAGGUUGGGUUAAAUUAAUGUUAGAGGGGUUUAUCAUUUAUAAUUGUUUCAAAAUUAUAAUCUAUUUUUAUAUUGUUGAAUUAUAUAAAAAAUGCUAAUAAUCUUGCAAUCAUUUGGUAGUUAAUAUAGCAUUAAACUCCUAAUUUUUAUGAUCAUAAUUUUAUUCUUGAUAUAUUCAAAUACCAAAAAAUUAAGAGUUUAAAUUUAUAUUAGAAUGAUCAUUGAUAAGUACUAUACAUUUACCAGCAUCAAAUCAAUAUUGAUUGUAAAUCUUAACACUAAUUAACUUAUUUAAAAAUAAUUAAUUAAAAUAAAAUUAAAAAACAUUAGGACAGCCUAAAUCGUUUUCUCAAAUCUUCAUUUAAAAAAGUUGAUAAAAACCUAAGAUAAAAUGUUAGUCACUUAUAAAAAAAAAACAAAAUUCCCAAUGAAGAUUUGAUUCCAUUCUCUUUUGUUGUUUGCUAUAGAUGGCUAUAACUUCUAAAAAAUGAUAAAUAUUUAUGGAAGAGAUAUCAGUGCGGUGUUGUUCUAAGAGACUGCGAGGGUAAUAUUAGAAGUUUGUUUUAUGGCCCUCUUGGUGAUCAGGAGUCAAAUACUGCAGAAGUUUUGGCCAUUAAGACUGCACUUCAAAUGUUUUCUUCUUCACCUUGGCUGGGAAAGGUUGUUCUAGUUUUGAAAUCAGAUUCAAAAGUAGCAGUGAGUUGGGUGCGUAAUAAGAAUGCCAGACCAUGGAAACAAUGGCUGAUAUUUGCGGAAACUUAUAAGCUAGUGGAAAUCAUAGGAAAAGGUUAAGUUUGGACACAUUUUUGAAGAAGCCAAUUACUUUGCUGAUUCAUUGGCAAGGAAGGGGGUAGACAGUCUUAGUUUGUUUUAUGCAUGGCUGUAAUAUGAUAAUAUUUCCUGUGGUGAAUAGGUAGUUUCUGGAAAUAUUGCUAUCAGGUGCAAAGACUGUUUCUGAUCAAUAAAAUUUUUUUGACUGAGAAAAAAAAAGAACGAAGAGAAGUUUUCAAUCCAUUGUUGAUUAAAAACCUAUAGCCUCAUCUAAAAGAGGCAAUUUUUAAUCAAAAUUAAUGAAAAUUUUGAGAAGAUGAGAAAAGAGAGGAGAAAAUUGCUAGAGCUUCUUCAUUUUCUCAUUAAAGCUCUAUUUCGUUUUUUUUUUUUUCAAUUAAUUGUUAGUUAUUACUAGUUGAAUAUGUUAAUUAAAGAGAAAGGUUAUUAUGGAUUAGUUUGGUUUCACUUUCAUACAUAAAUAGGUUAGUUAAGGAUUAAAGGUUAUUAUAAAUUAAUUUGGUUUCGCUCUCAUAGAAGCGUGAUAUUAGUUUCAAUCUUUUAAAAAAUUAUAAUAUGGUAUUUUAUUAUUGAUUUUCAAAAAUUUAGUUUUAGGAUCAUUAUGAUCCUAGUGAAACCCAAAAAAAUAUAUAGUAUAAAUUUUUUACAUAUAAUUAAAUAUUAUAUGACUUCUUAUUAAAAAAAAAUUUAACUAAGCCAUCAGUUAUGUGGGAAAAUGUCUUUGAUUUAAGAAGGGAUUUCUAUUCGAGCCAUUGCUAAGAAAAAUGGACAUUUCGUGAGGAAUUGAGAGUGUCACCUAAUACAUCCUUCAUGGCAAAUAAAGAGAACAACCAAUGCUUUUUUUUUCUUUUCCUUUUUGCUAUUUUUUCACAAAUUUUGGAUUGCCAUUUUUGUUUAAUUUGGGCUUAGAAAGCCCUAAAAUAAUUUGGGUUGCCUUUCCUUUUCUUUUUUCCUAUUGGUCUCUUUUUCUUUUUUUGUGUUUUGUAAAUUUUUUUUUACAAAAAUACAAAAAAGUGGAUAUAUAUAUCUAAAAAAGUGCAUGUAGGCAGAUUUUUUUUUUUUUUAAAGUGGAUAUAAGCAUGUAUCUUUUAAUUUUAAAUUUUUUAUAAUAUUUUAUUUGAUUUUUUUUUAUCAAUUCUCCCAACUAAACUUGUGUCAUUCAUUUGACUCAUAACGUGAGUUUUAACCAAAAAUUUUAUAUUAGCACUGGAACUUUAACAUAGUGCAAAACAUGUUUUGAACAAAAAAUUGUGUUCUGAAAAAAAUAAUAUCUAAAAAAAGAUGCGUAAUUUUUUUAAAUUGAAAACACAUUUGUAUCUUUUAUUUAAAAAUUUAUAAUAGAUAUAUAUUUGCCAAUUCACCCAACUAGUUGCCUAUCACUUGAGAUAGUCAAUCAAUCGGGAUGUAUGACUAUAGAUAUUCUAUACUAAUAUUAGAGGGAUGUUAUACGGUUAAAACCAAAAUAUCUAUGUCGAUCAAACGCAAGUAAGCGAUGUUAAAACUGCAGUAAGCCUCAGGAGUAGAGGGAAACAACAGGAGGGUGUGGAAAAGAAUAUGGUCUCUGCAGGUUUCAACCAAGAUUAGAGCUUUCAUGUAGUGGGUUUGUCAUGAUAUUAUAUAGCUAAUGGUUAACUUGGCAAGAAGGCAAUUCCAAUGGAAAAAACUUGCUUGCGGUGCGGGGUUGGUGAAUGUCGAUGAGCAACAAAGUGUGGGACACCUAAACUAUUAGUGGGAGAUGAUAACGAAGUGCAGUAAGAGAGUAUAGGUUGGUUCCCUGAGAUGAUUAUGAAACUUAAGCACAAUUGUUGCGAUAACAUGAUGGACAAUAUGGAAUAGUCGAAAUUAUGAGGCUCUCGGAGAGCAAAGGAGGAGUUCCCUCGGGUCAGCAACAUUCGCCAAAACUUACUUGCUGGAAUUCACCAAGCUUAGUAGCAGCAGAUCAUAAUUCUGCAAACGCCAAAUGGUAUCUCAAAAAUGAAAACUCCCAGUUAGUGACUGCUAUAAAAUAAACUUUGAUGGGGCCAUUGACAGAGAGCAAAAAAUUAAAAUUAUAAUGAUAAAAUAUAGUUAAAGGAUAUUUUUUCUUUUAAUUUUCAAAAAAACUACGUACACAUCUAAAAUCACAUAAAUUUUUUUUAACUCACUUUUUUUUUCUCAUUUUUCACCUAGAACAUUAUCAUUUUCGAUAGACUAAAAAAAGUAAUAAUCUAUAUAGAUUAAAUAUGACAAGACUCAAAAAUGUUAAAAUAAGUUAUCUUAUAUCUACUAAAUUAUCAAUAUCAUGUAGUCUUAUAUUCAAGUUGAAUCUUUUUAUUUACUAUCAAUUAAUUUUAAGUUGGAUACUUAAUAUAAUAUCAGAGUCAAAAAAUUUUUUCUAUUGUUCUUUUUUAAUUUGUUACAUGAAAAUUUUCUUUCAUUUUCACCUACAUGUGACGGGGUUUAUUAAAAUGAGUUAGUUUAUAUCUAAUAAAUUUUUAAUAUUUUGUAUUUUUAUAUUCAAGUUGGAUUCCUUCACUUAGUAUCAAUUGAUUUUAAAUUGAAUACUUAAUAAAAAACAUACUUACACUGAAUCACUAAAAUAUAUGAAAUCUUUGUUUUAUUUAUAGGAUAGAUGUUUUCAAUAUAUAUAUAUAUAUAUAUAUAUAUGCAAAAUUUUUCUUUGAAAGGCUAUAUAUUUGUUUGUAAACUAUUAUGUGUAGACACCCAAUUUGGUCCAAGCCCAGAUCAAUUGGGCCUGGCCCAAAUAGAUAAGCCCAAUUUGGUUCUUAUUUGAGGUUAUUUUUAUUUUAUUUUUUUCUUUCUUUUGUAUUUUAUGUAUUUUAUUUAUUUAUUAUUACUAUGUAUUAAUAUCUUUAUUUAUUUAUUUAUUUAUUUAUUUAUUAAUAUUUAUAUGUAUUUUAUUUAUAUAGUUAUAUAUUUAUUAUUAUAUUAUAAUUUAUGUAUUAUUUUUUUCUUGUAAUAUUUUUUUCAGAUUUUUAAUUAUCUGUUAAUAAUUUUUUUUCUCUUUUUCUGUUUAUCUGAUUUGUCGUUUAUCUGAUUAUUAUUUUUUUUUCUUUUUCUAGGGCUGCAAUUGAAAGCUGAAGAAUCCUGCUGAGAAUGAGGAUUCAAUCAGAAAAGUCCAAAUUGAUUCAAAGAUUGAAUCCCCGUCCAAAGAGGAAUUGGGAUUGAUCAGAAACUCCUGAUCAAUCCCUAUAAAAGGGACCCUCUGGAACAGAAGCAAUGGACAGAAAAAAAAUAGUGAGCAAAGCUACUGAUUUGAGAGAUAGAAGAGUAUAGGAGGCUAAGAAGUGUUCUGGAGUUAGUAGGAAUUUUUUUUGAAGAUUUUUGGCGAUUUUUUUUUCUUGGAAUUUUUGGAAAAUUCCAGAUUCAGUGAAUUUUCUGACGAAAGUUAAAUUUUUCGGUGAAAAUUCUGACCAACUUUGAAGUUUUCGGUGAGCUGCCCAGUUUCCGGUGACCUUUCCUAGAAACCGACCAACUUUCGGCCAACUUUCGACGAAAAAAAAUCAGAUUCCGACGACAAAUCCCAGAAUCCGAUGAAUCUUCAACCGGAGUUCUUCGGCUUUUUAGAGAGAAGGGAGAGGAAAAAAAGAAGAAGAGAGAGAGAGAAGAGGAGCGUUCUGUCGAAAAACAGAGGGAAGAGCCUUAUAUACCCUCCCAAAACGACGUCGUUUUGGCCUUAAGUGACCUAGAGGAUCCGCGCAUUUUGUUGAGAUCCGACCCGACCCGAGCGUCGACCCGUUUCCUGACCCGCGCGUGUCUGUCCCCCUUCGAGCCGAGCUUCCGAGCCGAGCCGAGCUUUCAAGCCGCUCUCCCAAGCCGUUUCUCUUCCUUGAGCCGAGCCGAGCCGAGCCGUACUUCGAGCCGAGCCAGGUUUUUUUUUUAUUUGUUUUUUUAUUUAUUAGAUUAGGUUUAUUUAAUAUUCUUUUUAUCUUUAUUUUAUUUUUAUUUUUUAUUUUUCUUUUUUUUUAUUUUUUUAUUUAUGUUCACUUUUAUUUUGUUUUAUUAUUCUAUUUUCUUUAAAUAAAAAUAAAAAAAAAUAUUUUUGGGGAAAAGUUGAAAGUAUCAAUUUUCCUUGAAAAUAAAUUUUCAAAAAAGGUUUUUGAGGAAAAGUUGAAAGUUUCAAUUUUCCUUGAAAAUCAAAGUUUCCAAAAAAAAUAAUUUUUGGGGAAAAGUUGAAAGUAUCAAUUUUCCUUAAAAAUAAAUUUCCAAAAAAAUAUUUUUGGGGAAAAGUUGAAAGUAUCAAUUUUCCUUAAAAAUAAAAUUUCAAAAAAAGGGGUUUUUGAGAAAAGAUUAAAAGUAUCAAUUUUCCUUGAAAAUCAAAAUUUCAAAAAAUAUUUUUAGGGAAAAGUUGAAAGUAUCAAUUUUCCUUAAAAAUAAAUUUCAAAAAAAAUUUUUGAGGAAAAGUUGAAAGUAUCAAUUUUCCUUGAAAAUCAAAUUUCAAAAAAAAUAUUUUAGGAAAAGUUGAAAGUAUCAAUUUUCCUUAAAAAUAAAUUUCAAAAAAAUUUUUGGGAAAAGUUGAAAGUAUCAAUUUUCCUUAAAAAAAAUUUCAAAAAAAAUAUUUUUGGGAAAAGUUGAAAGUAUCAAUUUUCCUUAAAAAUAUUUCAAAAAAUUUUUUGGGAAAAGUUGAAAGUAUCAAUUUUCCUGCACAAAACAUUAUUUUCCUUCCUUUUAUUUUGAUUUUGAUUUUGAUUUUGAUUUUUAAAUAAUCCGAACGAGCCUUUGCAAGUGAAACAAUAGUUUUUCUGGCAUACUCUUGAGGUGAGGGAAUUUUCUCAAUUUUUGAAGUAUUAGAGUCAAUUGAGAAUAAUUUUCAAUAAUUAAUUACUUGGUAAAAUUUAAGGCUUUUGGACAACACAAAUUUAAGCUGGUACCAUCUUUUGAUGGGCGUUGUGAGGGUGUUAUAACCUUCCUCACACGUAACUGAACUCUCGAACCCUGUUCUGGUUAGCAGACCUGAACCUAUUCUUUUAGGGACCCUUAAACUUAAGUGUCCCCUGAAAGGACAGAUUUCUUAGGUGGCCAAUCGCACCUAGAUAAAAAAGAUUGGUGGUGACUCCCUAAAAGUCAAUGUCUAGCGAUAGAUCCCUAGAUCUAGACGUUAUGAUAGCUUGGCGACUCCACUGGGGACUCUGAGAGUCAAGCCAGCAAAUAAUUUGUGUUAUCCAAAAGCCUAAUAAAAUUGAACCUUUUUGUAUAUAUAUGUUAUUAUUCAUUCAUGUUUAUUUACCUUGUUAAUUAUGUCAUUGAUAUGCAUGUGCAUAACAUGAGCUCUACACCCGAGCUCCGUCCCUCUAGGAGGGAGUAAAAUACCUAUUGCUUUCGUGAGGUCUAAUGCCUCCGUAGUGGCUAGCGAAAUACUCCCAUUCAAAUUGAACUUUUUUCGCUUGUAGCUUGUAAUGGGUGAGGAUUAGGGUGCUUUACUAGUCUGUGAUGGACAAUGAUGUAAAGAACAAUUUGAAAACCUUUAGACUUUGACCUUAAACUACAUAUAGUGAACUUUAGAAGUGCCUAACCCUAAGAUAGAGCCCUUUCUACCCAAUGAUAGAUAUAGCCUGAAAUUAAAACAUAAAAAAGGGUGUUUAUCUAAUCAUUUUGAUUGUUUAACUUUGUGCAUCAUUAUCAUAUGUAACAUUAUGCAUCAGCAUCACUUUCAUUUCAUCCAUGGAACUAACUAUGUUGUUUGUCUAAUUGUAUGCAUCUGCAUUAUUUUCAUGAUCAUGUUUUAACACAAUCAUUUGCAUCCAUUUCAUACUAGAUUUCAUUCAAGAAAAUGUGCAUUUCAUUCAUGCAUCAAAGCAUCAUAUACAAAGCAUAGCAUAACAUUUCUAAUCAUAAGUAUGGUACUCAAGGUUCCAGGAUAGCUCCUUCUAGCGAAAAUCCAGUCCAUCGACACAACACAAGAUCCAGAGCAAGGCAAAUGGAGCAGGAAAAUUCCCAGAGAUUUGAAAAGAUAAAAAAAGCACAGGAGAAGAUUGAAAGUGAGCUAAGCAAGAUUCUGGAGGCUCUUAAUAACAUGAAUAAAGGAAAAAGAGUUGAAGGAAAUACAAGCCAGCAAGUUCCCCCAUUACAAGAAAUGGUUGACCCUUUGUAUCCUCCAAGUUUUGGCCCACCCCAGGCUCAAUCUGCUCAAGAGGUUCCACCACAACACUUCGCAUAUUCGACAUAUCCUGGAAUGCUAUCAGCUUUCAACCCAGGGUAGUAUAAUAGCUAUGUAAAUCCUAUCUUCGCUGAAAAGGCAGUAGAACCAAUUCUUGAUCUAGAUGAUUUAAAAGAGAAAGAGAAAAAAAAGAUAAGAGCGAAAGUUCAGAAAAGCUCCAAGAUUAGCAUGCUAGAGCAAAGGCUACGGGCUGUGGAAAGAUUUAGCUUGUAUGGGUCAGUUGAUACUGCUGGGCUCUGCCUAGUCCCUGAUGUGGUAUUUCCCAUAAGUUUAAAGUACCAAAUUUUGAAAAAUAUGAUGGUACAAAGUGCCCCAAAAUUCACAUCACAAUGUAUUGUCGAAAAAUAGCAGCUCAUGCUCAUGAUGAAAAACUCUUGAUGCAUGUCUUUUAGGAUAGCCUUACAGGCUCAGCAGCCAAGUGGUAUGUUCAGCUGGACAGAACUCGCAUUCGCUCUUGGAGCGAUAUGGCACAUGACUUCAUCGAUCAGUAUCGAUAUAUUAUCGAUUUGGCCCUUGAUCGUUUAUUUUUACAGAAUCUGGAGAAAAAGGCAAACGAGUCUUUUAAAGAGUAUGCCCAGAGGUGGAGAGAUGUUGCUUCUCAAGUACAACCUCUUUUGACUGAGAAAGAAACUAUAGUGUUAUUUGUCAGCACUUUAAAGUCUCCCUAUUAUGAAAAGAUGAUAGGGAAUGCAACAAAGAAUUUCGCUGACAUGGUAAUCUCUGGAGAAAUUAUUGAAAGUGCCAUAAAAAUGGCAAGUUAAAAGGAGGAGAAACCAAGAAGGCAUCAGAAAAGAAAAAAGCUCAAGCUCAAGCUGUGAGCUUUGAUAGACAACAAUUCAAGGCUUAUCAACCCUAUCCAUCUCAAAGUUACUUUCCAUACUAUCCUGUUGUAAAUAAUACCUUAUCCUACCCAUACCAGCUAGCUCCAUAACCACCUUAUUCAUCCACACACCAAUCAAUUUUUAGCCCCCAAGAUCUUACAUAUAGCCUUAACAUUCAAGCUCCUGCAAGAACCCAAAUUCGCCCUAUUUACCCAGCAAGUGGUUCACGAGAACAACGAACUACUCGAGAAAAACCUGUAUUUGAUCCAAUCCCUAUGACUUAUACAGAGUUAUAUCGAGAACUCUAUAAUAGUCAUUUGAUUGCCCCCAGCCAUGUGGAGCCGCUUAAACCACCCUACCCAAAGUGGUAUGAUCCUACAGCCCACUGCGACUACCACUAUGGAAUUACUGGCCAUUCUACUGAAAAUUACACUGCUUUAAAGCAUAAGGUGCAACGGUUGAUCAAUGAUAGAAUGGUAAGUUUUGAUCAAGGAAAGGCAACAACACCUAAUGUUAGCGUUCUGAGUGAAAGUCAAGAACAGAAAGGGUCCGGAGAGUCACAAUGAAUUGAGGGCAAGAUGUCAAUAGAGAUCUUUCACCUGGUUACCUAGGGGCAUGAUUCUAAAAAGGAUGACUGGUUGAAUGCCACUUGUCAUUCUAAGAGUUUUUUUAAAGUAAUGUUAGGAUUUCUUUUCUGCAAUAUGAUUUCACUUGUUAUCAUCUUAAUAAGGGCAAGUUAAUGCAUUUCAUUACAUUUUCUCUUUCACUCGACCAUUAUUCCAUGCCCUGUUACCUUUCAUAACUUCACAUUCCCAUUCUCAAAUUUCGGAUGAUGAAUAUUUAGACAAUGAUAACAAUAAUUUUGGAAUUUAAUUUUGAGAACUCAUCCACAUUAAUAUGAAAAGAUGAUUUGAGUAAAAUGUAAGCUGUUACCGGAGGUGAAAUAGAUAUGUCUUGAAGAUGUGCAAUCUUUUAUACAGAUUCAUGAGCUUUGUUCAAUAGAUGAUGUUCAAGAAAGGUAUUCACAAUUGAGAUGAAAAAUGGCCAUCUUUCUUUUACCAUUCGAAAAACUAUUGCUACCCCUUUGAGCCUAUUAUGAUUUUUUUUUCUGAAGAACCCCAACCAAGGAUCACCCUCUACACUGGAGGGCAAUUUUUAAAAAAAUCACAAAAAUUCUCAAAGAUAGAAAGAGAAAGAAAAGUAAAAGAAAAAAUAAAUGCCACACAUGAUUUGGGCCAAAAUAAUGAAAAUCCUUUGUGUGAAGAAAGAAAAAAGAAGUGAAAUGAUGUGGGGCAAAAUGUCAAGUUACAUAAGAUGAUCCUUGGUUUUGAACCUUUUUAAUACAUGUUUUGAGCCUAUUAUAUCCAUUUUUUUAUGACCCUUCACCUUGACCUACAUUACAACCUUGAAAAGCCCAUUUGGAUCAAGUGUGAAUACUCAACUUGAAUGAUCAUAUGUUGAGCGAAGGUAUACUCAUGAUGAAGCAAUGGAAUCAUGCUACAUUACUCUAAAGUUGGAUGUAUGAAAGAUAUCAACAAUGGAUGAAAAAUGAAAAAAAAGAAAAAAAGAUGAUGAAAAAAAAAAGAAAAAAAGAAUGAAUGAGAAAAUGAGAAAAUGAAAAAAGAGAUUCAAAUUGAAAACCUGAAAGGGUGAUUUUGGUAGAAAAAAAAUCCAGGUUAAAUGGCUCACAUGAAUGGAAGAUCAAAGACAUUUGAAGAUCCCUCAAAGACUGGGGCAAAGUUCGCCAAGCUCAAGAUGACUUCAACAAUAAAUAGAAUGAGUUUUUGAAAAAGAAUCCUAGAUUAAUGUUGAGAAUUGUCUGAAUAUUCAUCAUUUGGACAUACCAUCCAUCCCAAUGACAUGUAUCCAAUUUAUUUCCUUUAUACCAAAGCAGAUCUUCAUUGAUUAUCUUUAUCAUAAUCCACCUUGUGUUCUUUUAUUGUUUCACCCCUACAAUGAAUUGAGAAAAUGCUUGAUUGCAUUGUAUUUGUCAAGAAUUGAAAUGAUAAUGAAUGAAUGAAUAUGUGCUUAAAAGAGUCUUGCAUUCAUUUGAAAAGAAAUCUAAGAUGAUGGUGGUAACAAAAUGAAAAAUGGUAGAAACCUAAAAGAGAUGAUUUGGAAGGAUAUACGAUGUGACCAAAUGGAGAAUAUGAUGGGGCAAAUCUUGGAAAAUGGUAUAGCCAAGUGAUGAGUACAAGGAUGAAUUAGUCGAUAUGACUUGCAAGUUAUGAUUGAAUGAUGAAAAAAAUCAGUGGACAAAGUUUGUUUUGGAAUGGUUAGUGCUGAGACACCUAUGAGUAAUGACCCAAUGAUGGUGGAUGAAACUUGUUUUGAAAUUUGUUAGUGCUGAGGAAUUCAUUGAAUGAUGGUCAAGUAAUGAUCGAUUGAUGAAGCUUAUUUCGAAGUAUUGAGAAACUGAACAAGGAAGAAUGUGAGUGGAAAAGAUAAUCAAGAGCUACACUGGUCCGAUCUUAGAAAAGCAGUUGGAUCUCUGAAGAAUCAAAAGGCUUGAUGCCUAGGGAAAAAGCUUGAGAAACUUGAGUACCAUAUAUUGAAUAGGAAUUAAUUAGCCAACAUCUGCAUAGCAUGCAUUGAAAUUCAUAUGCAUUUGUACAGCAUACACUACUUUCAGGAAAGUAUAGUGUAUAAAUUCAAGAAGCAGGGGUGUUCCAACAUCCCACAUAGAGAAGACAGAUAUGAAGAUAUUUUGCAAAAUUGAAAAAGAAAAAGCUUGUCAGGUAAGUUCCUAAUCCUUGAAAUAGGAUGUCUUUUGGUAUCAGGAUCGAUUUGUAAGACCUUUGGGCAUAAUCUCCUGAAAUUCCUUCAAACACAAUUUUCAACUCCUCCUUUUGACAUGAUUGUCAAGGAGCAAUUUACUUUUCCAAAGUUUCGUUGCCUCUGUUUAGAGGGGCAAUUUAUUUUUCAAAGUCGUAGUGCCUCUGUUUAGAGGAGCAAUUUACUUUCCCAAAAGUCAUGGUGCCUCUGUUUAGAGGAGUAAUUUACUUUCCCAAAAGUCGUGGUGCCUUUGUUUAGAGGAGCAAUUUAUUUUGUUCAAAGUCGUUGAGCCUCUGUUUAGAGGAGCUUUGGUAAAAAAAAAAAAACAAAAACAAAAACAAAAGCACAAAAAAAAAUAAAAAAAAAAACAAAAAUGAAAAUAUUGAGUUGAGUCUUGAUUAGGUGUUUACGUCUUUGCACAAUUUCUGUUUCACAGAAAAUAUGCAAAGAGAGGCAGCUGUAGACACCCAAUUUGGUCCAGGCCCAGAUCAAUUGGGCCUGGCCCAAAUAGAUAAGCCCAAUUUGGUUCUUAUUUGGGAUUAUUUUUAUUUUAUUUUUUUCUUUCUUUUGUAUUUUAUGUAUUUUAUUUAUUUAUUAUUACUAUGUAUUAAUAUCUUUAUUUAUUUAUUUAUUUAUUUUUUAUUAAUAUUUAUAUGUAUUUUAUUUAUAUAGUUAUAUAUUUAUUGUUAUAUUAUAAUUUAUGUAUUAUUUUUUUUCUUAUAAUAUUUUUUUUGGAUUUUUAAUUAUCUGUUAAUAAUUUUUUUCUCUUUUUUCGUUUAUUUGAUUUGUCGUUUAUCUGAUUAUUAUUAUUUUUUCUUUUUCUGGGGCUGUGAUUGAAAGCUGAAGAAUCCUGCUGAGAAUGGAGAUUCAAUCAGAAGAGUCCAGAUUGGAUUCAAAGAUUGAAUCCCCGUCCAAAGAGGAAUUGGGAUUGAUCAGAAAACUCCUGAUCAAUCCCUAUAAAAGGGACCCUCUGGAACAGAAGCAAUGGACAGAAAAAAAACAGUGAGCAAAGCUACUGAUUUGAGAGAUAGAAGAGUAUAGGAGGCUAAGAAGUGUUCUGGAGUUAGUAGGAAUUUUUUUUGAAGAUUUUUGGUGAUUUUUUUUUUCUGGAAAAUUCUAGAUUCCGGUGAAUUUUCUGGCGAAAGUUGAAUUUUUCGACGAAAAUUUCGGCCACUUUGAAGUUUCUUAUGAGCUGCCCAGUUUCCGACGACCUUUCCCAGAAAUCGACCAACUUUCGGUGAAAAAAAACCAGAUUUUGGCGACAAAUCCCAGAAUCUGGUGAAUCUUCAACCGAAGUUCUUCGACCUUUUAAAAAGACGGGAGAGGAAAAAAAAAAGAAGAGAGAGAGGGGAGGAGCGUUCUGUCAAAAAACAGAGGGAAGAGCCUUAUAUACCGUCUCAAAACGACGUCGUUUUGGCCUUAAGUGACCUAAAGGAUCCGCGCGUUUUGUCGAGAUCCGACCCGACCCGACCCGAGUGUCGACCCGCUUCCUGACCCGCGCGUGUCUGUCCCCCUUCGAGCCGAGCCGAGCUGAGCUUCCAAGCCGCUCCCCCGAGCCGUUUCUCUUCCUUGAGCCGAGCUGAGCCGUACUUCGAGCCGAGCCAGUUUUUUUUUAUUUGUUUUUUUAUUUAUUAGAUUAGGUUUAUUUAAUAUUCUUUUUAUCUUUAUUUUAUUUUUAUUUUUUAUUUUUUACUUUUCUUUAUUUUUAUUUUUAUUUAUGUUCACUUUUAUUUUGUUUUAUUAUUCUAUUUUCUUUAAAUAAAAAUAAAAAAAAUAUUUUUGGGGAAAAGUUGAAAGUAUCAAUUUUUCUUAAAAAUAAAAUUUCAAAAAAAGGGGUUUUUGAGGAAAAAUUGAAAGUAUCAAUUUUCCUUGAAAAUCAAAAUUUUCAAAAAAUAUUUUUAGGGAAAAGUUGAAAGUAUCAAUUUUCCUUAAAAAUAAAAUUUCAAAAAAAAAAAAGGAUUUUUGAGGAAAAGUUGAAGUAUCAAUUUUCCUUGAAAAUCAAAAUUUCCAAAAAAAAAAUAUUUUAGGGAAAAGUUGAAAGUAUCAAUUUUCCUUAAAAAUAAAUUUUCAAAAAAAAAGUUUUUGGGGAAAAAUUGAAAGUAUCAAUUUUCCUUAAAAACAAAAUUUCAAAAAAAAAGUUUUUGGGGAAAAGUUGAAAGUAUCAAUUUUCCUUAAAAAUAAAUUUUCAAAAAAGGGUUUUUGGGGAAAAGUUAAAAGUAUAAAUUUUUUCUACACAAAAACGAUUAUUCUUUCCUUCCUUUUUAUUUUGAUUUUGAUUUUGAUUUUUCUUUAAAUAAUCCGAAGACGGAGGCUCUACAAGUGAAACAGUAGUUUUUCUGGCAUACUCUUGAGGUGAGGGAAUUUUCUCAAUUUUCUGCUAAAAGUAUUAGAGUCAAUUGAGAAUAAUUUUCAAUAAUUAAUUACUUUGUAAAAUUUUAAGGCUUUUGGAUAACACAAGUUUAAGCUGGUACCAUCUUUUGAUGGGCGUUGUGAGGGUGCUAUAACCUUCCUCACACGUAACCGAACUCUCGAACCCUGUUCUGGUUAGCAGACCUGAACUUAUUCUUUUAGGGACCCUUAAACUUAAGUGUCUCCUGAAAGGACAGAUUCCUUGGGUGACCAAUCGCACCUAGACAAAAAAGAUUGGUGACGACUACCUAAAAGUCAAUAUCUAGCGAUAUAUCCCUGGAUCUAAACGUUAUGACAUUAUGACUAAUGAAAUUACACAUAACUUGCUUUCAAAAAAGUACACAUAUAACUUUCACAUAAAAUUCUUGAUUUUUUUUAAGUGUAUGCUAGAAAAAUAAAGUUAUAUGUUUAUAAAAAAAAGAAAAUAAGGUUAAAUGAAUAUGAUGUUAGAUAAAUACAAAAAUUCACCAAAAGAAAGUUACGAAUUAAGAUGAUGAUCAAUGAUUAUCAACUAAUAAUUGAUAAAAUUAAUAGGAGGGAUUUUUUGCUUGGCACUAUAGGAAUACUUCUUUUAUAAGUAAAAACCAAACUUAAUGGAUGGAUGAAUUGUUUUUAUUUUUCAUACCGGUGCCAUUAGAAAAAAAAAAUUAUAAUACUUCUUUUUCUUUUUUUAACUUAAAACUUGCAAUAUAAAAACUUUACCAUUAAAUUUUGUGAAAAUACAUAAAUUUAUUUAUUUAUCCUCAAAGAAUAUAAUUUAAACAUAUUGUAUUCACUUAAGAUAAUUAAAAAUAUUUUAAAAAUUUUACUUGGAAAUAUUUUUUAAGUAAUUUUGAAAAUAUAUUCUUUUAUAGUAUUUGAUAAUUUUGAAAUGUCUAUUACAGAAGUUUUAUUUUAAUUUUUAAUGAAAAUAAUAUGACAGUAAAAGAGUAGGAUUAAAAUGUUUUAUGUAAUAUUUAAAUUUUAAAAUAUUUUAAUAUAAUAUUUAAAAUUAUAAUUUUAUUAAUUAAUAUGAUACGUUUUUUUGUCAACUGUCUUUAUUUAAAAUUUACAAAAUUAGAAGUAAAUAUAGAUUAAUUAAUAAAUAUAUAAUUUAAAAUUAUAUAAAAAAAUUUUUAAAUUCGAAUAUUUACUUCUAAUAUUUAAAUUAAAAACGCCGACAAUACCAAACGCAACCGGCAAAAUUUCUUCNNNNNNNNNNNNNNNNNNNNNNNNNNNNNNNNNNNNNNNNNNNNNNNNNNNNNNNNNNNNNNNNNNNNNNNNNNNNNNNNNNNNNNNNNNNNNNNNNNNNNNNNNNNNNNNNNNNNNNNNNNNNNNNNNNNNNNNNNNNNNNNNNNNNNNNNNNNNNNNNNNNNNNNNNNNNNNNNNNNNNNNNNNNNNNNNNNNNNNNNNNNNNNNNNNNNNNNNNNNNNNNNNNNNNNNNNNNNNNNNNNNNNNNNNNNNNNNNNNNNNNNNNNNNNNNNNNNNNNNNNNNNNNNNNNNNNNNNNNNNNNNNNNNNNNNNNNNNNNNNNNNNNNNNNNNNNNNNNNNNNNNNNNNNNNNNNNNNNNNNNNNNNNNNNNNNNNNNNNNNNNNNNNNNNNNNNNNNNNNNNNNNNNNNNNNNNNNNNNNNNNNNNNNNNNNNNNNNNNNNNNNNNNNNNNNNNNNNNNNNNNNNNNNNNNNNNNNNNNNNNNNNNNNNNNNNNNNNNNNNNNNNNNNNNNNNNNNNNNNNNNNNNNNNNNNNNNNNNNNNNNNNNNNNNNNNNNNNNNNNNNNNNNNNNNNNNNNNNNNNNNNNNNNNNNNNNNNNNNNNNNNNNNNNNNNNNNNNNNNNNNNNNNNNNNNNNNNNNNNNNNNNNNNNNNNNNNNNNNNNNNNNNNNNNNNNNNNNNNNNNNNNNNNNNNNNNNNNNNNNNNNNNNNNNNNNNNNNNNNNNNNNNNNNNNNNNNNNNNNNNNNNNNNNNNNNNNNNNNNNNNNNNNNNNNNNNNNNNNNNNNNNNNNNNNNNNNNNNNNNNNNNNNNNNNNNNNNNNNNNNNNNNNNNNNNNNNNNNNNNNNNNNNNNNNNNNNNNNNNNNNNNNNNNNNNNNNNNNNNNNNNNNNNNNNNNNNNNNNNNNNNNNNNNNNNNNNNNNNNNNNNNNNNNNNNNNNNNNNNNNNNNNNNNNNNNNNNNNNNNNNNNNNNNNNNNNNNNNNNNNNNNNNNNNNNNNNNNNNNNUGUAUAUGUAUUUCAUUUAAUUAACGUGAAUAUGAAGGCAAAGUCAAUGUCAAGAUCCCCUCAAACAAUGAAAUAUUUGAUGUUAUAUAAUCUCGUAGACUUAAAAGUAGAUAUCGACCGGAACUCAUAAUACAUGUUUUUUUUCUUUCCACGGAGAAUAAAAUGUAGCAGGAAGCCACUUGGAAAGUGUGGAAAGAAUUUUUUAACCCACACUCCACGAUUUUAUGACUCACACUUUGGACUAAAGUAUUCAUUACAAAAUGACAAAAAUGAAAAUCCAAGUUGCAGUUGAAGUGCCAAUUUGUCCCUUUUUAUUAUCUUUGUUAUUCUCUCUGUCUCAUUUUUUUUUUUUAGAAUGUCCUAAAAUUAUAUCUUUUUUUUAACAUAUAAAACUCUUACUUUUUUAUUUUAAAAUUAUUUUUAUGAUUUUUUUAAUUUUUUAACAUUAAAAAUCAUGAAACUUUAAUUUAUAAAAAAUAUUUAAAUUUUAAUAUUAAAUACAUUAAAGUCAAAACUUUUUUCUUAAACUCGUAAAAGUCAAUAAAAUGACAAAUAUUUUGGGAUAGAGGAGUAUUAAAAUAUCAAAAUUAUAUUGAAAGCAAAAUAAAUUUUCUUUAAAACAAAAAAUAAAUUUGCAUUUAAAUUCAAAUAAACAAUCUUUAAAAAUAUAUAUUUUGAGAAAUAGUGCAUAACAAUUUUAAGCAAAUUCGAUUUAAAAUACACACUUAAAAUUUUUAUCAUUUCAAAAUAUCAACCAAUUUAAAGUUAACAUUAUUAAUUAAGGAUGAAAUAUUUAAGUUAAUAAAUUAUCAAAAGCAUAUACAUAUAUAUAUACAUAUAUAUAUAUAUAUGUCGUUCACUAUAUAUUUGCACUUUCAAAGUUUAUGGUUUUUAAUACAGUAUAGAUAAAUAUAGAUAUAGUAAAAUCUUAUAAAGUAAAUAACAUUAACCCAAUGAAAGUACCUAAUAUAUUCAAGAUUUUCUCUUCCCUUUAAACUUCUUGAAAUGUAUCAAAAAAUGGAAUUAACAAAGUGGUCUUACAUUUUUCUUUUGGUGUUUAUGGAAGCUUAUAGAGUUUGACUUACAAAAUCUAAGUAAUUUACUCUCAUUUUAGGUAUUACUCCUAACAUUUUCUUUGUGAAAUUUAAAUUUGAGACUUUCAAGUUAAAUGUGUUGUCUUUGAGUUAGUAUCUUAUAUAUUAUGAAUAUAAUCAUAUAUAUUGGAUGCAUUGUUAUAAGGUGAAUCAGACAAUACCAUCUCAUUAAUGAAUAUAUUUUAAAAUAUAUAUUAAUUUUUACAUAUUUAUUUUAAAGACUAAUAUUUAUUCAUUAAUAAAUUAAUAUCAUCUAAUUCAGCAACAAUAUAUAGAAUCUAUACACUAAUGCAGUAAACAUAAACUCAAAAUAAAAUUACAUAUAGAAAAAUUAAAGAAUUUGAUGAAACCAACAAGAGCAUAACGUAAAUUUGCAAACUUUUAUUAUGGUAGAACUUAUAAUAUCGUUGUUCAUUUCUAAACCAAUUUUGUUUUUAGGACGUUAAAAGCUUGAAUUUAUAAAGAAAUUUAAAAAGAAAAAGAAAAACUCUUAGUCAACAAAUCAAAAUAUUUUGUGUUCAUACUUUAAGAAUCUAAGUAUACAAAUACAUAUAUAUAUAUAUAUAUAUAUUCCAUCUAAUUAUAGUGGAUAUGAAGGCAAUGUCAAUUUCAAGGUUGAUGCCAUUGUCAAUAUUUGAUGUUAUAGUCUUUUAGACUUUAAAAAAAAAAAAAAAAAAACUGAGAAGUAGUUAUAUUGACUGGAAUUUGCAAUAAGAUUUUCUUCUUUCCACGAAGAAAUAGUAUGUAGCAGGAAGCUACAUGGAACAUUAAGUGUGGAAAGAAUUUUUUUUUUCUCUCAUUGAUUUUUCCUUUUAUCAAAUGAACUCAACUUUAACCAUUAAUUUUGAAAAUAUAAUGUAAUAAUAAUUUUCAAAAGUAUAUAAUUUGAAAACUUUGAAAUUCAAAAUUUCAAGUCUUAGUUUUUAAAAAUUUAUAGCAUUUUAAUCUUUUGAAAAAUAAUAGCUAAAGUUGAGUUCAUUUAAUAAAAAAAUCAUUAAAAACAAAUGAAUUGAAAUGGAUAGAACGUUAAACACCAAAACAAAUUUGACAUUGUACUGUGGAUUAAUAUUAAAAUUUUUUUCCUUAUAAUUUAAUUCGUUGAAUUUUGUCACAAUACUUUUAAUUUAGGUAAAUUUUUUAACAAAAAAUAAAGAAAUUGAAAUAAAUCACGAAAUAAUUUAUUUAUACAAACGACAAAUCUGCUCAAUGCAUUGUCAAUUAAUGUUGAUUUUGAAUAUAUCAGUAUGAAAAUGACAAACUUUCAUCAAUUUCAUCGCCUUAUAUUCAAAAGUCAGUUUAUAGGGAUGGCUAUUAUUGCCUAACUCCUUGAUUGGCUAUAUAUAUUAAGCCCAAUGCAAGGCUUAUUGUUAUAAAUUUAUAAGUAGCAGUUGAGAGAAUUGAAAAUAUAGAGAUAUAAUAGAGAAAGAGAUGAUGGAACCCAAAUGGUUGUGGUUGAGUGUGUUGUUGUUGUUGUUAGGAGGGUACGGAUGGAAUGGUACUGAUGCUUGUUGGGAGGAUGAGAGGAUUGCUCUCUUGCAACUCAAACCUUUCUUCAAUCGUUUAAAUUAUCUGAACAGCUGGGAAGAGGAGGUAAAGGGUUCAGAUUGCUGCCAAUGGGAAAGGGUCGAGUGUAACGCCUCCUCCUCCUCCUCCAGGCGAGUCAUAGGACUCUCUCUUAAUUAUACAACAUGGUCCUACAAAGAAAGAUGGUAUCUCAAUGCCUCUUUGUUUCUUCCUUUCAAGGAAUUGAAGCGUCUUUAUUUGCCAGAGAAUAACAUCGCUGGUUUCGUUGAAAGUGGAGGUCCAUUUUGCCCUUACAUUGCUAAUUUGCAAUAUGAAAAUUCAUUCAUAACUUUUUCACUUUUACAAUCAUAUUUAAUUCUAUUAUUGUUUUAUUAAUGAAAAGCCAUUAAGUCCUUAUUAUAUAUUUAAAAGAACUCUCUUGCAGGUUUUGCGAAGCUAAAUUUGGAGAUCCUUGAUUUAAGUGACAAUUACCUCAAUGAUACAAUUUUAUUAUCUUUGAGUCAACUUUCAUCUCUCAAGGAUUUAAAUCUAGCAGGAAACUUGUUCACAGGAUCAACUCAUGCAAACGGUAAAGUUAAAAUUAAUCUAAUAAUGAUUAUGAAUGAUAUACAGUUAUUAAAAUAUUAAUUUGUCUUCAUUACAGGUUUCCAAUGGCUCUCAAGACUUAAUAAUUUGGAAACUCUUGAUUUAAGGUACAACCAUUUGAAAAAUAACAUAUUGUUUCAUAUGAAUGGUCUUUCAUCUUUAAGGACUUUAAGUUUAAGUAAAAAUCACUUGGAAGGAACCGUUCAUAUUCACGGUAAACUCACUUUACCUCUUAUUUGUGUUAAAGUCAAAUUUUGUUUCAAGAAAAGCUCUUGCAUAUUAUUUGAUUUUAUAUAUAAUAUAAUUAAUUACUCGUUGAGGUUGAAUAGAAUUGAAUAAUUUGACAAACUUGAAGAACUUGGAUUUAAGCAACAAUAGAAUUGAAAGCUUCCGACCAUCAAAGCAAGGUAUAAAUAUAUAUUUCAAUUCACUCAACUAAGAUCAUAAUUAUGUGAUCAGCAUAUAAAAUUUUCGAUUGACAAUAACAUAUAAUAGAAUUAUAUAUUCUUGUUCAGGAAACGAGACACAAUUGAGGUUGACCAAUUUGAAGGAACUUGAUUUGAGCCAUAAUCUCUUCAGGAACAACAUAUUUUCCUUCCUUAGGGGGUUUUCAAGUCUAAAGUCCUUAAAUAUGCAGGGGAACCAAUUGCAAGGCUCCAUAGACGUUAAAGGUAAAGCUUUUACUACCUUUGUUUUUUUUUAUAAUUCUUUUUAAAAGCCUUAAACUCAUAAAAAAAAUUGUUUUUGCUAAGUGAAAGGUAUUUAUUAAUUAAUCAAAAGGGUACAAAGCUAGCAUAAAGUUAAUUCAGCAAAGCAAAUAGACCUAUGCAUUCAAACCAAACUGACAAAACACCACCCAAAGUAUAUAACUGAAGACAAAACACCUAAAAGCUACACCACCUUACCCAUAAGCCAAUUAGCCCCAGACCAAAGCGAGCCAUGUGUGGUUUCAAUUUUUUGUAUUGUCGGCAUAGAAUCACUCUCCACUAUCACCUGCUCUGUACCCUGUUCAAAAGCUAGUUACAGUCCCCAAAGGAUCGCUUUUGCCUCUGUAUGAAAGGAACUUUCAGUCCAGUCUACUCAAGUCACUGCUGAAAAAACCACGUUACUCUUUGAAUCUCUAAGAACAGCACCUAGCCCAGCUUCCUGUUCUCUGAACCUAUACACUGCAUCCACAAUGAGCUUUAACAUAUCCAGUACAGGAGGUUGCCAACUCUAUCCUUGUGGCUUCCUCGAGAUCAUAGUUGGUUGGGCAACCAGUUCUAGCCUUUCCCUCACAAGGGCUGUCUUUACCAAUGAUUUCCCCAUAGCACAUGUUACUCGAUGGAGGCUUUUUAAUUACAAUCAUCGUAUUGUAAUUCUUAUUGUGUUAAUUAUAAUAUCAUAAUUCUUAAUAUUAUCAUGUUUGCUUAUAUAAUUACAUUAAUUAAGUUAACAAAUAUUAUAUUAUUUUCAAAAUGUGAAAUGAAACCCAGUUAAGAUGCUAAUUGUACCUUUUGUCUCUUGGAUAGUUGCAGUUGCUAAUAUGACAACUUUUGGUUGCAAAAAAACAUUUCUUGUUCAUAAUAUCCGGUAGGAAAAAAGCCAUUAGCUUAAGAAUCAAGCUACACCUAUUGGGCAAAAAAAAAAAAAAAAUCAAGCUACACCUAGUUAUGAAGGAGGAUGUCACUUAUUAAACAGUCAGUCAUUUCGAUUUUUGAUUGGGAUAAGAAAUUCGAAUCCAACUCUAUGUAAGAUAAAGACAACCAAACCAAGUAUUUAUUAUUGAAGUGAGAAAACCGAUACAUGACUGAAUUAGAAACAGUUGAGAAACCAUUUUGUAGUUUUUUUCUUUUUAAUUUUUGUCUCCUGAAGUUUCCUGAGUAUUUGUGUUAAUGGAUCAAGUCAAGCAAAUGGUAGAAUUAAAAUUAACCCAAUAGUGAUUAUGAAUGAUAUAUAGUAAUUAAAAUAUUAAUCUUUUUCAUUACAGGCUUCCAAUGGCUUUCAAGACUCAAUAAUUUGGAAACUCUUGAUUUAGGAUACAACUCUUUGAAAAAUAACAUAUUGUUUUAUAUCAAUGGUCUUUUAUCUUUAAAGACUUUAAGUUUGAUGAGAAAUCACUUGGAAGGAACUAAUCACAUUCACGAUAAACUUGGUUUACCCUUUUUUUACGUUUAAAUCAAUUGUUGUUUCAGGAAAAGGUACUGCAUAUCAUUUGCUUUUAUACGUAAUAUUAAUUACUCAUUGGCAUUGAGUAGGAUUGAAUAAUCUGACAAAUUUGAAGAACUUGGAUUUAAGCGACAAUAAAAUUGAAAGCUUCCGACCAUCAAAGCAAGGUAUAAAUAUAUAUUUUAAUUUACUUAACUAAUUCUUAAUUAUGUGAUUAAUGUAUAAAAUUUCUCAUUAACAAUAGCAAAUAAUAGAAAAUAUUCUUAUAUAGGAAACGAGACACAACUGAGGAUGACCAAUUUGGAGGAGCUUGAUUUGAGUAAUCUUUCAAGAACAAUACAUUUUCUUCCUCUGAGUUUUCAAGUCUAAAGUCCUUAGAUAUGGGGGAGAACCAAUUGCAGGCUCAAUAGAUAUUAAAGGUAAAGCUAUUACAGCUUUUUUUUUAAUUCUUUUUAGAACCUUUUAAACUCAUCAAAUAGUAAAUCUCAUAUCACAUUUGGGAUUUUUUUCUUCACUUAAAGCUUUAGAUUAUUUUGCCGUUUACUUCAUUAUAAAGUCAUAAAAAUAUUCAUAAAAGAUUAUUUGAUAACCAGGCUAACAUAAUGAUUAUUUGAAUUGAACUUGGACAUAGAAUUGAAUAAUUUGAUGAAUUUGAAGAAGUUGUAUUUAACAACAAAAUUGAAAGCCUUCAAUCCUCACAAGGUAUGCAUUUAUAUUUGCUCAAUUAGUUAAGUUGUUAUAUAUAAUUAAAUAUUAUGUAAAUCUUUUUUUAGUGAUGAAAUUAUGUAAACCUUAUGUAGAUAGUGGGAGACAGCUGCACUUGACCCAUUUAGAAGAAUUUGAUUUGAGUUAUAAUCUCAUGAACGACAUCAUAUUUGCAUCACUUAGCGGGCUUUCAAAUUUGAAGUCUUUGGAUGUAAGCUACAAUCAGUUAAAUGGAUCAAUAGAUAUGAGAGGUAAUUUUCAUUCUUUUUAUUUUGUGAAAAUUUUGAAUUUGUUAACAAAAUCUUUAUUCAUGUUUCAAGAUGACAUAACAAAUAAGUUCAUCUGUUUCUUUUCUUUAAUGAUGAAAUUAUGUAAAUUAUUUAUAGAUACUAGGAGACAGUUAAAAUUGACCUAUUUCUAAAAGCUUGAUUCAAGUCAUAAUCUAAUUAAUUAUUACUUUUCAACCAAAAUUUCAACUCUAUUAUAAAUACUUUAAAAAAAAUACAUUUCAUAUAUUUAGAUGAUUUAAUGAAGUUUAUUCAUUACUUUUUUUCCAGACUUAGGUGCUUUUACCAACUUAGAGGAACUGGAUAUGAGUUAUAAUGAUUUGAAUGAAUUUGUGAGCAGUAAAGGUAUGGAUUUAAAUAAAUUUUCUAUUUUUAUUUAUGAGGUUUAUAAUGAUGUAGAUGUUUUAAUGACCAAAAAAUUCAGCAUAUUAAAAUUUAAUGCUCAAAUUUUUAAAGGAAUAAAUUAAUUAUUUAUUAUAUGCUUUUUAUUACAAUGCUACAAUUCUCUAACUAUAAUAAAGAAUUAUGCAGGAAUCGAUUAUUUAUAAAUGUGACCUCCAUAUAAAAUUUUGUUAGACCUCACGUAAUUUUGAAUUGUGGCUAUUUAAUUGUAUUAUAAUGAUUGUAGGUGAAAUGCUCUCAUUAAAAUUAAUGUCUGAUUUUUUAAAGGAAGAAAUUCAUUCUAAUUUGAUUACUAAUUAGAAAAUGAUAUAUAUUUGCCUUAGAUAAUUGCUUUCUUUAAGAAGUGUUGCAAUGGCAUAUCAAAUAUUUCCCUUUUUGUUUGUAUUACCUUGUUGUGUCUUAGGGUUGGACUUGUUUGCCUUUUGUCAUUCUGUUUUAGAUUACUACGCAUUCUUAUUACCGUUUAAAAAAUUUUGCCUUUUCAUGUUACCGUUUUGUUUGAUAUUCAUUUUUUUUUAUUGUUUCGUAUAUUAAAAUUCAUAUUAAAAAUUGUUAACAUUUCAAUAUUCUUCUCUAUUAAAAAUUCAUCUUGCAUAAAUCUUGGAUAUACAAUCUUAUCAACAAAAAUAAAAAUUUACUAUUAUUUAUUUUUUCUAUUUACAGAAUAUAAGAGAUUGAAAAAGUUAAAAGUUCUUCGUCUAAAUGAGGUUUCACCAAUGGAAGUAGUCCAUUAUUGCUAAAAUUAGUAAAGGCAUUCCCAUCGGUUAAGAACCUUCUAUCUACAAGGGAAUUACUUAAACAAGACUAUGGCUACUCAAGAUCAAGGUAAGUCAUUAAUUUAUUCCAAAAGGAUUAAAAAUUAGUAGAUGUUUGUUGAUUAACAUCUAAUAAUACCUCAUAUUCUAUGAUUACUCAGAAUUGCAUGUGUGGAGCAAUGUGGAGAAAUAUUUCUAGACGGUUCUUAUCUCAACACAACAUUUUGCAAAGCAUUGGAGUGUUCACUUCUCUUAAAACUUUGUCUUUAUUUAGCUGUGGACUUAUUGGUUCCUUACCUAAUCAACGGUAAAUUAAAGACUAUAAUUUCUCCAAUAUAACUCAUGGAAUACAUCUAUUUCCAAUAAUCCUUUAUUCUAUUUCUUUCACCUAUAUCUUUUAUAUAUAUUCUGUUUUUGGAAAAAAAAUUUAUUUAAAAUUUCUUCUAUGAAUUUUAUAAAUUUUUCAGGUUGGUGUGAUCUAAGAAACGCUUGAAAACGUUGAAUUCAGUUGAAUGCACUUGAGGGGAUACUUCCUUACUGUUUGGGUAAUUUGACAUCUCUUCUUGAGUUAGAUAUCUCCUACAAUCAAUUUACUGGAAGUUUGACGCCUUUAGCAAAUCUUUCAUCACUUAGAUUCGUCUCCCUUUCAACAAAUCACUUUCAAAUUUCAAUGCCAUUCUUGUCACUUGCAAACCUUCCAAAUCUCAAGAUUCUCUUGGGUGAUGAAAACAAGAUGAUAAUGGAACCUAAUUCCUUUCAUGCUUCAAUUCCGAAGUUCCAACUAAAUAUCAUCAGUUUGUCAAAGUGUACAACAGAUAAAGGACUUAGUCUACAACCUCCUAAUUUCCUUUAUUACCAAUAUGACUUGAGAUAUGUUGAUUUUUCCUAUAACAAUUUUAGUGGAACAGUCCCAUUAUGGUUGUCAGAAAAUAACACAAAAUUAGAAGAUCUCCUCUUGUUAGGUAAUUCUUUCACUGGUCCUCUCUUGUUAUCACAGCUUCUUAAUCCUAAUAUGUCUUCAAUUGACAUAUCUAAUAACAAAUUACAAGGUCAAAUUCCAACAAAUAUAUGUUCAAAUUUUCCAAAUUUGGAAUUCUUAUUCUUAUCUAAGAAUGCCAUUAAAGGUAAUAUCCCUCCUUGCUUAGGUGGCAUGAACACUUUAUCAGUUUUAGACCUAUCAGACAAUCAUUUGUCUGGAAGAGUACCAGAAGAGUUGGUCAUGAGAAGCUCAUUAGGUAUUCUUAGGCUAUCAAAUAACAAUCUAAGUGGAAUGAUUGUUCCUAUGAUGUUCAACACAAGCAAGUUGUCAAAUUUGUAUUUGGAUGGUAAUAACUUUGCUGGAGAGAUUCCGGAUAUUGAUGUUUCUGCUACUGAUUUUUCACAUUCAUCACUAGAGGAAAUUGAUCUCAGUAAUAACAGUUUUAAUGGAAAGCUCCCAAGAUGGAUAGGGAAUGUAUCGCAUUUGAAGAGAUUGGCUUUGUCCAAUAAUCAUUUCGAAGGUUCUAUUCCAAUGGAUUUGUGCAACUUGUAUGAGCUUGAAUUUUUGGAGCUUUCUCAAAACAAUUUAUCUGGCUCUAUUCCUUCUUGUUUCAAUACACCAUAUUUGAGACAUGUCCACUUGAAGAGAAACAAACUAAGGGGUCCAUUGACAUUUGCUUUUAACAGUUCUUCAUUAGUGACAUUAGAUCUUAGAGGGAAUAAUUUAACCGGUAAUAUUCCAAAAUGGAUUAGCACACUUUCUGCUUUAAGCGUCCUUCUUUUGAAAGAUAAUCAUCUAGACGGUGGAAUUCCAGUUCAAUUAUGCAAGUUGUAUUCAUUGAGCAUCGUAGAUCUUUCUGGAAAUAUGUUUUCUGGUCAUAUACCUUCUUGUUUGGGUAAUUUAACUCUGGCAAUGAACAAGGAAAAGUCUUUUGUAGAUAACUCUUGGUAUAUAGGAUAUACAAUGAAGGAUCUAUCUAUUUCAAUUAAUUCACAUGGUUAUCCCAAUAGCUACAUGGUAGAAGAGAUAGAGUUUACAACAAAGAGUAUGUCCUACACAUAUGGUGGUGACAUUCUUGAGUAUAUGUCUGGGAUUGAUUUAUCUUGCAACAAGUUAACUGGGCAAAUCCCACUCGAAUUGGGAAACUUGAGUGAAAUCCAUUCGUUAAACUUAUCACACAAUAACUUGAUCGGAGUCAUACCCUCAUCAUUUUCAAAGCUUAAGCAAAUCGAGAGUUUGGACCUUUCUUAUAACAACUUGACUGGUAGAAUCCCUGUACAGCUGGUUGAGUUGAACUCUCUAGAGGUUUUCAGCGUGGCACACAACAACUUGUCAGGUAAUAUUCCAGAACCAAAAGCUCAGUUUGGGACCUUUGAUGAAAGGAGUUACGAAGGAAACCCUCUUCUCUGUGGAGCUCUAUUGCAAAAUAACUGCUUUAAAACUGAGUCACCAUCAACAGCACCAACUACAGAAGACGAUGAAGGAGAAGGUAGUUUCAUGGACACAUAUGUUUUUUGUGUGAGCUUUCUGGUUUCAUAUGUAAUUGUUUUAUUGGGAAUUUCUAUUGUUCUAUACAUAAAUCCAUAUUGGCGACAAGCAUGGUUUUCUUUCAUUGAGAGUUGCAUCACUACCUGUCGUUACUCAAUUGUGGGCAAUUUUCUUGAGUUAUACAUCUUCAAAAGAUGUGCUUAGGUGUCAUGGGAGCUCUUAUGAUUUGCCUUUUGUUUAAAUGUGGUGAAGACAUGGAUAAAGUUGAUUUUUGUUGUCAGAAGAAGUUUGGUGAUUUGAUCUUUUAAAUGGGGGAUUUCUUUUAGCUUACUGUUUUGUUAAAAUAGUUGUAGGAAGAGUUGUGGAUUUUGCACUUUGAACAGAGCUUUAUGUCUCUGUCGAAACUCUGUUUUUGGUAUUUGUUUUGUUUUGAAGGAAGCCUGUAGCUUUGUGUCUUGUUGAUUUUAUUUUCUACACAAAUAUUCAAUUCUCUAUUCUCCAUCAUCUACAAGUUAUUAUUAAUAUCUUUUCCAAGUUAUUAUUCAAAUUGGCAAAUUUUUCCUCAUUAGGUUUGACUUAGUUUUGAGCUUCUAGUAAAUGAUUUCUGGCAUAAAUUGUAGCGAAGGCAAAGAUUGCUGGCUAUGGCCUACCAAGAACUUUCUAAAGUUGUAUUGGUUGGAUUCAUUUGUUUUAACUAGAUUUUAUAUCGAUCGUUAAAAAGCUUUUUCAAUUUAUUUUCUUUUGAUGCUUAAAAAUUAGUAUUUUAAACAAAAAACAAUUACUAAUUCUAUUCAUAUUAAAAAUAAUAUGAAAUUUAAUUCAAGAAUGUGUUUUUUUUUUUUUUUCAAUUUCUCAUUUCUAGCUCUUUUAUAGAGGUUUAUUUUUAUUUAAAUUACUUAAUAUUGUUGUCUUUCGAAAAUUAGUGUUAGUUUAUAAAAUGGACCAAAUAAGCAUUUGAUGUUGAAAAUAUCAUUUUGAUCGCAAAAUGCAAUUAUUUUCUUUUAUAGGGUUACAAAUUAUUCCGAAAUAAAAAAUUAGGUUUAUAUAUCUCAUACACAUGCAAACCCCAUCAACUAAAUAAAUUAAAUGUUGAAUCUCCCAAAGCAACAAUGAGAUCAUGACUUAGUAGUUAUGUUAUAAACGGUGUUAGCCAAUGAGAUCAUGACUUAGUAGUUAUAUUAUAAUUUAUUAGUUCAUUAUUCAGUAAUUGUAAUUUGAUUAUGAUAUAAUAAUUGAUUAUUCAAUUAAUUAUAUGAAUGUAAUACUUGAUUAUGAUUAUAACAAUUAAAAAAAACUAGAAUUUUUGAAUCCAUUCUUUGCAUGGUUAAUUUUUAUUUUAAAAAAAAGCUUAAAUAAUAUAUACCAUAUAAAUAAUGAUUUCAAAAGUUCAAAGAGUUUCUCUUUAAAAAAACAACCUUCAUACUACUUUAUUCAAAAAUAAAAAAUUAAAAAUAAAUUUAAAAAACAUAAAAAAUAAUAAAAAUAAAACAACAAAGGUAUCAAAGGAAAAAACAAUUAAAAAAAAAAAGAAUAACCUUAUAUCUAAUUGUAGCAUUUCCAUGAAAGAAAAUGAAAUAAUGGAGUAAAAUCCCCAUCCUCUUUCACCGCAAAGAACUUAUGUGUAAAUUUGAUCACAUAUAAACCAAUAAAUAAUCAUAAAAUAAGUACACCAGGUCUACAAAUAAUUAAUAAUUGGUAUACAAAGAUUACAAAAAAUUAAACACAUUUUAUUAUUUCUAAUAAAAUUGAAUUAUAUUAAUUUUUUAAAAUGUUUAUUUUUAAAUCAUUGAUUAAUGGAGAAUGAGAAGAGAUUAAAAUUAAUCUAUACCUUACUACUAAGGAUCCAGAACAUCAACUUCACAUUUGUAAAUUGAAUUACUUAAUUUCAUUUAAUGACACUUGUCCUAAAAAAUUAUAUAGGGUUUGCAUCUGUGAAGUAUCGAUUGGAAACUAUGGCUAUAGUCACGGGCGUAGAUAUGAAUAUAUAUAAAUAUAUAUAUAUAUAUUCAUAGAAUUUUUUGGUUUUUUUUCUACAUUGAUCCAACUAAAUUUAAAUUAAAAUAAAAAUAAAUAAAUAAAUAAAAACUAUAUAUAUUCAUAGAAAUUUUUGGUUUUUUUUCUACAUUGAUUCCACUAAAUUUAAAUAAAAAUAAAAAUAAUACAAAUAAAAUUUAAUCUAUUUUAUAAAACAAAAUACAAGUAAAAUGACUGAAAAAAUCAAAUCUAUUAUACUAUAAUAGUUGUCCAAUUAUGUACAUGGAUACACUCAAACAAUUAUAUAUCGAGAUUAGCAAUUAUAAAAUAAUGUUAUUCAAUAUUUUUCUAAUAAUGGGAUAAGAUAUAUUUAAAUUUAUCAUUUAUAUUUUAGAUCUGGGGAAAGGAGAUUAGGUUGGGUUAAAUUAAUGUUAGAGGGGUUUAUCAUUUAUAAUUGUUUCAAAAAUAUAAUCUAUUUAUAUAUUGUUGAAUUAUAUAAAAAAUGCUAAUAAUCUUGCAGUCAUUUGCUAGUUAAUAUAGCAUUAAACUCCUAAUUUUUAUGAUCAUAAUUUUAUUCUUGACAUAUUCAAAUACCAAAAAAUUAAGAGUUUAAAUUUAUAUUAGAAUGAUCAUUGAUAAGUACUAUACACUUACCAGCAUCAAAUCAAUAUUGAUUGUAAAUCUUAACACUAAUUAACUUAUUUAAAAAUAAUUAAUUAAAAUAAAAUUAAAAAAAAUUAGGACAGCCUAAAUCGUUUUCUCAAAUCUUCAUUUAAAAAAGUUGAUAAAAACCUAAGAUAAAAUGUUAAUCACUUAUAAAAAAAAACAAAAUUCCCAAUGAAGAUUUGAUUCCAUUCUCUUUUGUUGUUUGCUAUGGAUGGCUGUAACUUCUAAAAAAUGAUAAAUAUUUAUGGAAGUGAUAUCAGUGCGGUGUUGUUCUCAGAGACUGCGAGGGUAAUAUUAGAAGUUUGUUUUAUGGCCCUCUUGGUGAUCAGAAGUCAAAUACUGCAGAAGUUUAGCCCAUUAAGACUGCGCUUCAAAUGUUUUCUUCUUCACCUCGGCUGGGAAAGGGAGCUCUAGUUUGGAAUCAGAUUCAAAAGUAUCAGUGAGUUGGGUGCGUAAUAAGAAUGCCAGACCAUCGAAACAAUGGCUGAUAUUUGCGGAAAUUUAUAAGCUAGUGGAAAUCAUAGGAGAGGUUAAGUUUGUACACAUUUUUAAAGAAGCCAAUUACUUUGCUGAUUCAUUGGCAAGGAAGGGGGUAGACAGUCUUAGCUUGUUUUAUGCAUGGCUGUAAUAUGAUAAUAUUUCCUGUGGUGAAUAGGCAGUUUCUGGAAAUAUUGUUAUCAGUUGUAAACACUGUUUCUGAUCAAUAAAAUUUUUUUGACUGAGAAAAAAAAGAAACGAGGAGAAGUUUUCAAUCCAUUUUUGAUUAAAAAACCUAUAGCCUCAUCUAAAAGAGGCAAUUUUUAAUCAAAAUUAAUGAAAAUUUUGAGAAGAUGAGAAAAGAGAGGAGAAAAUUGCUAGAGUUUCUUCAUUUUCUCAUUAAAGCUCUAUUUCGUUUUUUUUUUUCAAUUAAUUGUUAGUUAUUACUAGUUGAAUAUGUUAAUUAAAGAGAAAGGUUAUUAUGGAUUAGUUUGGUUUCACUUUCAUACAUAAAUAGGUUAGUUAAGGAUUAAAGGUUAUUAUAAAUUAAUUUGGUUUCGUUCUCAUAAAAGCGAAAUAUUAGUUUCAAUCUUUUAAAAAAUUAUAAUAUGGUAUUUUAUUAUUGAUUUUCAAAAAUUUGCUUUUAGGAUCAUUAUGAUGUUAGUGAAACCCAAAAAAAUAUAUAGUAUAAAUUUUUUACAUAUAAUUAAAUAUUAUAUGACUUCUUAUUAAAAAAAAAUUUUAAAUAAGCCAUCAGUUAUGUGGAAAAAUGUCUUUGAUUUAAGAAGGGAUUUCUGUUCGAGCCAUUGCUAAGAAAAAUGGACAUUUCGUGAGGAAUUGAUAGUGUCACCUAAUGCAUCCUUCAUGGCAAAUAAAGAGAAAACCAAUCUUUUUUUUCCUUUUCCUUUUUGCUAUUUUUUCACAAAUUUUGGAUUGCCAUUUUUGUUUAAUUUGGGCUUAGAAAGCCCCAAAAUAAUUUGGGUUGCCUUUCCUUUUCUUUUUUCCUAUUGGUCUCUUUUUCUUUUUUGUGUUUUGUAAAAAUUCUUUUUACAAAAAUACAAAAAAGUGGAUAUAUAUCUAAAAAAGUGCAUGUAGGCAGAUUUUUUUUUUUAAAGUGGAUAUAAGCAUGUAUCUUUUAAUUUUAAAUUUUUUAUAAUAUUUUUUUGAUUUUUUUUUAUCAAUUCUCCCAACUAAACUUGUGUCAUUCAUUUGACUCGUAACGUGAGUUUUAACCAAAAAUUUUAUAUUAGCACUGGACUUUUAACAUAGUGCAAAACAUGUUUUGAACAAAAAAUUGUGUUCUGAAAAAAAUAAUAUCUAAAAAAAGAUGCGUAAUAUUUUUAAAUUGAAAACACAUUUGUAUCUUUUAUUUAAAUUUUUUGUAAUAUAUAUAUUUUUUGCCAAUUCACCCAACUAGUUGCUAUCACUUGAAAUAUCAAAAUCAAUCGGAAGUGUAUGACUAUAGAUAUCUAUACUAAUAUUAGAGGGAUGUUAUACGGUUAAAACCAAAUAUUAUGUCGAUCAAUGCAAGGAAGCGAUGUAAAUGCAGUAAGCACUCAGAGUAGAGGGAACAACCAGGAGGUGUGGAAAAGAAUAUGGUCUCUGCAGGUUUCAACCAAGAUUAGAACUUUCAUGUAGUGGGUUUGUCAUGAUAUUAUAUAGCUAAUGGUUAACUUGGCAAGAAGGCAGAUUCCAAUGGAAAAAACUUGCUUGCGGUGCAGGGGUGGUGAAUGUUCAUGAGCAACAGAAGUGUGGGGACACCUAAACUAUUAGUGGGAGAUGAUAACGAAGUGCAGUAAGAGAGUAUAGGUUGGUUCCCUGAGAUGAUUAUGAAACUUAAGCACAAUUGUUGGCGAUAACAUGAUGGACAAUAUGGAAUAGUCGAAAUUAUGAGGCUCUCGGAGAGCAAAGGAGGAGUUCCCUCCGGUCAGCAACAUUCGCCAAAACUUACUUGCUGGAAUUCACCAAGCUCAGUAGAAGCAGAUCAUAAUUCUGCAAACGCCAAAUGGUAUCUCAAAAAUGAAAACUCCCAGUUAGUGACUGCUAUAAAAUAAACUUUGAUGGGGCCAUUGACAGAGAGCAAAAAAUUAAAAUUAUAAUGAUAAAAUAUAGUUAAAGGAUAUUUUUUCUUUUAAUUUUCAAAAAAACUACAUACACAUCUAAAAUCACAUAAAUUUUUUUCAACUCACUUUUUUUUUCAUUUUUCACCUAGAACAUUAUCAUUUUCGAUAGAUUAAAAAAAGUGAUAAUCUAUAUAGAUAAAAUAUGAUAAGACUCGAAAAUAUUAAAAUAAGUUAUCUCAUAUCUAAUAAAUUAUCAAUAUCAUAUAGUCUUAUAUUCAAGUUGAAUCUCUUCAUUUAUUAUCAAUUAAUUUUAAAUUGUAUACUUAACAUGAUAUCAGAGUCAAGAUUUUUCUUCCAUUGUUCUUUUUUAAUUUGUUACGUGAAAAGUUUCUUUCAUUUUCACCUAUAUGUGACGGGGUCUAUUAAAAUGAGUUAGUUUAUAUCUAAUAAAUUUUUAAUAUCCUAUAAUCUUAUAUUCAAGUUGUAUCCUUUCACUUGAUAUCAAUUGAUUUUAAAUUGAAUACUUAAUAAAAAACAUGCUUACACUGGACCACUAAAAUAUAUGAAAACUCUGUUUUAUUUAUAGGAUAGAUGUUUUCAACAUAUAUAUAUAUAUGCAAAAUUUUUCUUUGAAAGGCUAUAUAUUUGUUUGUCUACUAUUAUGACUAAUGAAAUUACACAUAACUUGCUUUCAAAAAAGUACACAUAUAACUUUCACAUAAAAUUCUUGAUUUUUUUAAGUGUAUGCUAGAAAAAUAAGGUUAUAUGUUUAUAUAUAUAUAUAUAUAUAUAUAUAUAAAUAAGGUUAAAUGAAUAUGAUGUUAGAUAAAUACAAAAAAUCACCAAAAGAAAGUUAAGAAUUAAGAUGAUGAUCAAUGAUUAUCAACUAAUAAUUGAUAAAAGUAAUAGGAGGGAUUUUUUAUUUGGCACUAUAGGAAUACUUCUUUUAUAAGUAAAAACCGAACUUAAUGGAUGCACGAAUUUGUUUUUAUUUUUGACACCGGUGCCAUUAGAAAAAAAAAAUUAUAAUACUUCUUUUUCCUUUUUUAACUUAAAACUUGUAAUAUAAAACCUUUACCAUUAAAUUUUGUGAAAAUACAUAAAUUUAUUUAUUUAUCCUCAAAGAAUAUAAUUUAAACAUAUUGUAUUCAUUUAAGAUAAUUAAAAAUAUUUUAAAAAUUUUACUCGGAAAUAUUUUUUAAGUAAUUUUGAAAAUAUAUUCUUUUAUAGUAUUUGAUAAUUUUGAAAUGUCUAUUACAGAAGUUUUAUUUUAAUUUUUAAUGAAAAUAAUAUGACAGUAAAAGAGUUGGAUUAAAAUGUUUUAUGUAAUAUUUAAAUUUUAAAAUAUUUUAAUAUAAUAUUUAAAAUUAUAAUUUAAUUAAUUAAUAUGAUACGUUUUUUUGUCAACUGUCUUUAUUUAAAAUUUACAAAAUUAGAAGUAAAUAUAGAUUAAUUAAUAAAUAUAUAAUUUAAAAUUAUAUAAAAAAAUUUUUAAAUUCGAAUAUUUACUUCUAAUAUUUAAAUUAAAAACGCCGACAAUACCAAACGCAACCGGCAAAAUUUCUUCCCUCCGCCACCGCCCCCACCGUUUUCUCUCGGCUCAGUAUCGAGCUCCAAAUAAACGCAUCCCUCAACCAAAAUUUUACCCCCCAAAAAAAACUCUUCUCUCUUUCGCUCGUCUCCUCAAACGUCUCUAUUUUCCUUUAUUCUGCUCUAUUUUGAACAAAAAAAGACUUUUCUUCACUUAUUUUUCUAAUAUCUCUCACUAUCUCUCUCGAUGCCCUAGCCACCUUCCCUCACCGGAACUCCACGGGGCGCGUCGUACCGCCGGCGAUAUCUGUGGCACUAAACUUCCGGUUUGGUUUGUCUUUUUUCUAUUGGAUUCUGGAAUUAUCUUUGAAUUUGGAUUUGAUUACGCAAAAAAAUCGAAAAUGACGGCGUCGAGGAUUUGUUAGGGUUUUAAUCUUGAUGGCUGGGACUCGUAAAAGGGGAGGGAAUAAAUCAAAAGUUAAGAAUUUAAGUUUAGGAGAUCUUGUUCUUGCCAGUCAAGGGUUUCCCUGCUUGGCCUGCCAAGGUCUCUUCCUUUUUCUCUUCCCUUUUAUUUUAUUAUUAUUGUUACUUUCUUUCAUCCUGAGUUAUGGGUACUUUAUAUUUUGAUGAUUAAAUUUUUAAUUUCUUAUAUGCUUAUUUGAACUUAUAUAUUUGAAUAAAUCCAUGAUGAGUUUGGGAUUUUUUUUUUUUAAGUUUUGCAUGAUGUUGUUAAGUUUAUUUUAUGCUUACAUUGUCAUACUUUGUAUUUUAUUUGUUGCUUUUAUACUCAAUUUGUUUCCUUUAGUAAAUUUUGUUUUAUUUUGUGAAAGGCCUAUUUUUGGAGUUCAAAGUUUUGCCAUGCUUAUGUUAGCUGAUUGUGUUUUUAGUGUUUCAGGUUUGGUACUUUGCCUGUUUAUCAAUUGGGUUACUUAAUGCAACUAUGCAAGUUCUUUUUUUUUUUUUGGACUGAAAACAAGUCGGACAAAUGUGUGUUUUUUUUUUUUUUUGGCUGCAUGCUAGAUUUUUGAUCCUAGAAAGUGUCAUCAGAAAUUUAGUGAGGAAUUUUCAAUUUAUUUUUUUGUUUUUAUUAUUUUGUUACUUAGAACUCAGUUGGUUUGUUGUGAUUUUGGUUUAUGGUUGGUUUUUGAGGUAGAUUCUAUGGGCUAUAAAUUUCAGAUUAGCCGGCCUGAAGAUUGGGAGCAAGAACCUGACCAUAGGAAAUAUUUUGUCCAAUUCUUUGGAACACAAGAAAUUAAGUAUUUUUGUGUUCAAUUUGAACAUGUUUGGUGAAUGACGGAGAUGGCAACAUGAUGAAUAAAGAUAUGUGAUGUGUCUGUUUUAGGGUUUGCAUCUGUUUUCAGGUAGGAGAGAAACCACAUUUACCAUAAGAUGGAACAUGAGGUAAAUACAUGAAAGGUGUUACUGCAUAAUUUCUUUAAAAAAAUAUUAAUUUUUUUGUAUUCCAAAUAACUUGUUAUCUAUGUCAAUCCAAGCAGACAAACCUUGAUGUACACUUUUUCAUUUCCUGUCAAUGUUGUUCACAUAGGGUGCUUGCUGACUAGAGGAUACAUUGAAACUGACUUGAUUUAUUCUAUCUCUGUGCUGUCUGUAUACAUCGUUGCUUUUCUUUCCAUCCAGCUCCUGUGAUCAAGAAAUUGUAGGAUGCACAUUGUAAUAUCAACAAGGGGAAAAUUGUAAUAGGUAGGGCUCUAUGCUGAGUCCUCUAUGUGUUACAGUACUGAACCCUAGGCAGCUCUGUCAUUUAGCUUUAGGUUGCAUGAUAUAAACUCAUGGAAGCUCACCAUUCUAAUGUUCAGGGAGUACUCUUUCGCAGAUGUGAUAGUCAUGCAGAUUAUCUGGGAAUUUUAUGUCUUAUAGUUUUUUUCAUAUGAUAAUUUGAGAAAUGGUGAGAUGUCCUUUGGGUAACCGACCUUUUCAAUCUAGGAUGCAGAAAAUCAAAUAUUGAUACAAUGACAAAUGGUGCAAUAUUUUUCUACUUCUACAGGUUCUUGAUAUAGAAUGUGCAUCUUAUGUUGCCUUAAUUAAUCUUUUUUAAUGUAAUUUUAAUAUUUGAGUUAUUAUUUCUUUUGGAGUAGUGAGAGAUAUCUUUCCUCCAUUUUGUGGUUGUUGUUAGCUAACAAUGCUUAGGCUCUUAAUACAUGUGUAUUUGUGGGUUGUAGUGAAUGUUGAAGUCAUAUUGUUCAACAAAGCAAUGUGUUUAGCCUAAUUAGUAGGCAUGAUCAUUUCUUUACCACUAAAUCGUAACUGUGCUGAAUUUGAAAUUUGGUGUAGCUUUUUUGGUGUUUGAAUUGAAUGGCAUUGCAAAUUUACUUUUUUUUUUUUAUUGUUGGUGUUAAAUGGAUUUGUGGUUUAGUUAUUUUUGUAUUCUAUGUUAGAUUUAUUCUCACAUUUACAUUAACAUAGAACUUAGAAUUAUUUUUUAAAAUUUAUUGUUGAUAAUGACCAAUCUUGAUGGAGGAUUUAUUUGUAGUAUAUGGCUGUAACACAUUUAGGGUGCAAUAAUGGAUCUUUAUUUUGUGCAAUGGAACUUUUAUGUUUGUAUAAUGGAUCUUCUUGAAUGUUGAUUGGACAGUUUUUGCAGCUACAAGUAUCUUGAAAAGAAAUAAAGUUCAAACGAAUCUUGUAUAUAUUUGGAAAUAAAAAGUUUUUCAGUUUUACUAUCAUGUCAAGGUUUGCUUGAAUAAAUUACUUAAGUUGUGUCUCAGUAGCCUCCCAAAUUCUAACCAUGAAUUAGAGGAGCAUUUCUGGUUCUGGUUAUAUUCUAUAUGUUAUAGUUGAGCAGAUUGAGAUUUUAGCUGAAGUUUGUUAAGCGUCAACAUGUGGUGGUUUAGAUAUGGUAUGCUCGGAAGCCUUGAGUAAUGGUAUUUUAAAUGCCCUGAAAAUGAGUACAGGUGGAGUUUUCCUUAGAAACAUUUGCAUAAGUCAUUUAUUUAUGUGGAACCAUUGAAGUGGUUUUGGGAUAUUCGUUUUUUUGAACUUUCAUCUGUCAGGGCUUUCUUUUGGGAUUUUUUUCUCUAAAUUCUUAGACAUUUUGUUCUAUCCAUAUUGCAUAUUUAUAAUCAUGGUUAAGCUGUGAAUGCUUAAUCCUUAACCUUGGAUGUAAACUUUAUUCCCUUUUGGAUCAUAAUGACUGGACGAAGAUGCUUCUGCUCCUGAAUUAUGUAGAAGACAUUUUAGUUUGUUGAAAAUAGAAUCUGUUCUUCCUGUCUUUUGUUUAUUUUUUAAUAGUUGGUUAUAUAUUUUCCCAUAUUCCUUUAGGGCAUCAUGUUCAUGCACAUGUGAGCAAGUUGAUAAAUUUAAACAUCUGCAUCUUUUUUUUUCCCUUAAAGAUAGUGUUUAUGUAAUCAGAUUUUCAUAUUUCAUUUUUGAAGCUUUUGACUCUGCAUUUUUAGUGUAAAAAGGAGCAAUGCUUUUCAUCCCAGCGAAGAGAUGCAUGCAUGGAUCGUUAUUUUUUCUUACGCUACUCUUUGAACUUCAAUUCACUUGUGUUCUAGUUGUUUUUUUCCCACCAUGUUUUUCUUCUUUUAAAGAGCUUUUGUUGCACCUGGCAAUAUUCAAGCGUUUACCAUUGAGACAGUAAAUUGUUGGGUUAAGUAUCAAGUUGUUAAAACCAAGUACUUUGUCCAAGCUGUGAAGGAAAUCUGUGUGGCAUUUGAUGAAUUACAUAAAGAGAAGUCCAUUGGUUUGAAGAUGAAACUGAUAGAUCAACACCUGGCUGUGAGACUUCAUCUGUUGAUGGGGUUGAGGAUGACGGUGCAAGAUGCAAAAAUGCAUUUGAGAAAUCCAAAGAUGUUGAACAGCCAUUGAAAAAAAAAAAAAAAAGAAAUGAAAUGAAGUAUGGUUCUCAGGGCAUUUGAACUUAUGGAAAAGUUAGUGGGAGUGCCAACAAAAACAAGAUCCAAGGUAACUAUACAAUUGGCUGAUUUAAUGUCUUCUUCAUAUGUUGUGGCUCUCUAAUUAAAUAAUGUAAUAAUUUGUUAAUAGGGAAAAUAAUUAUUGAAAAUAAACAUCCUAAUCAUGUUAUUUACAAGGGAUGUGUAGCUGUGGAGAAUUUUAUUAUAACUGCAACAAUAGUUGGCUUCCUUAAUUUUGCCAAGAAUAUAUUGUCUGAAAAUAAGAAAUAGAUGUGUCCAUGAACUAAGAGGAGCCAAGCAUGGUUAAAAC
rnacentral:lncRNA from 1 species